rnacentral:lncRNA from 1 species
UGCUGCAUCGACUUCCUUGUUCUUUUGCAAUUUUCCGGAUACCAAAAUUUCCUCUGCUACAACACUAAUAUCUGACAAAGGAUUCGACUCCAUUGCUAUAGUCUCGGCAUCUUUUGGGGCCUUUUUGGCUGGUUUAGUAUCUGUUUGGGGACCUGAUUUGGCCUCUUCCUUUGGUUUUCUUACACUAGGUCUCAGAAUUGUUUCGGUUUCAGAAUCCACUGGUUUCUCGGGUGCAACCAGUGGUUUCUCAUCAGGAUUCCUUAUCCGACCAUCCCGACUCAAUAGCCGACUGUCCAGAGAUGGCAGAGUUCUUUUCUCAUAAUCAUCCCUGAAGGCUUUAUUGCCUUCCAGAGAGCCAUAAACUUCUCAACCUAAAAGGAAUAUAAAAGAUAAGUGAGCGGCUAAUUAUAAAGCAAAUGAGAUACAUUGGAAGUAACAUUAACAAGCAGUCUCAACAAACCUCCACAAUUGAUAACUCCUCAAGAGCCUUUAUAUCUUUCUGUGCAGCGAGCAGUUUGGCGUUGUGUACAAUGGUACGGCUCUGGUAAAAGUGAGAAUUCUGAAAUUUUGAGAAAGAGUAAUUAAAACGAUUCAUUAGUAACAUCGUGCACAGGAAUAUUGGAAGUAGACAUAAUAUGUAUCAUUUAAUAUCUUAAGUGACACUAGUUAUUCAUGCAUAAAUGAAAAUGUUCCGACAUGGUCAAGUAUUACACGAAACAGAUAUCUUAAGAGUUGAAGCAAAGAAAAGGCGAUACCCCCUGAUCACUUUGUUUCCUCAGCUCCUGAAUGUUUUCAAAAGCUUUGUCCCUCUUCAGGGUCACAGCUUUCAGCUCAUUUUGUAAAGACACGAUUUUAGUCUCAGUUUCGUCCAAUUUAUCUUUAAUUUGCUUUUUUUUGGACCAGACUGCAUGCUGCUCCUUCCUUACUCCAUUCAAAUCGACACCCAUAAGCUACAAUAAACAAAUAUAGCUUUUUUUUUUUAGUGUAACACAAUGGUGCUCUAUAUUCACAUAUAAAAAGAGGAGCAAACUCCGAUGGAUAAAGGCAGAAAAUAGAAUUAUCUUACUUUAACUUGAUCUUGAAUGUCUUCUUUCUGGCCUAAUGAAUCUUGAAUCUUUGAUCUCAUUGCAGCAUUAGCAAUAACUUUCUCGCGGGUUCCCUCCAGGUGUUUGAUUUCUUUAAGGAUUCGCUUCUCCUCACUCAACGAGAUGCCUUCAUGCUGAAUGCGGUAUUGCAAGCUAUGGAUCUGCAAUUCAUAAAUUCCAUUGAAGUGACUAAAGGAGAAAAAGAAAAGCAUUAACUGCGGCAGAAAACAAUGAAUAAAUCUAAAUGCAGUCAAAGUUCAUAGAAGUAUCAUACAAUAAAAUCGAGCUCUUCCUCAGAUGCACAUAAACUAAGUCGAUUAUCAACAUCUUUAUUUUGCGAAGCUUGCCUAAAGCCUGCUGCAGUGGUUCUAUUUCCAUCUUUUUCUCAUCUAAAAUCGUCUUAAAUUGCUCAAAAUCAACAUUCAGCGCUCUCACUUGCGAAAGCAUAUCUGACCGUUCUGCCUGCAUUAGCAUAAAGAUAAUCACAAUUUAGCCAACUGACGGCGCCAUUAUUUUUUACUUCUUUCACAUUUUUUCUCAAAUUCUGAAGGCAAACACAACAAUAACGAAUCAUUAUACCAAUAGCAUAUCUGUAAGUGUCAUUACGUUUCAAGGACAUAAAUUUCAAACAUUCAAAUAAAUGCUUCCGGGUUUAAUUCCCCUACAUUCAUCAUAUUACAAUAAGCACACCGUAAUGACAUAAUGAUAGGGCUAAUAAUUAUCUUAAAAGUAUGACAAUUAAUGGCUACCAUGCUAUACAUCUAAUUGAAAUUAUUAACUUUUCACUCACCCUUUUUGCUUUUAAUUCGUCGGUAAGCUUAAACCGGCUUUAUUCCACUUUUGUAUCUCUUUAUCAGCCUGAUCAAGUUUGGCUUUUAUAGCCGGAUCUUCGUAGAAGCGAUACCUAAUAAAAUGAAAAGAGUGGAUCUGCUUAGGUGCAGGCCACUCGACGACCGCAUCCUUCGGAAAGUCGGGAUCGGAUGCACCAUUCUCUUCUCCUUAUCAGGUUCCUCACUAUGUGAAUCAACUUCAAUGGGGUUAUUAUAAACUGGAUCCUUAUCCAGUUUCCCAUUUUCAUGAAGAAAUGAUUUGUCUACUUCAGUCACUUUGUCAAUAGACAAUUGUGCCAGGUCUGAAUCAACAACCUCAACACCCAUUAGACACAAAAUUGAGCUACCUGAAAACAUCCAAAGACAAAGAUUAUGACACCAUAUAACAACAAAUAUAAAUAUAAAAUAUUAUUUCAUUCAUAAAAUAAAAAUUUUAAAACAGACACCUGAUAGACAUGUAUAAAACAAUAUAUAUUAAAUAAAUAAAUUUUAAAGAACAGUGUAGCCAAUACAAUUUGAAAUGGUGCAAUCUAAAGUCAUUCCUUUAGCUAGUUUUCUCAUUAAUCAGAUCAAAAGAGUGAACAAACAGUAGAAUUGCAAAAAUAUAUGUAUAUAUUCUAAAUAAAUGAUAAACUAUAAUGGAGAAAAACAAUAAUCAGAUAAAAUCUAGAUCAAAAACUAAAUUAUAAGUACAUUAGCUCAUGCUAUAACAAAAGAUCAAGCCUUUAUCCGUCAAGAAAAUUAACAUGCAAAAUCAUAUGACACUAAUGGAAAAGACCCAGAAAUUUACAAACAUGAGAUAAAUGAAAAACAAAAAAAAAACCCCAGAAAUAAAAACAUGAGAAAUAAUUAUGUAGUUUGCAAGGCAGAAAGUUUACAUUUUUAAAAAGAAAAAGUCAAAAUAAGAUGUUUUUGUUGUCGAGAGAGGCAUAGAUACAGAGGUUCUGAAUUAAAAAAAACUUUCAACUUUUUUAUUUUACAUUCGCGUGAUGCCUCAAAUUUUAUAAAGUUUAGGUGUUAAAAGUAAUUUGAUUUGGUGUAGUAGUUAAGUGCCUUGAAUGUUUGCUUUGGGUUUGGGGUUCAAUUUUUUUUGUUAAAUUUUUCCUAUUUAUUAUGGUAUUUGUUAAAUUUUUCCUCUUUAUUAUGGUAUUAUGUUCAACUUGAGCCUUAGGUCUUAUCUCUUAUUUUCAAUGAUGAAUCUACUCGUUCAAUGGUAAGACUUUAGCUUAUCACCAAUUUAAAUUUUAUAAAAUCUGGUAAGUGGGAUUUAGAUUAACUUAAAUCUUUUUAUUUAUUUAUUUUAAUUUAAUUUUACUAAAUCUCUAUUUUUACUCAUUGUUUCAACCAUUCACACUCUCACCCCACUUUGUACGCUACUUUCUUUUGUUUCCCUAUUCUGCGGUUUUAUCUUCUUUUCUCUUCCUUCUUUCUCCUCUUUGAUUAUUCCUGAAUACUACCGUUUAUUUUGUGAGUUCUGUCACUUGGAUCGUAUUCUGUUUGCAGUGUAAGUUUCAUUUGGUAACUUUUGUUCUCUUCCCAUUAAUAGUUUAGUUUUAUUUCGUUUCUUGAACAAAUUGAGCUUAUGUUGGUAUUUUCUGUUCAUUAUCAUGAUUAGUAUUUUUGUGGUUCUCGAUUAGGCAAAAGGUGUGAGAAUCCUAACCCUCUAGCAAUGUAAUCACAAUUUUCGACGUUGUUUUGGAGAACUAAGUAUUCGAAUUCUAUUUUAGGGGCUGAAAUUUUGAUUCAACGAUGUUAUUUUGGAUAAGUAUUGUUAGUUCAUCCAUGUGGUUUGAUGAACGUUUAUAGGAUUCGUGAGUUCCAAUUGAGCGGUUGAUCAAAUAAGCAAUAGGUGUAUGAAAUUAACCUGAAAACUCAAUCGAAACUCGAGAAAAUUAAGGACCACACGACUAUGUGGGUAUUUUGGCCAAUUUUAAGCCCCAAUUAGGGGCCGAUUAAAGGACUCAAAUAUUGGGUCCAUAGCCAUCAUAUAAGCCCAAAAAAAUGUAAGUUUUAGUACGUAUAUAUACAUGGCUAAGCUUAGGAGGUAUGUUAAGUAGGUUGUAUAUAAAUCAUAUGCUAUGUUAUGUUCCUUAUAAAAAUAUGUGUAUGCAUGUCAUACGACUUAUGAUAUAAGUAUUUAUGAUAUUAUAAUUAUGAUUAUGCCUAAGUUUUGGAAUGGCUUAUGAUAUGAUGGAGGAAGUGUUAUAUGAUAGUUUUUACCGCAACUAUGGCGGCUAGACUAUAAAAUUUCCGUUUGACAGCUCAGUUGCAUAUUUAUGAGUGACAUACCACCACAUAUUGGUGUGAUUGGAUGGAUGGACUCUUGUAGUCCUAAUUGGUGAUAUUGCUUGAACGAAGAUGGUAUGAAGCAAUUGGGGGUAUGAUGUCUUAUGAUAUGGGAUAUGAUAUAAUAAGAUAAGAUAUGAAACAUGCUAUAACAUGAUAUGAAAACCGAUAUGAUAUAAGAUAUGCUCCGAUAUGCUAUGAUACAUUCUGAUUUAUAUAUAUACUACAAUGUGUGGGUCAAAUCACACACUGGAUGUUAAGCUCACACGUUUGUUAUUUCUGUUUCAGGUGAUCUUCAGAGUAAGGAUUGGAUGAUGACUAUAGAGCUCGUAUUUCACACUUUCGGUUUAAGUAUGCAUUGGACUCUCUUUUGUUUAUAUGGACUUUUUGGACUUUUGGAUAUUUAAAAUUUAUUUGGGAUGCUAAAAAUUAUUUUGCAUUUAUUUUUCAAAAGUUUUAACUUUUAUCGAUACUUAAAUCAAGACAACUAAAAAUAAACCAUAGUUAUAAGGAAAAUUUGCUAUAAUGCUUUUUGCUGCAAGUUUUAAGGUCAAUUUGCUAUAAUGCUAUCCGCUAUAAUUAAGUUUUAUUGAAAUCUGCUAUGAUGUUUUAUCUCACAAACAAAGUAAGUAAAUUAAAUACAUUUUUGUAAAAUUAACAAAUAUGGUUUUCUUCAAUGUACUCACGGGUUUUAAAAAAUGGUACAUCUUCACCAGGUUAAUCAAACUUGUUUUCUUUUGAGUUAAAUAGUUUUUGCCAAAAUGAAGUAAUAUUGUUUUCACAUACAACGUAAUCUCCACAAUCUGACUGUAACAUCCAAGCAAUGUUUGGGGUGUUAGAAUUAGAGUUUUAAAAAAUAAUUACUUUUUCUUUUACAAGUUAAUGUCAUUGUAGGGUUUGAUUGGUUAUCUUCAACUUUAACAGUUAAGCUUCUAAAGUCGAUGAUCCUAUUUAAAUAUAUAAAAAUUCUUUAUAUUUAAAAGAUGUUCUUAUAAGAAAACAAAGAUGUCAUAUAUGAUUGUUGCAUGUAAUUAUAUUAUUUUAUGAUUUAGAUCAUAUAUGAUUGUUGUCAUGAUAUAUAAGCAUUUAAUUAAUAUUUUAAAGUUUUAAAAAAAUAAUAAAUAAUUUUAAAUAAUUUAAAAAUUUUAAAAAUAAGUUAUAUAUAUUUUUAAAACCUUAAAAAUUAUUUAAAAACUAAUGUAUCAUCCAUAAUAAAUCAUACAUCAUUAACACAUAUUGGGGCAUGCGAAAGCUUUUAAAAAAUUGAACUCAAAUAGUGGUCUACAUGGUUCAUCAAGGCAUGGCAAGUAAGUGAGUUGAAGCAAUUUGUGUCAUGAUUGCCUGUAUUUCUCUCAUAAUUUCUUUGUCACUCUGCCCCCGUGACACAUUGCAAAAUCUCCUACAUUUCAAAUAAACUGAUGUCAAGUAAAACAUUAAAGCAGAAGAGGAUCAACUAUUACCCUCACUAUCUAUUUCAAUGCUAAAAUUCCACCUCUCCUCUCCAACACCUCAUUGGUAGCCUUACUCAUCAUAACCAACACAACCCUUUCUUUUUCCAAUACAUUUCCAGAAUGUACACUUUUAUUAUAAGAAAAUAUCCAAAAACAUUUUACCAGAAAGCUGGGCUGUGGGGUUGGGAAUGAAGGAUUUCACGCCUUCAUCUUUGGGAAGCCCAUAUUUCUUCACUUUGGCAAAACUCUCUUCUGGGUCGAUUCUACAAAAUAUUUAUUAGCUCAUUUUGUGAAAGAGGUAAUUGUGAGAUGAUUGAUCAUUUUGUUUCUACAUUAUAAGUAAAAAUUGUAAUAUAUACCUGAACUUGAGUUGUCAUAUUCUAAUAUUUCUUUGCUCAAUAUUUACUUGAUUGUAUACAUUAGAUUUGCACCCGAAGCAAUAGUUUUAGAACACUUACAGUAAUAGUUUUAGUCUUUCAACUUCAUCAACUAAUCUUUUAUAGUUAUGUGUAUCGAUUGUGGUCAUAAACCAACUAAAAAUCUGAUUAAGGUAUAUGUACUUAUCAAUUAAUAGUAUAGUUACGAUGAAUAAAGAUAUCAUUCCCACGAUGGCUAAAAAUACUAGUAAUUAUUGUCUUUCUAUUAUUUAACCGACAAAUUGGAGUGAUUGAUUAAAACUAAAAUUAAAUUAACUAAUUAACUAAAGAACAUGACAAAGAACAAAUCAGAAAAAUAAACGAUUAACAACCAAAAAGCGAGACAAUACCCAGGAAAUAAUCCACCUAGACUUCAUCUGUCAUUAUCAAUCUAAAUCACGUAAUUUCUUCACUUACUAUCUUGAUCCGUAGAAAUCCCUAAAUUAUGGUAAUAUCACUCUUCAAGACUAAGAGUAACUGACUCUAGAUUGAUUAAUUGAAAUUUCUUUCUAAUUAAAAAUCCUAUUAUCGCAUUAACUCGAUUUAUGGAUUAUUCUAUUAGAUUUGACUCUAAUCCGGUAGAUUUAUGUAAUCCUAUUUUUAGGAUUGUAUGCAACUCCACUCAAUUACGCUAGAUCUACUCUUAAAUAUGGUCUAUUCCUCCUUUGGUUUAAGCACAUAAAACAUGAAUCAAUAGUCUAAAAAUAUUAAACUAUGAAUUAAACACACAUAAUUGAGAACAAGAUCUAAGUAUUUAUUCCAUAAAAAUAGAAAUCAAAUAAUAGAAUCCAUCCUAAGUUUUAUCUCCCUAGGUAUUUGGAAAAUUAGUACAUAUAGUAAAUAAAAACAUCCCAAAAAUAGUAUAACCAUAAGAAAUAAAGAAACUCAUAAUAAACUUCAAAAAAAUCAAAAGGAGAACUUCAAUAUUGAUGGAAAUCUACUUCAAAGUCGGCUUUAAUAGUAUUUUCUGAGUUGCUUUCUUCAAUAUAUGACAACUCACUGAUCCCCUCGCUCAUUUUUUACUCAUUUUGCUUCCAAAUGCUCUUCUAAGUAUAGAAACAUGAAUUUAAAGUAUUAGGAGCAUAAAAUUCACCGUUAACACAUUUUCUCUGUAUAUUUAGCAUAUAUUUGAACUUCGAGUUUCUGCUUUGCAGUUUAGGUUCAAAAAUAUGAACCCAUGUUUUCAAAGGUCUAAUUUUUCCAUGAACAGCCGGAAAUGAAAAGAAAAAAAAUAUUUUAAAAAAAUGAAAGAAAAGAAAAAUGAAAAUAUAGUUUAAUGAGACUUACAUAAAUGUCGGGAUUGAGAAAAUGAUUGUCUAAAAAGAAGCAGAAAUUUGGCCGUCAAGCAGAAAUUUGGCCGUCCAAGCCAUCUUAUUCAGUUCACCGAUACAAGUUUCUCCGCUUAGCCGCCGCUACUCUGAAAAUGACGAAGGACUAACUAGUUUAACAACAGUACCAGUACGACGUCAUAAGAAUGUAUUCUACAUGGCAUUCGUGUCAUCUAGCUAAGUCAAACUACAAAGCUACAGUUAGACUUCGAUUUUAGUUGGGUUUGGUUUCUUAGGUGGAGUUCUAUUUAAACUUGGGUUUUGUUUUCGGUUAAAUUACCCUAUUAGUUACUAAAUUAUAGGUUGCUUUUGUGUUGUUCACUUAACUAAAAAAAAAGUUAAAAUUUUGUUAUUGAAGUAUUCGAAUAUUUUCAUUUAAGUCACUAAAACAAGAUCUUUUUAAAUAAGAAAUAAAUAUUUUUUAUAGAGAAAUUUUAUAUAUAAAAAAUAAAAUACUUUAAUUUAAAAGUACAUUUUGUUUAAUCACUUUAAUAGCUUUUGGAGUGAUGAAAAGUCUAAUUUCACUUUCCACCUAAAAUGAUUUUUUUGGUAAUUUUCUUACUGAGCUGGGACUCAAUUGAUAGUUGACGUCAACUCAGUAAAAAGCUUUAACACAGUAUAGAUAAAAAAAAGUUUUAAAUUAAAAUUUUUAAAAGAAUUUAGAGUAAACUACACCAGUCAUUCAACUAUAGGUAAGUUUUCGUUUUAAUCACUUAAAAAAAAUUACAAUUUGAUUACUAAUGCUUUCAUAAUUGUUUUUCUUUUUUGUCAUCCAAUUGUUAAGUCAUACUUGUUUUAGUUAGUAUAAUAAUAAUUUUAGUCCUCAAUUUUUAUAUUUUUUGUCAAUUUGACUCUGAUUUUGUUUAUAAUUACAAAAAAAAACUCACAAUUAUUUAUAAAAUAGAAAAAUGUAUAGAAAAAUUCUAGAAAAAUAAAAUCUUGAAUAUAUUGUUUCAUAACUAAAUUGUAUGAGAAAUAAAGAAAAUUGUCAUUCAAUAACAUCAGAUAAUAAAUUAAAAUAAAAAAAAAGCUAGAUUAUUAUAUGUUUCCUAAAUAUUUCUCAAAACUAAAUUAGUAGUAUUAUCAAACACAUUAAGAAUGAGAUUAAAAUAUGUUAAUUUUGUAGCUUAUCAUACCCCUAAACCACAACUAAAAAGUUUAAUCUGAUAUGGUGGCAUCCACCAUUAAUAAUUGACUCCCAAUUUUGGUUCUUUUUGUCUUGUUUCUCUUUGCACUCGUAGUUUUAGAUCAUCAGAGUCUUCAUGGUGGACCCUAAAGCUUAAAGGAGGCUAAAGAUGGUGGAAUCCAAGGUAGUGUGAAAUAACAUGGUCUUGACCUAUAACACUAAAAUUGCUCUAGCUUAAAUGAAAAUGAAAAUAUUUUGCAUGCAUGAUAUCUUUAGUUUAAAUCUUAUUAUCGAUAAAGUUUUAUUGAUUUAUGAAAAGAUGAAUAUACCUUUGUAAUUAUAUAUCUUACUUUACAAAUAAAAUGUUUUUUUUUAGCAAUUUUCUUAAUGUGUUCGGACUAAUUGAUGGUUGACACUAUGUCAGUAAAAGGCCUAAUACAUAAUAUAGAUUAAAAAAAUUUAAACUAAAAUUUUUAAAACAAUUUAAGGUAAAUUACACCAUUAGUCAUUCAACCAUGAGUAAGUUUUCGCUUUGAUCAUUUAACUAAAAAAAAUUACAAUUUAGUCAUUAAUAUUUUUGACAUUAUUUUUUUAAUCACUUGAGUGUUAAGUGGCACUUGUUUUAAUUGGUAUAAUAAUAAUUUUAGUAUCUUUUUUUUUAUAUUUUCUAUCAAUUUGACUCUUAUUUUGUAUAAAAUUAUAAAAAAAAACUCAAAAUUUUAAAAAUAGAAAAUGUUUAUAAAAAUUCUAGAAAAAUAAAAUCUUGAAUAUGUUGUUGAGUAACUAAAUUGUAUGAGAAAUAAAGCAAAUUAUCAUUCAAUAAAAUUCGAUAACAAAUUAAAAACAGAACAAAACCAAAAAAAGCUUCCUCAAUGUUUCUCGAAACCAAGUUAAUAAUAUUAUCAAGUUAAGUUUCAUGCCCUUGAAGAACAUCUAAAACUGAUAUUACCAAGGCUUAUGAAAUUGACCCUAAUGCCAUUUUUUAGUCAAAAGAAUACAAGAUAUAUAACAAACUUUCCUUUUUCAAACUUAAUUCAAUUUUUCAUUACAUUCAAAUUAUUUUUCAAAACUCAAAUUAUAAAAAUAAAUUAUAUUUAGAAAAAAAAUUUAUAACGUAAAAGUUAUGUCAAGAAACAGAGAAUAAAUAAUUUUGCUUAAUGUUUUUUCUACCUUUUUUACUAAGGAUUGUGUAUUGGAUAUUUCGAUACAGAUAAUAUAGAGAAAUUUUGUACGGCUUAAAAACAAUUAUCUCUCAUUUUCUCUCACUUUAUUUAUUUUUGAAAUUUUUAUCUACUUUUAUUUAAUUUUUUAUUUUAUAAUGUUCUAAAAUUUUAAAAAUAAUUUUAAUUUUUUACCAUUUUAUACAUUAUCAAGAUCAAAUUGACUGAAAGUAUAAAAUUUGAGGAUUAAAAUUGUUAUUAUAUCAAUUAAAAAAGUGUCACUUAACAUUUGAGAGAUAAAAAAAAUUUCAAAAACAUUAGUGAUGAAAUUGUAACUUUUUUAAUUAAGUGACCAAAACAAAAAUGCCCAUAGUUUAGUGACUAAUACUGUAGCCUUUUUUUGGUAAAAUGAAAAUUUGACCCUGAUUUUGUAUUAAAAAAAACUCAAAAUUAUUUAUAAGAUAGAAAAAUAUAGAUUAUUUAACAUAGGGAUUUUUUACCCAAAUCAUAUAAAAAAUAAUUACUUAUGAAAAUGGUAUGGAAUAUAGCUUAAUUACAAAAAUAAGGCAUUUGGUACAAUGUUCUGCUAGUGUCGCCUGGCAUAUUAGUAGUACUAGAUUAAAAUGUGAUGACCUAAUAUAUUCAAGGACUUGAUAUGUAAAUAUCUCAUUUUGGUUGGCUGUUGAAAAUAAGCUAUAAGAGUGUUGUGUGACAGUGUAGCGGCACAAAAUCUUAAAUAGGGUUAAUUUCUUUGUAAACCGUCAUUAUUUAUUAUUUUGUUUUUAUUCUUCUUCAACACCAAAAUCAGAAAGGCUUCUUACCAAUUAAUUCAGGUCAAAUUAUGUCUGGCAUAACAGUUAUCACUAUUGAUAGUAAUUUUCUUUGGCUCAUAUAUAUCUAAUAAAGUGUAAAUUUAACUAAUAAUUAUAAUUUAUAUAUAGUAAAUAUUUUUUUAAAAAUUUUAUAAUUAUAAUUUUAUAUGGUGCCCGUAAAUAAAAUUGAUAAAAAGAAUAUCUGUAAUGGCAGACAGCAAAGAAAAAGCUAAAAGAAACUUCAUAAUUUGCCUGUUUUUAUCUUCAGUUUCUUCUUAUCUCUUCUUCACUGCUUUUAAUUUGUUUCGAUGUCCAAGGUCUAUCACAAAUUUUGAAGCAUCCAGUCAACGUAAUUUUCUUUCAUUUCCUUAAUUCAUGACAUGCUUUUCUUUGCUUUUGAUUAUCUGCUACUGUUAUAGCAGCUAGCUUUGUAAGAUUGUCAAGGACGUGAACUUCACUGCUUCAUUUUCAGUUCUAAUCUCUCAACACUUUUCAGCCACUAAGUCAGGUAAUAGGAUCUGAGGCAAUGAUUUCCUCUACUGAUUAUCAACAGUUUUAGAUUUUAAGACAAGAUGAUCAGCACACAUAAUCUACUCUAGAUUGAAAUUAAUACAGAAAGAGCUACCCAGAAGCAAUAUAAUGUUGAAAUCUCAAACUGUUAACAUUUUAACUCUUCAUAUUCUGUAAUGAACUGGUGCACACUUGAAUCUAGCAUUUUAUAUACAUCGAGAGCUUAAUUCUAGUGACCAGAAUUUCAUCAUGUUUCUGUCUGCCACCCAUCCAUAGCUCCAUCUAAUAAACGCCAUUGCUUGAAACUUGCAUUCAUGCUUACACUGACAAUACUUCAUGAUAUAUCCAAUUCAUUCGCAGAUUUUCAUUCUCUGCUACUGUUAUAUAUGAUUGCAUUGCAGGGACAUAGCAAUGGAAUACGUAGAGCCUGUUGCCGGCAUUGCAACUUGUCUCGGAACUCCUGUUUGUAAAUAUUUGCAAUAUCACAGAAAGCUGAACGAUUAUGUGAGAAGCUUCAAGAGGAUCAGAGAUGAAUUGAAUUGCAAAAUGGAAGAUAUAGAGCUGCAAUUGAAAGCAGAGCUUCUUUCUCCUGGGAGGAAGAUACCAAAGCAGGGAGUUGAAAAUUGGUUGAAAGAUGCGAAUGAGAUGAUUGCGGAAGCACAGGAUGUGGAAAAUAAAGUCAGAAACGGGAGAUAUCUCUGUCGUGCUUGCAACGGGAAGCUGGUUGAUGAGAAGACUGGAGAAAUGAAGGGAUUUCUUGAUAAAGCUCCUAAUGCCUCUGAAGGUCUUGCCAUAGAUGGUCCAAGUGCUGGGUUGCCGCUGCCAACAUCAGAACUAGUUGGAGAGGAAGCUGUCAGAAAUGAGAUUUGGGCAUGUUUGAUGCAGGAGAAGGUGAGCAAGAUUGGGGUUUGGGGGAUGGGCGGUGUAGGUAAAACCACUAUCAUGAAGCACAUCCACAAUGAUCUUUUAAAGCAACAAAGAUUCGAAAGGGUAAUCUGGGUUACCAUAUCAAAGGAGUUCAAUGUAAUGAAGGUACAAGAUGAUAUUGCAGCUGCUUUGAAGUUGAAGGAAGAUUGGCCUAGAGAAGGAGACAAGCUCAGACGAGCUGCAAUCUUGUCAGAAAUUCUGAAGAAAGUAGGAAAGCAUGUUCUAAUCCUAGAUGAUGUGUGGGAUGAAGUCUCUCUAGAAGAAGUUGGGAUCCCUGAGCCGAGUGACAGCAAUGGCUGCAAGUUGGUGUUGACAACCCGUUCGGAGCAUGUCUUUAAGUAUAUGGGCUGCACGGUGAUAAAAGUGAAGCCCGUUUCAGCACAACAGGCAUUGACACUAUUCUUGAGUAAAGUUGGCCCGAACAUAGUGCAAAAUCAAACUUUAAUGCCAAUUUUGAGGCUCGUUGUUGAAGAAUGUGCGGGUCUACCUCUUACAAUUGUCGUCAUAGCUGGUACAUUGAGAGGAGAAGAUGACCCUCUUAUUUGGAAAAAUACACUAAGGGAAUUGAAAGAGAGAAUAGGGAAAGUGCAAGAAGGGGAAGAUAAAGUGAUCGAGAGUUUGAAAGUUAGCUUCAAUCACUUAAAAGACGAGAAAAUGAAGCAUUGUUUCUUACAUUGUGCAUUAUAUCCCGAAGAUUUUGGAAUUGAAAAGCAUGGGCUAAUUGAUAGCUGGAUUGAAGAGGGAUUCAUAGAUGACAUGAGUACAAGACAAGAAACGAAAGAUAAGGGCCAUGUUAUUUUGAAGAAAUUAGAAGAUAAUUGCUUGUUGGAAAAGGUCUCGAGUGUAACAGUGAAAAUGCAUGAUGCAGUGAGAGACAUGGCAUUGUCGAUCACAAGAAUGAAUCCUCGAUAUAUGAUACAAGCAGGUUCGCAAUUAGAAGAGUUACCAGAAAAGGAGCAAUGGAGUCCGGAUAUUGAGAAAGUGUCACUUAUGUAUAACUCCAUAUCAGAAAUUUCCAUAGAUGUGCUGCCCACAAAAUGUCAACUGCUCACAACCUUGUUAUUGCAGGAGAACCCUAUAAAGAAGAUCUCAAGUUCUUUCUUCACAAACAUGCCUUGUCUUAGUGUUCUCAAUUUGUCCUCUACGAAGAUCAAAAGUUUACCAAAUUCCAUCUCUGAACUAAAGAACCUCACAACAUUGUUGCUUUGUGGUUGUGAAGAAUUAAGAGAUCUGCCAUGUCUUUCGAUGCUUCAAGAAUUGAAAAAGUUGGAUCUUUCUGGGACUAAAAUUGAGGAAGUCCCUGAAGGAAUGGAUAUGCUGAUAAAGCUAAGAUAUCUUGAUCUUAGAGUGCGCACUCUGAAAGAGAUACCCGCGGGACUUUUACCAAAACUCGUUCACCUUCAGCACUUGGGUUUUCAUGAGAACAAUGAAAAAACAAGUCUAAAAGCAGAGGAGAUGGAACCAUUGAAGAAGUUGGAGUACUUAACCGGACAUUUCGAAGACAUCAGUGAAUUCAAUAAGUUCAUCUCCUCAAUGCAACAAAGUAAGAAAAAUAUCAUCAAGUACUUUUUACAGGUGGGCUCAUAUAAUGUGUGUAUUGGAAGGGAGAAAAAAGUAACAAUUGGAGGAGUCCAGAAUUGGGAAGGUGAGUUAAUUAUGCACCCAAUUGAAAUUCGAGAUUUGACUAUUAUAAGGUGCGACUAUUUCAGAAACUUAGUCGAUGAUGAUUCUUCCUUCAAAAAUGCGAUUGACUUGAGGGUUUGUAGGAUUUGGGGGUGUGAAGGGAUAGAGUGUGUUGUUUCCCUGUCCUCUUUUGCCUCUUCUUCCGCUCAUCUAUUUCAGAGCCUCGAGGUGUUGUAUCUUCGUGAUCUGCCAAAGCUGAGUGCCUUUAUUAUGAAUGAUGCAGGAAUUGGUUCAGCAACAACAUCAACAUUGGCUCCGUCUGCCACCUUUUCCCAUCUCAAGGAAAUUAUGAUAGUGAACUGCUCAAGUAUGAAGACGCUGCUUCCACAUUGGUUGCUUCCAAACCUCCAAAACCUGGAAGAAAUAGAUGUGGAUGCUUGUAGUCAGCUAGUAGAAAUAUUGGGAGCAGCAACAUCAGAAGUCGAAGAAAAAGGGAGUGAUGCAUUAAUCAAAUUCCAUCUUCCUAAACUGAGAGUGCUGUCAUUCUGGGAAUUACCAAAUUUGAAGAGCAUAUGCAGCAAAAGUGGAGUGAUGGUUUGUGAUUCUCUCCAACUUAUCCAAGUUGCUGGAGACUGUUAUAAACUGAAGAGAAUUCCUCCAUUUGUUCCUCUUGUUGGCAAUGGGCAGCCAUUUGCAUAUGCUCCACCUUCUCUUACCAUCUUCUCAAGCACAGCAUGGUGGGAAUCGUUGGAGUGGGAUGACCAUCCAAACUUUAAAAAUGUUCUUCGCUUCAACCCCCGUUGAGGAUAAGAGGUAUGAACCAUUUAUGGUUUAGUUUAUUUUUUUUAUUUUGAUAAAUCUAAUUUCUCCAUAUUAAUUAAAUUUGAAGUAUAUUUGUGAAGAUGUUGAAGAGAAAGAUAAAAGGGUUGGUGGGAAAGAAGUAGGGGGAGGAUAGUGCAAAAGAGAGGAGAAAAGGAAUGAUGGAAGAACAUGGAGACUGAGGGGCAAAGGUAAAUAAGAAAUCAAACUGUCUCCCCUUUUUAAACAUUUUCCCUCUCUUGCCAUUCCUUCUAUUCUCUUAUAUAUUCUUCUCUAGUAUAUAUAUAUAUAUAUACACUUCCCAAAAUAACCUUCUAAAUAUUUAUUAUUAAAAUAUUUAUAUUAAUCAAAAUGAUUUAAGGUGAGACAAAACUAUGAUCAUAGUUUUAUUUCCAAUAAAAGUUAGGAAAGUAUUGUAAAAAGACAUAAUAUUUUUUAAUUUCCAUGUAAAAUUUCUGGAAACAUUAAGAUUUAAAAAAUAAUAAUAUAGUUAGAAAUUAAUACCAAGAGAGCUACCCAGAAGCAAUAUAAUGUUGAAAUCCCAAACUGUUGAACAUUUUACCUCUUAAUAUUCUGUUGCACACUUGAAUCCAGCAUUUUGUAUACAUUGAGAGGUUAAUUCUGGAUAUACAAAUUUCAUCAUGUUUCUGUCUGCCACCCAUCCAUGGCUCCAUCUAAUAAACGCCAUUGCUUCAAACUUGCACUCAUGCUUACACUGACAUAUCAAAAAGCCAAUACAUUCACAGAUUUUCAUUCUCUGCUACUGUUAUAUUUGCAUGGACAUAGCAAUGGAGUACGUAGAGCCUGUUCUUGGCAUUGCAAAUUGUCUCGGAACUCCGGCUUAUAAAUACUUGCUGUAUCACAGAAAGCUCAAUGAUUGUGUGAGAAACUUCAAGAGGAUGAGAGAUGAGUUGAAUUGCAAAACGGAAUAUAUAGAGUUGCAAUUGAAAGCAGAGCUUCUUCGUCCUCUGGGGAAGAUACCGAAGAAGGGAGUUGAAAAUUGGUUGAAAGCUGUGAAAGAGAUGAUUAGGGAAGCACAAGUUGUUGAAAACAAAGUCAGUAACGGGAGAUAUCUCUGUCGUACUUGCAACGGGAAGCUGGUUGAUGAAACGACUCGAGAAAUGAAGGAAUUUCUUGAUAACGCUCCUAAUGCCUCUGAAGGUCUUGCAAUGGAUGGUCCAAGUGCUGGGUUGCUACUGCCAACAUCAGAACUAGUUGGAGAAGAAGCUGUCAGAAAUGAGAUUUGGGCAUGUUUGAUGCAGGAGGAGGUGAGCAAGAGUGGGGUUUGGGGAUGGGCAUAAAAAAGUAUUAAAAUAGAUCAUUGCUAAUUCUCUGUUUUCUUAAUCGGUAAGUUUCUCUCUUCAAAUCCUUUUAUUUCUUUAUUGAAUCCAUGGCAUAUCAUUUGCAAACCGAUUUCUGUACAGUUUGUUUGUUCAAUUUUCACUUUCCAGUUUUUUUCUUGAUUUAGAUGGAAGAUUCUUUUGCUGCAUUUGAAGAGUUUCUAAAAAUUUUAGUGUUUUCCUAAAUCUAACUUUCUCGACACCAGGUGCACGUAUAAAUUCCUUUCGUGGAGAUUAUUUAUCAUGUUUGUGUGUUUCGUCUUUUGAGGUUGAGCUGUUUUUAUUUUCAAAAAUAAAUAUUUAUUUUCUUUUGCAUUUAUUUCUAAGAUCACCAUAAAUUGUUUAGGGUUGUCGAUUUUGGGGAUUUUAUGGAUAAAUUUUUUUUCAUAUCAGAUGCUCCAACUUUGUGCUUAUGAGUGAUCUUCAAACCUAGGUUAAUGCUGCUCUGACGAAUGAAGAUACUUGCAUGGAUGGAUUCUUAAGCAGGGCUAUGAAUGGGUAUGCAAAGAUGAUGGUGAGGAAACGAAUUAUUAAGAUUACACAAUUGACGAGCAAUGUUUUGGCUCUCAUCAAUAACUACGCUUCAUCUCAGAUCCUUCAUUGAUUUUCUUGAGAAAAUUUUGAUGGCAAGGAAAGCAUUGUGUUUCAUGGAUUUAUGUUCAAUAUGGGAUUUUAUGGUUUUCGAACAAGACUUAAGUUUUUAAGGUACUGUAGAUUGUGUUCUCAAUUCUAUGUUUGUGGUUAUUGAUUUUUGCAAUUGUAUCGGUUUGAAUAUGAAAUUUGUGUUCGUGUAUAUUUAGGGGUUUUUUUAUUGUUCUUUUAGUAAUUUUAAAGCCAUUUACUGAUGUGGUAUAUAAGAGAAAAUAAUGUUCUGUUAGUAUCUAAAUUCAUUUGGACCGUCAUGUCAGAGGUUAAUGUUGACCGUUAAAUAGCUAACGGCCACAUCAGCCUCUAUGUUAAAAACAAACCAAUUUGUUAGAAAUUUAAAUUUUACACUAUAAAAUUAAUUUUUAAAAUUAACUAUUCAAUUUGUAAUUGAUUUUAUUAAAUUAAAAUAUUCACUAAUUUUUAAAAAUAUUCUCCAUGUUAAUUAAAAAAUAUUUAAGAAUUCAGUUAAAUGAUAAUCAAUUUAUAUUAAAAUUAACUAUUCAAUUGGUUGUAUUAUUUCAUUAAUGUUCUUAUAAUAUUAUUUCAUUUUUAUUUAUAGACACCAACUUCAAAAUCAGAAGAGAAUUAAUUUACGAGAAGAUAUGAUUUAUACUGUAAACGAUAAAUAAGAUAUUAUCAAUUGAUAUGAUAAAAAUUUAAAUAAUAUAAAAAGAGUAGCAAAAUAAAUUGAAAACAUUUGAUAUGGUCUAAAUGAACUAUAAUAAAAGGAUUAUAUAUUUUGAAAUGGUGAUUUGAGAGACAACUAAUCAAUCCUACUAUCUUGUCUUUUUUAAAUAAUUUGGGAUCAAAGAUCCAUCAAAGAUGACUCACAUAUGUUUCCCAAAGAUACGAUAAAUAUAUAUAUAUAUUCCUAUCAAGCAAGUUGACAGCUAAAGGGUGCAAUUUUGACGUUGCUAAAUUCUCUAGCAUCAAAGAGGCAAGAUAUGUUGCAAACAAGACAUAAAUUACCAAUAUCAACCCCUACUUUUGUAUGAUAGAGAAAAUAUGAUGUACAAGUUUACAGUCAUGGAAUGUAUUAGGUGCAUUGAAGAUAAUUCGGUGUUAGAAUCAAAGAUAUUUAUCGGUAUUUUUGUUAAUUGUAAAAUUGUGCAUAAACUGGAAAAAAUGUUUGAUUGCCAUUACAAGAAUUUCUUUAAAGUUAAUAGUUUGAAAGAUAAUUUUAAGUAGGAGUUGGAAGGCAUUGCUAUAAAGAGAAUCUAAAGAAAGUAAUUUCAUUUUGAGUUUCAAGUGAAAGGAAUGAAAGAAAGGUUGCUUAAAUAAAUACGGAAUUGGAUAUUGAGCUGUUUUGAAUAGUUGGAGCGAAGGACACAUGGACCAUAUGAAAUUCUAGUCUACCAAAGUAAUGCUAAUCAGAUUCCUCUUUGGAAAUGACCAACUUUUCAAAACAUUGUCAAUCUACCUUGAAAGGUGGCAUCGGUGAAAGAAUCAAUCAUGAAAUAUUAAAAUUAUACUAAAAUGACUAUAAAGAUUUAUUUCCCCCAUAAAUAAACAUAUUCUUAUUCUUCCUUAAAAAUUAACAUGAUUUUAUCUUAAUAUACAUGUAUAUAUAUUUAUGUGUCAAAAUAGCCUUCUAAAAUAUUUAUUUUAGAAAAUAAUUUAUAUAAUACAUAUAAAAUUAAUUAUAAACUUAUUUUGAUAUGAUGUCGAAAUUAAAUAUUAUAAUGGUCCUUUACCACAUUCAACACUAACUUUUAUUUUAUUAUUUUUUUAAAAAUAAACUUUAAAUUUUAUAAUAAACAGCAUACAUAGGCUUCAAAUUUUAAGUUUAAAAUAUGGGAUAAUAGUUUACUAUAGACCCAUCCAUGGGCCCUUGACCAGAGUCGGGUGUAUAUAGAUAAAGGUUUUUAUAAUUUGGGUCGGUCCAACUCAAAUUUAAUUUAAAUAAAAAAAUUAUUUUUAAAAUUUAAAUUUAAUUAUAAAAAUAUGCUUCUUUUUUUUUUUUUGAACAUUGAAACGAACUGUUUAGGUAGAUCGAGUUGGGUUGAAAAUGGGUUUGGACUUGAAAAUUUUAGAUUUUUUUAAGAGAAUAAUAAUAUCAAGGAGUCUAGUAAUUAAAAAUUUUAUAUUAAAUUUUUACUGUUUGAAAUCUUCUAAUAACAUAAAAAAAAAUUUAAACCAAAGUUUUUAAAAGAAUUUAGGGUAAACUACACCAUUAGUCACUCAAAAAAGGGUCAAUUUUCAUUUUGAUCACUUAACUAAAAUAAGAUACAAUUUAGUCACUAAUGUUUCUAGAAAAAAAUUUUGGUCACCCGACUAUUAAGUGGCGCUUACUUUAGCUGGUAUGAUAACAAUUUUUGUCACAUCCCAAAAACCAAGUUCGUAGAAAUUGGGUUUGUCAAACCAAGAGUGGUGACGUCCUAUUUUUGAGUUAAGAUUGUGAAAAUUAUGUUAAGUAAAUUGAUUUGGUUCAGUGGUUAAGUGCUUUGGAUGUGUUUAAGGUCUUGUGUUCAAAUCUUUUCCCUUAAAUUUUCAUUAUUUUUGUCCUAACUUUCAUCUCUGAACAUCUAGCUUAUAUAUUAUUUUUGCUCAAUUGAUAAUUAGAAUGAGUUUACUAGUUUAGUGGUAAGGCUUUAGUUUACUUAGAGGUCUUGUGUUUGAAUCUUAUGUGUGUAAAGUGAAAUUAUUUUUGUUUUUAAACUCUAAGAAUUUUUUUUAUAAGGAUAGCUAAUCAAAUUGAGUGUGGAAGUUUUCCAUUUUCCUACAAACUUUCCCCAAAAUUCGCCUCAUUCUGUCGUCCACUUCUUGCCACAUUGUUCACGUUUUCUUUUCCCUUUUCUUCUUCCAUCUACUGAUUUCUAUUUUCUUUUUGCUUUAGUAGUUUUGGAGCCUUCCUUUCUCAUCUUUGCUCUACUAUUUUCUUUUGUGUUAUUAUAUUGGUACGUUGUUGAAUCUCUGUAAUUCCUUCGGGUAAGUGUUGGUUAUUUGUUUUAUAUAAAUGUGGUGUUGGUUUAAUCUUUCAAGUGAUUGAUGGAUUCAAGUUUGAUCUUUGUAAUGUGUUGUUAGGAGAAGAUCGACAGACUCGUGAAUUGUCUCCAGCGGUUUAAGUGCGGGAAAGGGCUGUUGUUCUUGCAAGGGUAAGUGAUUAAAGUUUUCAACUUGAGGUUGAUUCGGUUGUUUAGGCUAAGUGUUUAGCAUUUGUGAUCGAAUUAGUAACUUGGAUUUAGCAUAUUACUAAUAAUUCUUACAUUCUAAAAUGUCGAUUUAGGUAUUGGAAUCCUCGUAUUGGUGUUAACAUCGAAAAUUGAGCAGGUGUGUAACGGAAAAAUCAAAAAAUAGCGAACGGCAAGAUGUCAAAAAACCCACUAUCGACGUCACACAGCCAUGUGCCAAGUUAUGUGGGUCAUACGGGCUGGGUUAUUUGGGCCAUGUGUGUCAGGCUGUGUGCCAGGCCGUGUGGGGCCAUUUUUCGUAAAAUUCUGUCAGGGUCAUUUUUGAAGUGCAAUUUAAAAUUAGUCACUUCUUAGGUUCUGAAAUGUGUUAUGUAUGCAUUCUGGAUACGAAAUUUGAUAUUUUGUUUCUGUUAAUGUGGUUUUUGAAAGCAUAUUAUUCAAUAUUGACAUUGUACGUGUAACAUUUGAGAGUAUGUCUAUGGUAUAAUUUAUGCUUCUGAUCUGUAAUUUGAGAAUCUAUUUAAGCAUGAUUCAUUUAUGUGCAUCUAAGUAUGUAAAAUGUUUUGAUAUGUGCAUUGGGGUGGUAUGAUGAUGUGAUGGAGGAGGUAUUUGGCAGUUUAACUGCAUACUAAUAUUUAUAAGCCAUCGUUGUCGAGCAACUCGAGAUAACUUAAUUUGUGGUUUAAUAUAACUUAAUUUGUGGUUUAACCUCAUAUCUAAUAUGGUGGAUUGAACUCAUUUAUUGAUUUUGGCAGAAUAUCGCAUUAUUUAUGGCAGCUUGACUAUGACUACGCUAUUCUAAAAAGUGAUAUACGCUCACUUAUUGGUGUGACGGAUGGAUGGGCUCUUAUAGUCCUAUUUGGUGUGUAUUGGUGGGAUGGAGAUGGUGUUUAGUGGAUAGGUGUAGGAUCUAUUUCUGUGUCUGUAUUUGCAUCUGUAUUUGUAUCGGCAUCUGAUUUUAUAUAUGAGAUUGCAUCUAUAUCUGAAAUUGAAAUUAUAUAUGUAAUUGAAUUGUCUCUAUUUAUGUAACUGUUACUGUAUUUGAGUCUAUUCUGCCUGUUUGGGUUGAGUUACACACUAAGCCUAUAAGCUCACCCAAGUUCUUUGGCUUUUCAGAUAAUCGGCAUACUAAGGACCAAACGACGUGCAGAAGCUCAUAUUGGGUUCUCAGUUAUUUAAGUAUGAUGGUUCAUGUUUUUAAAUUAUUUUGGACUUUCUAGAUUUUUUGGGGGGUUGUAAAUCUGUUUCUGUAUUUUGCUUUUACGUUUGGGUUUGCUUAGUUGAAUUUAGUAAUUAUUACUUAAAACUACAAAGUUUUGUGUUUUGCAAAUUAAGUCACGAUUUUCGAAAUUUAAUACUUUGAAAUUUCUGCUGCAAAAUAAAGUAAUCAUUUAAGUGUUUUUCUAUAAUAAAAUAAAUAGUUUUAACGAAUGUUUUCUUAAAAACUAGAAAGUGAUUUGCCAGAAUUAAUAUUGCCAAAACACACGAUUUCAAAUUCAAUUUCUAGGUUUUUAAAUAAGUUAAUGUAAUUCCUCCAAAUUUGGUCAUAACGUCUAGGUCGGGUUUGGGAUGUUACAAUUUUAGUCCUUAAUUUUUAUAUUUUUACCAAAUUGACCCUAAUUUUAUAUAAAAAUUAUAAAAAAACUCAAAAUCAUUUAUAAAAUAGAAAAAUGUACGUAAAAUUUUAGAAAAAGAAAAUCUUGAAUAUGUUGCUGAAGAACUAAAUUGUAUGAGAAAUAAAGAAAAGUAUCAUUCAAUAGAAUCCAAUAACAAACUAGGCACAUAAUACAAUAAAAAAGUUAGACCAUUACAUACUUCCUCAACGUUUCUCGAAACCAAAUUAGUAAUAUUAUCUAGUUGAGUUUCAUGCUCUUGAAGAACAUUUAGAACCGGCAUUACAAAGAUUUAUGAAAUCGACCCGGAUGUCAUUUUUUUUAGUCAAAAGAUUACAAAAUAUACCACAAAAUUUUUUUCAAAUUCAAUUCAAAAUUUAAUUAUAUUUAAAAUAUUUUUCAUAACCCAAUUUGUAAAAACAAAUUAUGUUUCUUCUUCCAUGGUCGAGUUGGGCUUGGAAAAGGUUUUUAUGUCUUGACCCGUUACAACUUGAAUUCAAUUUAAAUAAUAAAAGAUAUUUUUAAAAUUUAAAUUUAAUUAAAAAUAUAAAAAUGUUUUUAAUAUUUUAUUAUUUUCUGAACUCUCAAAUGGACUUUUGGAGUGACCAAGCUAGGCUAAAAAUGGGUUAGGCUUGAAAAAAUUUUAGAUUAUUUAUAAGAGUAUAUCAAGGUGUCUAACAAUUACAAUUUUUUUUUGAAAGGUCUUAAUAACACUAGAAAUCUUAUCACACACAUAUGCAUGUGAAAAUCACGUAUUUAUAACACAGACUGUGUUUAAAAAUAACAUACAAUGAAUACUGAAAAGUAUAAUUUGGAACUAAUUAAUAAUAACACGUGAAAUAUGUAUGAUAUUAAAAUAAAAAUUAGAUUAAAUUGAGAGUAAAACAAAAUCUAAACACAAAAAUACAUCAUAUUAAGAAUACUAAAUGAAUACAAAUGUUUAUCAUUGUUUUGUCUUCAAUCCCGAGUUGGUGAUGCUAAAUCAAUAACAUUAUUUACAUACACAAAUAUAUAAAAACUUAGAACACAAAUGUUAUGACAUGUACAUUUCUGACAUUUGUUAAUUCUGCAUGUGCAUUAGGAUGAGAUUUGUGUUUACGGAGGAAGUGUGGGAGUUUAAUUCAUUUGCCUUAUUUGGUGGCUUAGCCACACAUAUUUCUGCAUUUGGCGAUGAAUCACCUAAUGAUCUGGCAGUUAGGCUGCGAAUACUUUGAAAAGUUUUAUAUCGACACUAAGUGGUGUGUAGGGUUUGAUGGUUAUUUAAUACCCUAUAUGGUGUGUAGGGAUGGUCGGAGAUGGUGCGUAACGGAUCGGAGUAGGAUUGUAAUCUACACCUGAUAUGUUCUGAUUCUGUUUCUGUAUAUGAUAUAUGUCUAAUUGACUUCCAAAAGCAUGUUUGAAAAUUAAAUCUAAUAUUUUAACUCUUAUAAGUUACACAUUGAGCUUGUAAGCUCACUCUCAGUUUCUCUUAUUCUUAGGCAAUCCUUAGAUUUAGGUGGGUAGGUGUGACUGGAGCUCGGUUAAUUAUCUUCUUGGUAUAUUUGUUAUUUUAAUUUGGUUUAUUCUAUGUUGGUUUUGAAUUGUUUUUGGACUGUUUUUAAGUUUAGGUUUAUUUUCAUUUUAUUUAUUUAUUUAAACGUUUUUGGUUGGUUUAAAUUUGAUCUACAAAAUGUUAAAUUACAUAGCAACAAACCGUGUUUUCAAAAUCGAACUCAACUAAAAAUUUUCGCUGCAAACGUAAGUGUUUUACGAGUAAAUAAUCGACAAAUUUAUCGAAAUGGCUAAGAAGGAUAUUUUCCCCAAAUAAACUCGGAUUUUACUUAAUAAGAGCUAGCAUUGUUUUAUAAGUCGAACGGAUUUUGGAUUUUCAAAUAAAUUGUAGUAACAUCUCCAGAUUUGGCCAUAACGUCUAGGCCGGGUUUGGGGUGUUAUAGAGCCUAUAAGCUCACCCAAUGUUUCUAACUUCUCAAUUAAUCAACAUAUUUAGGACCAGAUGACGUGCAGGAGAUCAGAUUGAGUUCUCAAUUAUUUAAGUAUGAUGGUUCAUGUUUUUAAAUUAUUCUGGACAUUCUAAUUUUUUUGGGGGUUGUAAAUCUUUUUCUGGAUUUUGCUUUGCUUAGUUGGAUUUAGUAAUUAUUACUUAAAACUACAAGAUUUUGUGUUUUACAAAUUAAGUCAUGGUUUUCAAAUUUUAGUACUCUAAAAUUUUCACUGCAAAAUAAAGUAAUCACUUAAGUGUUUUUCUAUAACAAAAUAAAUAGUUUUAAUGAUUAUUUUCUUAAAAAUUGAAAAGCGAUUUGCCAGAAUUAAUAUUGUCAAAACACACAAUUUCAAAUUUAUUUUUUGGGUUUUUAGACAAGUUAAUGUAAUUCCUCUAGAUUCGACCAUAAAGUAUAAACCAAGUUUGUGGCGUUACAAUUUUUGUCCUCAAUAUAUAUAUAUAUAUAUUGAUCAAUUUGACCCUGAUUUUAUAUAAAAAAAUUAAAAUCAUUUAUAAAAUAGAAAAAUGUAUAUAAAAUUCUAGAAAAAUAAAAUCUUGAAUAUGUUGUUGAAGAACUAAAAUGUAUGAGAAAUAAAGAAAAUAUCAUUCAAUAGAAUCCAAUAACAAUAAAGAAACAAAACGAAAUAAAAAAGUUCAGUUUCAUGCUCUUGAAGAACAUCUAGGAUUGAUAUUACAAAGACUUAUAAAAUCAACCCGGAUGUCUUUUUUUUCCUUGUCAAAAGAUUACAAAAUAUACCACAAUUUUUUUUCAAACUCAUUUCAAGUUUUAAUUAUAUUUAAAUUAUUUUUCAGAACCUAAAUUGUAAAAACAAAAUGUGUUUCUUCUUCCAUGGUUGAGUUGGGCUUAGACAAGGUUUUUAUGUCACGAGCUAUUUCAACUAGAAUUCAAUUUAAAUAAUAAAAAAUAUUUUUAAAUUUUAAAUUUAAUUAAGAAUAUAAAAAUGUUUUUUAAUAUUUUAUUAUUUUUUGAACUCUCAAAUAAACAUUUCUGGGUUGACUGAGCUGGGCUAAAAAUGGAUUAGGCUUGAAAAAAUUUUAGAUUAUUUUUAAGAGUAUAUCAAGAAGUCUAAUAAUUACAAUUUUUUAAAAAGGUUUUAAUAACACUAGAAAUCUUAUCACACGCAUAUGAGUGUGAAAAUCACGUAUUUAGAACACAUAUUUGUUGGUAAAAAGAACAUACAAUAAAUAAUGAAGAGUAUGAUUCGGAACUAAUUAAUAAUAACACAUGAAAUAUGUAUGAUAUUAAAAUAAAAAUUAGAUUAAAUUGAGAGUGAAACAAAAUUUAAACACAAAAACACAUGAAUAUUAAAUGAAUACAAAUGUUUAUCAUUGUUUUGUCUUCAAUACUGAGUUGGUGUCAUGUUCAUUUGUGACGCUAAAUCAAUGACAUGAUUUACAUAUACAAAUAUAUAAAAAUUUAGAACACAAAUAUAGUUAUUAAAGUUUCAAAUGAAAACAUUAUAACUAAUGUAAAUGAAAAAGCUUUAUAUGCAUGGUGUCCCCUAGUUCAAAUAUCAUUAUGGGUAAAUUUUUAUUGAUUUAUAAAAAAAUAUAAAAUGAUGAAAACACCCUCAUAAACAUAUAUCUUACUUUGUAAAUAAAAUAGUAUUUUUGGUAAAAUUUUUAAAAGAAUUUAGGGUAAAAUUCAACUAUGAUUAAGUUUUUAUUUUGGUCACUUAACUAAAAUAUGUUACAAUUUGAUCACUAAUGUUUUAGAAAUUAUUUUUUUUUUGACACCCAACUAUUAAGUGGCACUUGUUUUAGUUGGUAUAAUAAUAAUUCUAGUCAUCAGUUCUUAUAUUUUUUUGUCAAUUUGACUCUGAUUGUGUAUAAAAAAUUAUUAAAAAAGCUCAAAAUAUUUAUAGAAUAGAAAAAUGUAGAUAAGAUUUCUAGAAAAAUAAAAUCUUGAAGUUGUUGAAUAACUAAAUUGUAUGAAAAAUAAAGAAAAUUAUGAUUUAAUAAAAUACAAUAACAAAUUGAAAACAAAACAAAGUUACAUUUUGCACCUUAUACUUGUUCAUAAUAGCUAAUAUUCACAUAAUUUUUCAAUUCACAGCUAAACAUAUAGAUGAAAUAUUCAAGUACAAUUUACACAUAAUAUAAAACCAGAGAGUAAGUUUCAAAUUUAAUGUCACACCCUGAUACAACUCAUUGACUUGUAUAUUUAAUUUCAAGAUGUAUAUUCAAUACUGACAACUUCAACAAUGCAAAUCCUUUAGUAAUGGGGUGCCAAUAACUAUACCUAACGCAGCUCCUUUACUUGUCUAUUUAAUUUCAGGUUAUGCAUUCUGAUACCCUGCCAACUAUUAUUUUUAUUAAAUAUUAUUUAUUGCCAUCUUCAAUGAUUUUGUUUUGAUCUCCAAGGUCUACCACAACAUUUCAAGCAUCCUGUCAAGGUAAUUAAUUUUCUUUCAUUUGCUUAACUCAUCACAUGCUUUUCUUUGCUCGAUUCAUGACUUUGCAACGAUUCUUUCUGAUUAUCUGCUACUCUUAUCAGCUAGCUUUGUAAGACAGCCAAGGAAGAAGUGAACUUCACUGCUUCAUUUUCAGUUCUAUUCACUCAACACUUUUCAGCCACUAAGUCAGGUAAUAAGAUCUGAAGCUAUGGUUUCCUCUACUGAUUAUCAACAGUUUUAGAUUUUAAGAUAAGAUGAUCAGCAGACAUAAUCUACUCUAGAUUGAAAUUAAUACAGAAAGAGCUACCCAGAAGCAAUAUAAUGUUGAAAUCUCAAACUGUCAACAUCUUAACUCUUAAUAUUCUGUAAUGAACUGUUGCACACUUGAAUCUAGCAUUUUAUAUACAUCGAGAGCUUAAUUCUGGUGACCAGAAUUUCAUCAUGUUUCUGUCUGCCACCCAUCCAUAGCUCCAUCUAAUUAACGCCAUUGCUUGAAACUUGCAUUCAUGUUUUCCUUUUCAUGCUUACACUGACAUAUCAAUACUUCAUAAAAUAUCCAAUUCAUUCACAGAUUUUCAUUCUCUGCUACUGUUAUAUUUGAUUGCAUUGCAGGGACAUAGCAAUGGAGUACGUAGAGCCUGUUGUCGGCAUUGCAAAUUGUCUCGGAACUCCUGUUUGUAAAUAUUUGCAAUAUCACAGAAAGCUGAACGAUUAUGUGAGAAACUUCAACAGGAUCAGAGAAGAAUUGAAUUGCAAAAUGGAAGAAAUAGAGCUGCAAUUGAAAGCAGAGCUUCUUCGUCCUCUGGGGAAGAUACCGAAGAAUGGAGUUGAAAUUUGGUUGAAAGCUGUGACAGAGAUGAUUGCGGAAGCACAGGAUGUUGAAAACAAAGCCAGUAACGGGAGAUAUCUCUGUCGUGCUUGCAACGGGAAGCUGGUUGAUGAAAAGACUCGAGAAAUGAAGGAAUUUCUUGAUAAAGCUCCUAAUGCCUCUGAAGGUCGUGCCAUGGAUGGUCCAAGUGCUGGGUUGCCACUGCCAACAUCAGAACUAGUUGGGGAGGAAGCUGCAAGAAAAGAGAUUUGGGCAUGUUUGAUGCAAGAGGAGGUAAAAGAGAUUGGGGUUUGGGGGAUGGGCGGUGUGGGUAAAACCACUAUCAUGAAGCACAUCCACAAUGAUCUUUUGAAAGAACAAAGAUUCGAAAGGGUAAUCUGGGUUACCAUAUCAAAGGAGUUCAAUGUCAUGAAGGUACAAGAUGAUAUUGCAGCUGCUUUGAAGUUGAACGAAGAUUGGCCUAGAGAAGGAGACAAGCUAAGACGAGCAGCAAUCUUGUCAGAAAUGCUGAAGAACGCAGGAAAGCAUGUUCUAAUCCUAGAUGAUAUGUGGGAUGAAUUCUCUCGAGAAGAAGUUGGGAUCCCCGAGCCGAGUGACAGCAAUGGCUGCAAGUUGGUGUUGACAACCCGUUCGGAGCAUGUCUGUAAGUUUAUGGGUUGUAAGGUGAUAAAAGUGAAGCCCCUUUCAGGACAACAGGCAUUGACACUAUUCUUGAGUAAAGUUGGUGUUGAAGUAAUGGUCAGCAUGCAGCAACCAAGACUGUCAAAGGCACUACAUGCAGAAGCUGCUGGUUCACCUAGUCAGCAAGCUGUUUAUGUUUCAUUUUGUAAUUUUAAGUUAGAGUAAUGUAACUUAGUUGCUUUAUAACUAUGUUAGGUUUAUGUUUAAUGUAAUUUUGAUGUUGACUGAGCUGAUAAAUCAGCUUUGUUUGUUUAUUCAAGCUAAUUAGCACAAGUUACUAUGUGUAUUAGUGGUAGUAGGUGAAGUUUAGGUCAACCUACUGUUUUGUCAAGAUUGUAAACUUGUUUUAUGUAUUGGCUUUGUGCCAUUUUUGGUUUGAUGAAUGAAUUCAAGAAGUUAUCAUCCAUAUGCUCUCCAUUUUUAGUUUUGCUUAAAAAUCCAUUUGAGUUUUCUGCUUUGUUUCUCCUACAAGUCACGAGACUUGCCAUACAAGCAUUCUGCUGAAGCUUGCUGCUGCUGCCUCUUGCUCCAACAAUUGGUAUCUAGAGCCACAUUCUUAGAGGACCUGUUGUAGUUCAGUAUCAAAACGAUGGCAUCAUCAGGUUUUUCACCAGCUUCACCACCUGUCUUCAAUGGAGAGGGCUUCAACAUUUGGGCAGUUAAGAUGAGGACUUACCUGCAGGCAUUCGACCUAUGGGAAGUUGUUAACUCAGAUACUGAGCCAGCACCUCUUCGAGCUAAUCCAACAGUUGCUCAAAUAAGGCAACACACUGAUGAAAGGACAAAAAGGCACAAGGCCAUGUCAUGCAUACAGAAUUGUGUGACAGAUGUGAUCUUUAUGAGGAUCAUGGCCUGUGAGACACCAAAGGAGGCUUGGGACAAGCUGAAAGAAGAAUUUCAGGGGACUGAGAAAACAAGGCAACAACAGCUGCUCAAUUUGAGAAGAGAUUUCGAAAAUCUCAAAAUGAAAGAGGAAGAAACAGUUAAGCAGUACUCAGACCAGAUUAUGGCUGUUGUAAACAGCAUAAGGCUCCUAGGAGAGCAAUUCAGUGAAGCUAGAAUGGUUGAGAAAGUCAUGUCCACUCUACCAGAGAGGUAUGAAGCUAAAAUUUCAUCCCUCGAAGACUCAAGGGACUUGACAACUAUCUCCUUAACUGAGCUAAUCAAUGCCUUGUAUGCACAAGAGCAAAGAAGAGCUAGCAGACAAGAGGAGCACCAGGAAGGGGCUUUUCAAGCCAAAGAAGCCUCGAGCAUCAAAACUCAUAAAGGCAAAAAGUUCUGGAAAAACAGGCCUAAGCCUGAUGCUGCUAGGAGCAGUGACCAACUCUGCAGACAUUGUAAAAGAGCUGGUCAUCCAGAAGAUAGAUGCUGGUUUAGACCAGAUGCAGUAUGCCAACACUGCAAGAAAAAAGGCCAUGUUGAAAAAGUUUGCAAGAAUAGAAGCAAACCAAGACAGAAUCAAUUUCAGCAACAAAAGGUGGAAGCUCGAGUAGCUGAAGAAAGCAGUGAUCAAGAAGAACAUGUUUUUGCUGUGUCAUGUGCAGGAAAUCAGAAGAAGGGUUCAAAGGGCUGGCUUCUAGACAGUGGGUGCACAAACCACAUGUCACCAGAUGCAACUAUCUUCAAAACCCUGGACAGAACCUGCAAAACCAAAGUAAAAAUUGGAAAUGGUCAGUUAAUCAAUGCUGAAGGAAGAGGAGAUGUGCUGAUUCAUACUUCUACAGGUGGCAAAAUCAUUUCAAAUGUACUUUUGGUACCUGAAAUCGAUAGGAACCUUCUCAGUAUAACUCAACUACUUGAGAAAGGUUACUCAGUUGUUUUCAAGGAGAAAGAAUGUCAAAUUUUUGAUCCAAGUGGAUCAAAUCUUAUAACAGUCACCAUGACUGAUAAAUGUUUUGAAGUAGACUGGCCAAAUGACUCACAUUCAGCCUGCAUAGCCUCCACUGAUGACUCGAGACUCUGGCAUCAGAGGCUUGGAAUGCAAACUACAAAUCCAUAGCCCGCAUGGUCAAUGAAGGUCUGGCAGAAAAUUUCAUUGAUUCAGUGAAGAAUGAUGAGCUUUGUGAGAUAUGUCAGCAAGGAAAAUUGGCAAGAUUGCCAUUUCCAACAAGCACAACAUGGAGAGCAUCAGAGAAGCUCCAGCUUGUGCAUACAGAUGUGUGUGGACCAAUGAAGACUGAGUCUCUCAAAGGAAGCAGGUACUUUAUUUUAUUUAUUGAUGACUUAACAAGAUACUGCUGGAUUUAUUUUCUAAAACAGAAAUCAGAAGUACCAUCUAUGUUCCUGAAGUAUAAGGCUGCUGUUGAAACUGAGUCUGGUUGCAAACUUAGAGCAAUGAGGUCAGAUAAUGGAACUGAGUACACCUCAGCUCAGUUCCAAGUCUACUGUGAAGAAGCAGGUAUCAAACACCAGUUGACUAAUGUGUAUACACCCCAACAGAAUGGGGUCAGUGAAAGGAAAAACAGAAGCUUGAUGAACAUGGCAAGAUGUCUUCUGUUUGAGAAGAAUUUGCCCAAAAGUCUGUGGGCUGAAGCUGUUAACACAUCAGUUUAUCUCCAAAACAGGCUCCCAACCAAGGCUCUGGCUGAGAAGACUCCAUUUGAAGCCUGGUUUGGGUUUAAGCCAUCACUGGCUCAUCUCAGAACCUUUGGUUGUCUGUGCUAUACUCAAGUUCCAGCUGAGAAGAGAAGCAAGCUAGAUAAAAGAGCUCAAGCAGGGAUCCUGAUCGGCUACAGCUUGGUUAAGAAGGGCUACAGAAUUCUAGAACCUGCUACAAACAAGAUAUUGGUUAGCAGGGAUGUUGUUUUCAAUGAAAAAGGACACUGGAAUUGGGAGAAGGCUGAACCAGAGGCAGUGGCUGAAGAUUUGGCAGUGGACCAAGUUGAAAAUGAUGAAAACACACCUGAAAUGGAUGUAGAUGAUGUUCCAAUCAGAGGCACUCGAUCACUGGCUGAUGUUUAUGAAAGAGCACAAGUGGCUACUGUUGAACCAAGUUGCUUUGAAGAAGCAGAAAACCAGGAGGACUGGAAGCAAGCCAUGAUUGAAGAAAUCAGAAUGAUUGAAAAGAAUCAGACCUGGAGUCUGGUUGAUAAACCAACAAACAGGAAAAUUAUUGGUGUCAAAUGGGUUUAUCGAGUAAAAAACAAUGCUGAUGGUAGCCUAAACAAGUUAAAGGCUAGAUUGGUUGUGAAAGGCUUCAGUCAAAGUUAUGGAUCAGACUACCUGGAAACCUUUGCACCAGUGGCCAGGCUAGACACUAUUAGACUGCUAGUUGCCUUAGCAGCACAAAAACAGUGGCUGAUACACCAACUUGAUGUAAAAUCAGCAUUUCUGAAUGGAUUCCUUGAAGAGGAGAUUUAUGUGGAGCAACCUCAAGGUUUCAAGGUGUCUGGCAAAGAAGAUAUGGUGUACAAGCUCAACAAAGCCUUGUAUGGCUUGAAACAGGCUCCAAGGGCCUGGUAUAGCAGAAUAGAUGGCUAUCUGACCAGUCAAGGAUUUGAAAGAAGUCUUAGCGAGCCAACUCUGUAUGUUAAAUCAACUAGUGCUGAAACUCAGCUCAUUGUCUCAAUAUAUGUCGAUGACCUACUGGUGACAGGAGGAGAUCAUGAGAUGCUAAGCAGUUUUAAAGUCAAAAUGCAACAGCACUUUGAAAUGUCAGACUUGGGAUUGAUGUCUUACUUCUUAGGCAUGGAAGUAACUCAAGCUAAGAAUGGGAUUUGGCUAAGUCAAAAGACCUUUGCUAUGAAGGUUCUCAACAAAUUCUCAAUGGAGAAUUGCAAAGCAACCAGCACACCAGUUGCUGUUGGAGAAAAACUCUCGAGCCAAGACAAGCAUGAAAAGGUUUGUGAAACAACCUAUCGAAGUCUAGUUGGAUGUUUGUUGUAUUUGACUGCUACUAGACCUGACAUAAUGUAUGCUGUGAGUCUACUCUCGAGGUUUAUGCAUUCUUCAAAUGAAAGUCAUUUUAGAGCUGCAAAAAGGGUUCUAAGAUACAUCAAAAGAACUUUGUCCUAUGGAAUGCAGUUUACCAAGGCUGAGAACUUGAGGCUAGUUGGAUAUUGUGACAGUGACUGGGCUGGUUCUUUGGAUGAUAUGAAGAGCACUACAGGUUAUGCAUUCAACAUAGGCUCUGCUAUGAUAUGCUGGAGCUCAAAGAAGCAAGGAGUAGUGGCUCAGUCGACUGCAGAAGCAGAAUAUGUGGCUGCUGCUGCAGCAGUCAAUCAAGCCAUAUGGCUUAGAAAAAUUUUGAAAGAUAUAAUCAUGAGCAAAAGGAAGCAACUGAGAUAAUGUGUGACAACCAAUCAGCAGUUGCUAUUGCAAAGAAUCCUGUUUUUCAUGGAAGGACCAAGCACUUCAACAUCAAACUUCAUGCAGUUCGGGAAAUGGAACAAGCUCAUGUUGUUAAGCUGAUACAUUGCAGUUCUGAAGAGCAAAUUGCUGAUAUUUUAACAAAAGCACUAAGUGUUUCCAAGUUUCAACACCUGAGAGCUAAUAUGGGAGUUUGCAACAUGCUAACCAAGGAGGAGUGUUGAAGUAAUGGUCAGCAUGCAGCAACCAAGACUGUCAAAGGCACUACAUGCAGAAGCUGCUGGUUCACCUAGUCAGCAAGCUGUUUAUGUUUCAUUUUGUAAUUUUAAGUUAGAGUAAUGUAACUUAGUUGCUUUAUAACUAUGUUAGGUUUAUGUUUGAUGUAAUUUUGAUGUUGACUGAGCUGAUAAAUCAGCUUUGUUUGUUUAUUCAAGCUAAUUAGCACAAGUUACUAUGUGUAUUAGUGGUAGUAGGUGAAGUUUAGGUCAACCUACUGUUUUGUCAAGAUUGUAAACUUGUUUUAUGUAUUGGCUUUGUGCCAUUUUUGGUUUGAUGAAUGAAUUCAAGAAGUUAUCAUCCAUAUGCUCUCCAUUUUUAGUUUUGCUUAAAAAUCCAUUUGAGUUUUCUGCUUUGUUUCUCCUACAAGUCACGAGACUUGCCAUACAAGCAUUCUGCUGAAGCUUGCUGCUGCUGCCUCUUGCUCCAACAGUUGGCCCGAACAUAGUGCAAAAUCAAACUUUAAUGCCAAUUUUGAGGCCCGUUGUUGAAGAAUGUGCGGGUCUACCUCUUACAAUUGUUGUCGUAGCUGGUACAUUGAAAGGAGAAGAGGACCCUCUUAUUUGGAAAAAUGCACUCAGGGAAUUGAAAGAGAGAAUAGGGAAAGUGAAAGAAGCGGAAGAUAAAGUGAUCGAGAGUUUGAAAGUUAGCUUCAAUCACUUAAAAGACGAGAAAAUGAAGCAUUGUUUCUUACAUUGCGCAUUAUAUCCUGAAGAUUUUCAAAUUUGGAAGUAUGGGCUAAUUGAGUGCUGGAUUGAAGAGGGAUUCAUAGAUGAUAUGGGUACAAGACAAGAAAUGAAAGAAAAGGGCCAUGUUAUUUUGAAGAAGUUAGAAGAGAAUUGCUUGUUGGAAAAUACUACCAAUGUAAAUGGUCAACCUUGCGUAAAGAUGCAUGAUGCAGUGAGAGAGAUGGCAUUGUCGAUCACAAGAAUGAAUCCUCGAUGUAUGAUACAAGCAGGUUUGCAAUUAGAAGAGUUACCAGAAAAGGAGCAAUGGAGUCCGGAUAUUGAGAAAGUGUCACUGAUGUAUAACUCCAUAUCAGAAAUUUCCAUAGAUGUGCUGCCCACAAAAUGUCAACUUCUCACAACCUUGUUAUUGCAGGAGAACCCUAUAAAGAAGAUCUCAAAUUCUUUCUUCAUAAACAUGCCUUGUCUUAGUGUUCUCAAUUUGUCCUCUACGAAGAUCAAAAGUUUACCAAAUUCCAUCUCUGAACUAAAGAACCUCACAACAUUGUUGCUUUCUGGCUGUUAUGAAUUAAGAGCUCUGCCAUGUCUUUCGAUGCUUCAAGAAUUGAAGAAGUUGGAUCUAAGUUGGACUAGAAUUGAGGAAGUACCAGAAGGCAUGGAUAUGCUGAUAAAGCUAAGAUAUCUUGAUGUUCAAGUGUUCACUCUGAAAGAGAUACCCGCUGGACUUUUACCAAAACUCGUUCACCUUCAGCACUUGGGUUUUCAUAAGGACAAUAAAAGAACCAGUCUAAAAGCAGAGGAGAUGGAACCAUUGAAGAAGUUGGAGAACUUAACCGGACAUUUCGAAGACGUCAGUGAAUUCAGUAAGUUCAUCUCCUCAAUGCAACAAAGUAAGAAAAAUCUCAUCAAGUACGAUUUACAGGUGGGCUCAUCUUUUAUGCGUGCUACAAGAGAUAAAACAGUAACAAUUGGAGGAUUCCAUGAUUGGGAAGGUGAGUUAAUUAUGCACCCAAUUGAAAUUCAACAGUUGAAUAUUUUAAAGUGCCACAAUUUAAGAAGCUUAGUCAAUGAUAAUUCUUCCUUCAAAAAUGCGAUUGGCUUGAGGGUUUGGUGGUGUGAAGGGAUAGAGUGUGUUGUUUCCCUGUCCUCUUUUGCCUCUUCUUCCGCUCAUCCAUUUCAGAGCCUCGAGAUGUUGGAUCUUAGUGAGCUACCAAAGUUGAGUGCCCUUAUUAUGAAAGAUGAAGGAAUUGGUCCAGCAACAACAUCAACAUUGGCUCCGUCUGCCGCCUUUUCCCAUCUUAAGGAAAUUACGAUAGACAGCUGCUCAAGUAUGAAGACGUUGCUUCCACAUUGGUUGCUUCCAAACCUCCAAAACCUGGAAGUAAUAUCAGUGUCACACUGUGAUAAGGUAGCAGAAAUAUUGGGAGCACCAACAUCAGAAGUUGAAGAAAAAGGGAGUGAUGCAUUAAUCAAAUUCCAUCUUCCUAAAUUGAGAAAGUUGAAAUUGUGGAGAUUACCAAAUUUGACGAGCAUAUGCAGCAAAAGUGGAGUGAUGGUUUGCGAUUCUCUCCAAGUUAUCCAAGUUGCUGGAGACUGUUAUAAACUGAAGAGAAUUCCUCCAUUUGUUCCCCUUGUUGGCAAUGGGCAGCCAUUUGCAUAUGCUCCACCUUCUCUUACCAUCAGGUCAUGGAAAGAAUGGUGGGAAUGGUUGGAGUGGGAUGACCAUCCAAACUUUAAAAAUGUUCUUCAACCCCUUUGGAAGGAUGGAAGGUAUGAACCAUUUAUAGCUUAGUUUAUUUUAUUUAAUUUAUAAAUCUAAUUUCUGAAUUUUAAAACCAUUUCAUGUUAUAUUUUAUUUUUGUUAUAAGAUGAUGCUGCCUCCAUUGCCGCCAAAGAAGUAGAAGAGAGUAGCAGCGCGGAGGAUGGUGCAAAAAAGGCGGGAAUAAAAGGAAUGAUGGAGCAUUGAGGAAUUGAGCAGCCACCAUAAUAAUUGACUCCUUUUCCAUUUUAAUAACAAAUUAUUUUAUUUGUAUUUUUAUAUAAAACAAUUAAAUUCAAAUAUUAUAUAAAAAAUCUUUAUAUGUUCUUAAUUGAAUUGAUGUAAUUCGUUAAUUGAAUUUUAAUAUUAUUUUCAUAAAAUAACAAAUAUUAUUUUGAGAAUAUUUUUAUUUUUUACAUAAAAUUUUAAAAUAUAUAUGUACAUGUUGAAAUUUAAAUCUAAAACAUCACAUUCUUUAAUACCUCAAUUCUAUUAUUUAAAAUUAUAGUACUCUUUACUUAUAUUGAUCUAUUGGCAUAAUCUUAAUUAGAUAUGUUUGUAUUGAUCGUAAAGUGAAAUUAUUUUUCUUAACAUUUAUAAUUGAUUAAUAUUAAAAUAUUUGAAAUUAAAAAUAAAUUACUAAAAUUAAUUUUAAAAAAAAUUAGAUUUAAAAUGGAAUUAAAAUAUAAUAUCAAAUUAUUACUACCUUUAUAGUAUAAUUUAUUGGAUAAACUACACCGUAGGUUAUUCUAAAACAAUAUUAUUUCUAUUUUGGUCACUUUAUUUUUUUAUCAAUUUAGUCACUUUAAUUAAAAUAAUUGCUUGAAUUAGACAUUGACAUGACAUUUUUUUUUACUUUUGACUAAAGCUAGGGAUUUUUCUAUUAGCCCAAAACAUUUGUUUUUGUUUAUUUGCAACCACAUAUCCUUGUCGCCACUCAUCCCCUGCUUUCCAUCUCUAUUGCUCCUCACUGCACCAUAAGAACUACGUUUCAUCACAAUGGUGUACAAAGAGUGUUGGUUGUGUUUUGACUAUCGUACAAAUUAGUGUAGAAAUACAAACGGCAAACUUCCAAGUGGAUACUAUUGGGAAACUAUAGGUGAAGUUGGAGUGAAAGACACAAGCCGUCAUGUAAGGACCUACGGCUAUCGUCGAAUCUUGCAUGGCGACUGGGGAUAUGACAGAUUUUUUAGUUCUGACGAGGAACUUGGAUCCGAUAUCCAGAGUCCAUUUCCACUUAUCGUUAUUGUAUAGCUCAGAUUUUUCGCCAAGAAUCUUCUUGGUUAGAACAUAGUCAAUAGCUAAGACAAGGUGAAAGAGAAGCAACAAGGAAGCUAAAAUGGUAACAAGCUUGGGAAAGGAUUGAGUAGAAACUGACUUCUUCAUGGACUCAGUAUGGGAUCCAGGAAGGGAAAAACUCAAUCUUUAAGAACAAAUGAAAAAAACCAAAGGAAUCCGCUUUCAAAUAAAUUUACCUUUGAGGCUUUGUUAGUGUUUUGGAUUAAUUAUAGAGAGGUUCCUAAUUUUAGUAAAAAGUAAAAAAAUGAAUGUCAUGUCAACAAUCAGUUAGUGGGUUAAUGCGAUAGUGACCAAUUCAAAUAAUUAGUAUAAUAAAAAAAUUUGCUCUUUAACUUUUAAAUAUUAUAUCAGUUUGGCAUAAUUUUAAAAAAAUAAUCUUCAAAAUUACAAAUGAUCUCUAUUUCAUCAUCAAAUUUUACCUACCUUUUCUGCUUCCCCACGGUCACUACUAUGGUUGCCUCCAUAUCCUCCUCCACCCUUCUUCAAACAAAAAAAAAAAAAAAAACUUCUCUUUUUUCUUAUUUGAACCUAAUUUAUCGUUAAAUAGUAGUAGAUAUAUUCUGUUUGUAUGAUUUCUGGGUUGACAUAUUCUUUUCAGCUGAAUGCUAAUAAUAACAAUAAUAUGAUGAAACAGUGGAGUAAUUUCUGAUGUGACGGCCUUCAUUUCGCUCACUAGUUGCAUGUUUAUUGUUCAUGCACUGAUUAAACAAGAUUUGAAAAGGCUAAAAGCAUGAGCAUGCAACACUGAAUUGUCAAAUACUCAAUAGUAUAAGAUUGAAAUGGUGUUAUUUUGCAGGAAGAAUGGGUGAUUGCAGAAUAAUACACAAAACAGGCGAGAAGAAAAAUGGGGUAGCUGCUGCGCAAGGACAAGGUUAUCUCUUGGAACUUUCUUCAAUAUCUUCAACAGCAAAGCAACAACUAAUUGCUUUCGUCCACUGCUUGAAAUCCCAAUUCCAUUGUUAGAAUCUCAAGCUCAAACUUCAGAGCAGGCUGCCCCUAACUCUUUUACAGAAAAUGACCUGAAAAAGCCUAAUAAACCCAGUUGUUUAUCCAACUAAUAAUGGGUUCCAACCCUCCUUUUCAGCCACUUCCACCUAGCACACUUGAUUUAUAAAUUUUGAAAUUUAGUUUUUUAAAAUUAUGAUCAAAUUGAUAUAUUAUAUCAAAGUUGAGAGAUAAAUUUAUUGUUAUAUCAAUUUUUUAACUGCCACAUCACCCUCCGAUUAGAGUUUUAAGGCACUUAACGAAAAUGGAUAAAAAAAACAAUCUUAAUUAGUUGAGUGACCAAAUUAAAAAUAAAUUAAUAGUUGGUGACCAAAAAGAAAAGGUACAAUAAUUAGAUGACCUGUGAUGUAGUUUACCCAUAUCUUUUUAAAAGCGUAUAAAUAUUUAUAAAUGUCAUCAUUCGUAUAGAAAUGUCACAAAUAUUAAAUCAUUAAAUUGCAUGUUUCAAAACAAAAUUAUUAAUUCAUUUUUUAAGAUUAGUAAUUAAUAGAAAUAGGAUCAAAAACAUCCAUACUAAACUUAACUAAACAGACUUACAAUUCGGUCACUCAUGUUUUCAGAAUUGUUUGUUUUCUUCACUCGACUGUUAAGUGACGCUUGUUUUAAUUGAUAUAAUAAUAAUAAUUAUAAUAAUAAUAAUGAUAAUUUUAGUUCUCAAUUUUUAUAUUUUUUAUCAAUUUGACCUUAAUUUUAUACAAAAAUUAUAAAAAAACCUCCAAAUUAUGUAUAAAAUAUAAAUUUUUAUAUAAAAAUUCUAGAAAAAUAAAAUCUUGAAUAUGUUGUUACAUAACUAAAUUGUAUAAGAAAUAAAGAAAAUCAGCAUUUAAUAGAAUCUAAUAAUAAAUUAAAAAUAAAAUAAAAAGUUAGAUCAUUACAUGCUUCAUCAAUGUUUCUCGAAAUCAAAUUAGUAAUAUUAUUAAGUUGAGUUUCAUGUCCUUAAAGAACAUCUAGAAUUGAUAUUGCAGAGGCUUAUGAAAUUGACCUUGAUGUCAUUUUUUUUUUUAGCCAAAAGCUAUUAUGUUUCAAACUCAAUUCAAUUUUUCGUUACAUUUAAAUUAUUUUUUGAAACUCAAAUUGUAAAACGAAAUCAUAUUCAAAAGUUUAUCUUCUCUUGUAAGGUAAAAAUUAUAUCAAGAAAUAGAAAAAGUAAAAAACAGAGAACAAAUAAAUCAGCUUAAUAUUUGUUUUCUAUGUUUGUUUUUAAAGAACGAGUAUUGGAUAUUUCGAUAUACAUAAUAUAGAGAAUUUCUGUAGGGUUUAAAAACAAUUAUCCCUCAUUUUCUCACACUUUAUUUAAUUUUGAAAAUUUUAGCUACUUUUAUUUAAUUUUUAAUUUUAUAAUGUUCUAAAAUUUUAAAAAUAAUUUAUUUUUUUACCAUUUUAUAUAUUAUCAAGAUUAAAAUGAUUGAAAAUAUAAAAGUUAAGAACUAAAAUUGUUAUUAUACUAAUUUAAAAAGUACCACUCAACCAUAUAAGUGACAAAAAUUUUUUUUUUUAAAAGCAACUUAAAUUCAAUGAUAUAACUUAUCGAGAAAUUUAUAUAUACUUAAAUAUUUAUAUAAAAAAUUAAAUAGAUUUAUUCACAUCUUACUAAUGUCCAUAUGUAAGAAAUUGUCCAAAAUUGAAUACUGACAACUUCAAGAACGCAAAUAAUUUAGUAAUGGGGUGCGAAUAACUAUACCUAAUGCAACUCCUUUACUUGUAUAUUUAAUUUCAAGUUGUAACUUAUAACUAUGCAUUCUUAUACCCUGCCGUCCCAACUAUUAUUUUUAUUAAAUAUUAUUCAUUGCCAACUUCAAUGAUUUUGUUUUGAUGUCCAACGUCUAUCACCAUAUUUCAAGCUCAUUUUCUUUCAUUUGCUUAAUCCAUCACAUGCUUUUCUUUGCUUGAUUCAUGACUUUGCAAUGAUUCUUUCUGAUUAUCUGCUACUCUUAGCAGCUAACUUUGUAAGACAGUCAAGGAAGAAGUGAACUUCACUGCUUCAUCUUCAGUUCUAUUCUCUCAACACCUUUCAGCCACUAAGUCAGGUAAUAAGAUCUGAAGCUAUGGUUUCCUCUACUGUUUAUCAACAGUUUUAGAUUUUAAGACAAGAUGAUCAGCAGACAUAAUCUACUCUAGAUUGAAAUUAAUACAGAAAGAGCUACCCAGAAGCAAUAUAAUGUUGAAAUCCCAUACUGUUAACAUUUUCACUCUUAAUAUUCUGUAAUGAACUGUUGCACACUUGAAUCUAGCAUUUUAUAUACAUCGACAGCUUAAUUCUAUCAGUCACCCAUCUAUAGCUCCAUCUAAUAAACGCCAUUGCUUGAAACUUGCAUUCAUGCUUACACUGACAUAACAAAAAGCCAAUACAUUCACAGAUUUUCAUUAUCUGCUACUGUUAUAUAUGAUUGCGUUGCAGGGACAUAGCAAUGGAGUACGUAGAGCCCGUUCUUGGCAUUUCAAAUUGUCUUGGAACUCCUGCUUGUAAAUACUUGCAAUAUCACAGAAAGCUCAACGAUUAUGUGAGAAACUUCAAGAGGAUGAGAGAUGAGUUGAAUUGCAAAAUGGAAGAUAUACAGCUGCAAUUGAAAGCAGAGCUUCUUCGUCCGCUGGGCAAGAUACCGAAGAAGGGAGUUGAAAAUUGGUUGAAAGCUGUGAAAGAGAUGAUUAGGGAAGCACAAGUUGUUGAAAACAAAGUCAGUAACGGGAGAUAUCUCUGUCGUGCUUGCAACGGGAAGCUAGUUGACGAAAAGACUCGAGAGAUGAAGGAAUUUCUUGAUAACGCUCCUAAUGCCUCUGAAGGUCUUGCCAUGGAUGGUCCAAGUGCUGGGUUGCCACUGCCAACAUCAGAACUAGUUGGAGAAGAAGCUGUCAGAAAUGAGAUUUGGGCAUGUUUGAUGCAGGAGGAGGUGAGCAAGAUUGGGGUUUGGGGAUAGGCGGUGUGGGUAAAACCACUAUCGUGAAGCACAUCCACAAUGAUCUUUUGAAACAACAAAGAUUCGAAAGGGUAAUCUGGGUUACCAUAUCAAAGGAGUUCAACGUAAUGAAGGUACAAGAUAAUAUUGCAAGUGCGUUGGAGUCAAAGGAGUAUUUAGACAAAGAAGAGGACAAGCUCAGACGAGCUGCAAUCUUGUCAGAAAUGCUGAAGAACGCAGGAAAGCAUGUUCUAAUCCUAGAUGAUGUGUGGGAUAAAGUCUCUCUAGAGGAAGUUGGGAUUCCUGAGCCGAGUGGCAGCAGUGGCUGCAAGUUGGUGUUGACAGCCCGUUCGGAGCAUGUCUGUAAGUAUAUGGGUUGUAAGGUGAUAAAAGUGAAGCCCCUUUCAGAAGAAGAGGCAUUGAUACUAUUCUUGAAUAAAGUUGGACCUAACAUAGUUCAAAGUCCAACUAUAAUGCCUACUUUGAAGCUUGUUGUCAAGGAAUGUGCGGGUCUACCUCUUACAAUUGUCGUGGUAGCUGGUACCAUGAAAGGAGAAGAUAACCCUCGUAUUUGGAAAAAUGCACUCGGGGAAUUGAAAGAGAGAAUAGGGAAAGUGGAAGGAGUGGAAGCUGAGGUAAUCGAGCGCUUGAAAUUUAGCUUUGAUCACUUAAAAGACGAGAAAGUGAAAUAUUGUUUCUUACAUUGCGCAUUAUAUCCCGAAGAUUUUGGAAUUGAAAAGGAUGAACUAAUUGAGUGCUGGAUUGAGGAGGGAUUUAUAGAUUAUAUGGGUACAAGACAAGAAAUGAAAGACAAGGGCCAUGUUAUUUUGAAGAAGUUAGAAGAUAAUUGCUUGUUGGAAAAUGAUACCUCUCAAUUUGGUUUACAUGUUAUAAAGAUGCAUGAUGCAGUGAGAGACAUGGCAUUGUCGAUCACAAGAAUGAAUCCUCGAUAUAUGAUACAAGCAGGUUUGCUAUUAGAAGAGUUACCAGAAAAGGAGCAAUGGAGUCCGGAUAUUGAGAAAGUGUCACUUAUGUAUAACUCCAUAUCAGAAAUUUCCAUAGAUGUGCUGCCCACAAAAUGUCAACAGCUCACAACCUUGUUAUUGCAGCAUAACCCUAUAAAGAAGAUCUCAAUUUCUUUCUUCACAAACAUGCCUUGUCUUAGUGUUCUUAAUUUGUCCUUUACGAUGAUAAAAAGUUUACCAAAUUCCAUCUAUGAACUAAAGAACCUCACAACAUUGUUGCUUCAUGGCUGUUAUGGAUUAAGAGAUCUGCUGUGUCUUUCGAUGCUUCAAGAAUUGAAGAAGUUGGAUCUUUCUGAGACUGGAAUUGAGGAAGUCCUGAAGGGAUGGAUAUGCUGAUAAAGCUAAGAUAUCUUGAUGUUCGAGUGUUCACUCUGAAAGAGAUACCCGCUGGACUUUUACCAAAACUCGUUCACCUUCAGCACUUGGGUUUUCAUAAGAGCAAUAAAAGAACAUGUCUAAAAGCAGAGGAGAUGGAACCAUUGAAGAAGUUGGAGUGCUUAACUGGACAUUUCGAAGACAUCAGUGAAUUGAAUAAGUUCAUCUCCUCAAUGCAACAAAGUAAGAAAAAUCUUAUCGAGUACUAUUUAGUGGUGGGCCCAUAUAAUAUGGGUCGUGGAAGGGAGAAAACAGUAACAAUUGGAGGAGUCCAGAACUGGGAAGGCGAGUUAAUUAUGCACCCAAUUGAAAUUCAAGAGUUGAAUAUUGUAAGGUGCGACUAUUUGAGAAACUUAGUCGAUGAUAAUUCUUCCUUCAAAAAUGCGAUUUACUUGAGCAUUUUUUAUUGUAAAGGGAUAGAGUGUGUUGUUUCCUUGUCCUCUUUUGCCUCUUCUUCUGCUCAUCCAUUUCAGAGCCUCGAGAAGUUGGAUCUUCUACAUCUUCCAAAGUUGAGUGCCUUUAUUAUGAAAGAUGCAGGAAUUGGUUCAGCAACAACAUCAACAUUGGCUCCGUCUGCCACCUUUUCCCAUCUUAAGGAAAUUAGGAUAGUGAACUGCUCAAGUAUGAAGACGUUGCUUCCACAUUGGUUGCUUCCAAACCUCCAAAACCUGGAAGAAAUAUUAGUGGAUAUUUGUGAUGAGUUAGUAGAAAUAUUGGGAGCAGCAACAUCAGAAGUUGAAGAAAAAGGGAGUGAUGCAUUAAUCAAAUUCCAUCUUCCCAAAUUGAGAAAGUUGUCAUUCAGGGAAUUACUAAAUUUGGAGAGCAUUUGCAGCAAAAGUGGAGUGAUGGUUUGCGAUUCUCUCCAACUUAUCCAAGUUGAUGAAGAGUGUGAUAAACUGAAGAGAAUUCCUCCAUUUGUUCCCCUUGUUGGCAAUAGGCAGCCAUUUGCAUAUGCUCCACCUUCUCUUACUAUCAGUUCAAGCACAGAGUGGUGGGAAUCGUUGGAGUGGGAUGACCAUCCAAACUUUAAAAAUGUUCUUCGCUUCAACCCCCUUGUGGAGGAUAAGAGGUAUGAACCAUUUAUGGUUUAGUUUAUUUUUUGAUUUUGAUAAAUCUAAUUUCUCCAUAUUAAUGAAAUUUGAUUUAUAUUAGUGAUGAUGUUGAAGAGAAAGAUAAAAGGGUUGGUGGGAAAGAAGGAUAGUGCAAAAGAGAGGAGAAAAGGAAUGAUGGAAGGAAGAGGUUAAGAGGCAAAGGUAAAUAAAAGAUCAAACAGCCUCCACUUUUUAAACAAUUUCCCUCUCUUACCAUUCCUUCUAUUCUCUUAUUCUUCUCUAAAUAUUUAUUAUUAAAAUAUUUAUAUUAAUCAAAAUGAUUUAAGGUGAGACAAAACUACGAUCAUAGUUUUAUUUCCAAUAAAAGUUAGGAAAGUAUUGUAAAAAGACAUAAUAUUUUUUUAUUUCCAUGUAAAAUUUCUGGAAACAUUAAGAUUUAAAAAAUAAUAAGUGCUUGUUUUUUUUAAAACUUAGUAUUUAUAAAAAAAAUAUAAUUGGAUUCAUUCAUAUGUAAACGUAACAUAUUUCUAAAAUUAAAUAAUAUUUUAAAUUAUGAGGACUAAAUGAGAAAAUUAAAAAGGUGAAAUCCCUUUUAAAAUAAAUUAAAAACAUUAAGGGGAUUAUGUUGCAAAUAACCCCUCCACAUUUCCCAUAUAUAAAAGAAAAUUUCCUUUUCUUUUAAUUUGAUUUGGUGUGGUGGUUAAGUGGCAUGAAUGUUUGCUUCAGGUCUUGGGUUCAAUUUUUUUUUUAAUUUUUCCUAUUUAUUUUGGUAUUAUGUUCAAUUUGAGCCUUAGGGCCUAUCUCUUAUUUUCAAUGAUGAGUCUACUGAUUCAGUGGUAAGACUUUAGUUUAUCAUCAAUUUAAAUUCUAUAAAAUCUGGUAAGUGGGAUUUGGAUUAACUUAAUUUUUUUUAUUUUUUUAUUUUAAUUUAAUUUUACAAAAUAUCUAUUUUCACUCAUUGUUUCAACCGUCCACACUAUCACCCCACUUUGUAUGCUACUUCCUUUUGUUUCCCUAUCUUCCUUCUUUCUCCUCUUUGAUUAUUCCUGAAUACUGCCGUUUAUUUUGUGAGUUCUGUCACUUGGAUCGUAUUCUAUUUGCAGUGUAAGUUUCAUUUGGUUACUUUUGUUGUCUUUCCAUUAAUAGUCUAGUUUUGUUUCGUUUCUUGAACAAGUUGAGUUUGUGUUGGUAUUUUCUAUUCGUUAUCAUGAUUAGUAUUUUUGUGGUUCUCGAUUAGGCGAAAUGUGUGAGAAUCCUAACCCUCCAGCAAAGUAGACACAAUUUUCAACGUUGUUUCGGAGAACUAAGUAUUUGAAUUCUAUUUUAGGGGUUGAAAUUUUGAUUCAAUGAUGUUAUUAUGGAUAAUUAUUGUUAGUUAAUCCGUAUGGUUUGAUGAACGUUUAUAGGAUUCGUGAGUUCCAAUUGAGCUGUUGAUCAAAUCAGCAAUAGGUGUGUGAAUUUAACUCGAAAACUCAAUGAAAGCUCGAGAAAAUUGCGAAACAAGGGUUGUUUUCGAAACUGUCCAACGCCACAUGGCCAUGUGGUAGGACGUGUGGAGCACACAGUCGUGUGAAUUUACACAGCUUGUGUCCGUAGGCUAUGUGAACGACACGAGCUAGCUUUUUGAGCUGUGUGAGCCACAUGACUAUGUGGGCAUUUUGGUCAAUUUUCAGCCCCAAUUAGGGGGCGGAUUAAAGGAUUCAAAUAUUGGGUCCAUGGGCAUCAUAUAAGCCCAAAAAAAUGUAAGUUUUAGCACGUAUAUAUACAUGGCUAAGCUUUGGAGGUAUGUUAAGUAGGUGGUAUAUAAAUCAUAUGCUAUGUUAUGUUCCUUAUAAAAAUAUGUGUAUGCAUGUCAUACGACUUAUGAUAAAUGUUUUUAUGAUAUUAUAAUUAUGAUUAUGCCUAUGUUUUGGGCUAGGUUAUGAUAUGAUGGAGGAAGUGUUAUAUGAUAGAUUUUAUCGCAACUAUGGCAGCUAGACUAUAAAAUUUCUAUCUAACAGCUCAGUUGCAUAUUUAUGAGUGACAUACCACCACAUAUUGGUAUGAUUGGAUGGAUGGACUCUUGUAGUCCUAAUUGGUGAUAUUGCUUGGACGGAGAUGGUAUGUAGCAAUUGGGGGUAUGAUAUGAUAUGAUAUGGGAUAUGAUAAAAUAAGACAAGAUAUGAAACAUGCUAUAACAUGAUAUAAAAACCGAUAUGAUAUAAGAUAUGCUUCGAUUUGCUAUGAUACAUUCUGAUAUAUAUAUAUAUAUACUACAAUGUGUAGGUCAAAUCACGCACUGGAUGUUAAGCUCACACGUCUGCUUAUUUUGUUUCAGGUGAUCUUCAGACCUAGGAUUAGAAUAUGACUCUAGAGCUCGUAUUUUACUCUUUCGGUUUAAGUAUGCAUUGGACUCUCUUUUGUUUAUAUGGACUUUUUGGACUUUUGGAUAUUUUAAAUUUAUUUGGAAUGCUAAAAAUUAUUUUGCAUUUAUUUUUCAAAUGUUUUAACUUUUACCGAUACUUAAAUCAAGACAACUAAAAAUAAACCAUAGUUAUAAGGUAAAUUUGCUAUAAUGCUUUCUGCUGCAUGUUUUAAGGUCAAUUUGCUAUAAUGCUGUCCGUUGCAAGUUUUAUUGAAAUUGGCUAAGAUGUUUUAUCUCACAAACAAAAUAAGUAAAUUAAAUACAUUUUGGUAAAAUUAACAAAUAUGGAUUUCUUCAAUGUACUCACGGGUUUUCAAAAAUGGUACAUCUUCAACGGGUUAAUCAAACUUGUUUUCUUUUGAGUUAAAUAGUUUUUGCCAAAAUGAAGUAAUAUUGUUUUCACGCACAAUGUAAUCUCCUCAAUCUGACUAUAACAUCUAGGCCAUGUUUGGGAUGUUAGAAUUAGAGUUUUAGAAAAUAAUUACUUUUUCUUUUACAAGUUAAUGUCAUUGUAGGGUUUGAUGGGUUAUCUUCAACUUUAACAGUUAAGCUUCCAAAGUCGAUGAUCGUAUUUAAAUAUGUAAAAAAAUCUUUAUAUUUAAAAGAUAUUCUUAUAAGAAAACAAACAUGUUAUAUAUGAUUGUUGCAUGCAAUUAUAUUAUUUUAUGAUUCGGUUUAUAUAUGAUUGUUGUCAUGACAUUUAAGCAUUUAAUUAAUAUUUUAAAGUUUUCAAAAAUAAUAAAUAUAUUUUUAAUAAUUUUAAUUUUUAAAAAAUAAGUUAUAUAUAUUUUUUAAACCUUAAAAUAUUUUUAAAAAACUAAUGUAUCAUCCAUAACAAAUCAUACAUAAUUAACACAUAUUGGGGCAUGGGAAAGCUUUUAAAAAAUUGAACUCAAAUAGUCCUCUACAUGGUUCAUCAAGGCAUGGCAAGUAAGUGAUCGUUUAUUGAAAGAAAUCCGUUUAUAGCAAUUGGGCCUGGGAAGCAAACAGGAGAAGUCCACUAGCAACAAACAAACCAAAGUAAAUCAAAAACAAAACAAAUUGGAAAAACAAAACAGCAAAAAGGGAAAAUUAAAACAGAAAUCGACAAACACCGUCUUCUCCAUCCAACAAGUCCCCAGGCACUGUGUGACUCCACCAAACCCCAAUGAAAUAAACGGUAAAGAUCUUCCAAAUCCGACAACAACCGGAAAAGAAAGCAGUUGAGAAUUGCCAUCUUGUAUAAGUAUUUCUCAACUCCAUCACUGAAAUAGAAAAAAAAAGGUUAUGGAGGUUGCCCACACCGACGAUCAGAGUCGGCCACUUCCAGAGCUUUCAAAGGCGCAUCUUCCAUCCAGAAUGAAUCCCCUUCUACUCGCAUACCCUCAACAGCCGAUGCAUGCGCUGCUCCACUCCCUUCUCUCGCAAUGAACUGGAAUCGACAGCAUUGGAACUUUCUGGCCAGGUUCUUCGCAUCCCAGGUAAAUGGUCUAGUCUCCGAGUAAUCCUCGCUUAAUUUUUGAAUAUUAUUUACCACCAGUCUCGAAUCACUCUCAAGAAUCACCUUUGAAAAACCCUUAUCCAGGGCGAAAUGGAGCCCAUGCAAGUAAGUGAUAGUUGAAGCAACUUGUUUCAUGAUUGCCUGUAUUUCUCUCAUAAUUUUGUUGUCACUCUGUACCCGUGGCACACUGCAAAAUCUCCUACAUUUCAAAUAAACUGAUGUCUAGUAAAACAUUAAAGCAGAAGAGGAUGAACUAUAUAUUACCCUCAGUAUUUGUUUCAAUGCUAAAAUUCCACCUCUCCUCUCCAACACCUCAUUGGUAGCCUUACUCAUCAUAACUAACACCACCCAUUCUUUUUCCAAUACAUUUCCAGAAUGUGAGGAAUGCCCUACACUUUUGUUUCUACAUUAUUAGGAAAAAUUGUAAUAUAUACCUGAACUUGAGUUGUCAUAUUCUAAUAUUUCUUUGCUCAAUAUUUACUUGAUUGUAUACAUUAGAUUUGCACCCGAAGCAAUAGUUUUAGAACACUUACAGUAAUAGUUUUAGUCUUUCAACUUCAUCAACUAAUCUUUCAAAGUUAUGUGUAUCGAUUGCGGUCGUAAACCAACUAAAAAUCUGAUUAAGGUAAAUGUACUUAUCAAUUAUUAGUAUAGUUACGAUGAGCAAAGAUAUCGUUCCCACGAGAGCUAAAAGUGUUAGUAAUUAUUGUCUUUCUAUUAUUUAACCAAGAAAUUGGAGUGAUUGAUUAAAAAUAAAAUUAACUAAAUUAAUUAACUAAAGAACACGACAAAGAACAAAUCAUAAAAAUAAACGAUUAAAAACCAAAAAGCGAGACAAUAUCCAGGAAAGAAUCUACCUAGACUUCAUAUGUCAUUAUCAAUCUAAAUCACGCAAUUUCUUCACUUACUACCUUGAUCUGUAGAAAUCCCUAAAUUAUGCUAAUAUCUCUCUUCAAGACUAAGAGCAACUGACUUUAGAUUGAUUAAUUAAAAUUUCUUUCUAAUUAAAAACCCUAUUAUCGCAUUAACUCGAUUUAUGGAUCAUUCUAUUAGAUUUGACUCUAAUCCGGUAGAUUUAUAUCGUCCUAUUUUUAGAAUUGCAUGCAACUCCACUAAAUUACGCUAGAUCUACUCUUAAACAGGUCUAUUCCUCCUUUAAUUUAAGCACAUAAAACAUGAAUCAAUAGUCUAAAAAUAUUAAACUAUGAAUUAAGUACACAUAAUUGAGAGCAAGAUUUAAGUAUUUAUUGCAUAAAAAUAGAAAUCAAAUAAUACAAUCCAUCCUAAAAACAGUAUAAUCACAAGAAAUAAAAAAACUCAUAAUAAACUUCAAAGAAAUCAAAAGGAGAACUUCAAUCUUGAUGGAAAUCUACUUCAAAGUCGGCUUUAAUAGUAUUUUUCGAGUUAUUUUCUUCAAUAUUAUAUGACAACUCACUCCCCUCCUCUUAUCUUUGUCAUAUAUAUCUUAGAAAACCUAAACAUUAUGAUUUUCUGCGUGUUUAGAGUGCAAUUUGCGAUUUGCACAUGGACUGGCAUAUGGUCGUGUGACAGCCCGUGUGGCUUACUCAGCCGUGUGUCCAGACCGUGUGCAAUGGCCCAACCCAUGUGGCUCCUGAAACUUGCUCCAAUUUUUCGAUUUUCGCUUAUUUUUCGCUCAUUUUGCUCUCAAAUGCUCUCCUAAGAAUAGAAAUAUGAAUUUAAAGUAUUAGGAGCAUAAAAUUCACCAUUAACACAUUUUCUUUGUACAUUUAGCAUAUAUUCAAACAUCGAGGCUCUGCUUUGCAGUUUAGGUUCAAAAAUAUGAACCCAUGUUUUCAAAGGUCUAAUUUUUCCAUGAACUGCCAAAAAUGAAAAAAAAAAAACAAAUGUUUAAAAAAAAAUGAAAGAAAAGAAAAUGAAAAUAUAGUUUAAUGAGACUUACAUAAAUGUUGGGAUUGAGAAAAUGAUUGUCUAAAGGGAAGCAGAAAUUUGGCCAUCCAAGCCAUCUUAUUCAGUUCAUCGAUGCAAGUUUCUCUGCUUAGCCACCGCUGCUCUCAAAAUGACGACGGACUAAUUAGUUUAACAACAAUACCAGUACGACGUCGUAAGGACGUAUCCUACGUGGCAGUCGUGUCAUCUAGCUAAGUCAAACUACGAAGCUACAGUUGGACUUUGAUUUCAGUUGGGUUUGGUUUCUUAGGUGGAGUUCUAUUUAAACUUGGGUUUUGUUUUCGGUUAAAUUACCCUAUUAGUUACUAAAUUAUAAGUUGCUUUUGUUUUGUUCACUUAACUAAAAAAAAGUUAAAAUUUUGUUACUGAAAUAUUCGAAUAUUUUCAUUUAAGCCACUAAAACAAGAUCUUUUUAAAUAAGAAAUAAAUAUUUUUUAUAGAGAAAUUUUAUAUAUAAAAAAUAAAAUACUUUAAUUUAAAAGGACAUUUUGUUUAAUCCUUUAAUAGCUUUUGGAGUGAUGAAAAGUCUAAUUUCACUUUGCACCUAAAAUGAUUUUUUUGGUAAUUUUCUUACCGAGUUGGGACUCAAUUGAUGGUUGACGCCAACUCAGUAAAAGGCUUUAACAUGGUAUAGAUAAAAAAAAGUUUUUAAUUAAAAUUUUUAAAAGAAUUUAGGGUAAACUAUACCAGUCAUUCAACUAUAGGCAAGUUUUCGUUUUAAUCACUUAACUAAAAAUAUUACUAUUUUGAUCACUAAUGCUUUCAAAAUUGUUUUUCUUUUCUGUCACCCAAUUGUUAAGUCAUACUUGUUUUAGUUGGUAUAAUAAUAGUUUUAGUUCUCAAUUUUUAUAUUUUCUGUUAAUUUGAUUCUGAUUUUGUAUAAAAUUAUAAAAAAAACUCACAAUUAUUUAUAAAAUAGAAAAAUGCAUAUAAAAAUUCUAGAAAAAUAAAAUCUUGAAUAUGUUGUUUCAUAACUAAAUCGUAUGAGAAAGAAAAAAAAUCAUCAUUCAAUAACAUCUGAUAACAAAUUAAAAUCAAAUCAAAACAAAAAAAAAAGGUAGAUUAUUAUAUGUUUCCUAAAUAUUUCUCGAAACCAAAUUAGUAGUAUUAUCAAGUUGAGUUUCAUGCCCUUGAAGAACAUCUAAAACUAAUAUUACAAAUACUUAUGAACUUGACCUUGAUGCCAUAUUUUUAGUUAAAAGAAUACAAAAUAUACCAUGAUUUUUCUUUUUCAAACUGAUCAAUUCAAAAUUUCAUUACAUUUUAAUUUUUUUUUCAAAACCCAAAUUGCAAAAUGAAAAUAUAUUCAGAAUUUUAUCUUUUCUUAUAAUGUAAAAAGCUAUGUCAAGUAAUUGAUGAGGUAAAAAAGCAUAGAACAAAUAAAUUUGCUUCAUAGUUUUUUCUAUGUUCGUUUUUUAAAGAAUGAGUAUUAAAUAUUUCAAUAUAGAUAAUAUAGAGAAAUUUUGUAGGGUUUAAAAAUAAUUAUCCCUAAUUUUCUCACUUUAUUUAUUUUUCAAAUUUUUAUUUUACUUUUUUUACUUUUAUAAUUUUCUAAAAUUUUAAAAAUAAUUUCAACUUUUAUCAUUUUAUAUAUUAUCAAAAUCAAAUUCACUGAAAGUAUAAAAAUUAAGGACUAAAAUUGUUAUUAAAUCAAUUAAAAAGUUCUACUUAACAGUUGAGUGACAAAAAAAUAAUAAUUUCAAAAACAUUAGCGGUGAAAUUGUAACUUUUUUUAAUUGAGUGACUGAAACAAAAAUUAGCAAUAGUUUAGUGACUAAUAGUGUAACUUUUUUUUUGGUAUAAUAAUAAUUUGAAUUUUGGCUAUUCCUAAAAAGGGUGAACAUCUGAUCAUAUUUAUUCACAUAUUACAAACAUCCAUAUGUAAGCAAUUCUCCCGAAUUAAAAUCAAAUUUUAAUAUCAACAACUUCAACAACUCAUAAAUAGGAAGAUAAUGUGUUUCAGUACACUUAAAACCACAUCUUUCUAUAUUGACAACAAUUACUAUGACAAUGAAGCUAAGACUCAAUUCACAAUAACUAUAUAUUUUUGUUAUACCUAAUUAAAGUCAUUUAUAUCAGUAUAUUAGACAUUCUUAUACCCUAGUUUCCCAUACUUUCCCAUUAUUAUCGUGAUGAUGAUGAUGAUGAUGAUGAUGUUACAAUUGAGCACCAAGGUCACUGUAAUACUUGUUAGUAUUGUCCAGAAUAAAUGGAAAGGACAUUUCCAUGGAAAUUAGACCUCAUAUCUAUCUUUCAAAUUUUGAGAGCAGAUUAAAGGUUUUAUUAUCAAGUAGAAAUGUCAGUAUGAAAAACCCCAAAUGCCAACUAAUAAUGGCAGACACCAAAGCUAAAAGCUAAAAGCUAAAAGCUUGGAACCCACCACUAAAGUGUAUGCCUCAUUAUUUUGCCUGUUUUUAUCUUCACUUUCUUCCUUUUUUGGCUUUUGUACCCACAACGUUCUUUCUUCUUCACUGUUUUUAUCAAGCAUCCAGUUAGGGUAAUUUCUUUCGCUCCCAAAUAUUUUUUUAAGUAUAAAAAAUUUAAAUUUAAAAAAUUACGAGCAUCAAAUUCACUAAUUUUCAUAACUGAUCAUCUAAAAACAUAUUAAGAAUAAGAUUAAAAUAUACUAUUUUUGUAACUUAUCGUACCCCUAAACCACAACUAAAAAGUUUAAUCUGAUAGUGGACCCUAGAGCUUAAAGGAGGCUAAAGAUGGUGGAAUCCAAGGUAGUGUGAAACAACAUGGUCUUGACCAUAACACUAAAAUUGCUUUAGCUUAAAUGAAAAUCAAAAUAUUUGUAUGUAUGAUAUCUCCAGUUUAAAUCUUAUUAUCGAUAAAUUUUUAUUGAUUUAUAAAAAGAUGAAAAAUAGCUUUGUAAUUAUAUAUCUUACUUUACAAAUAAAAUGUUUUUUGUUAGCAAUUUUCUUACUGCGUUUGGACUAACUGGUGGUUGACACUAUGUCAGUAAAAUGCCUAAUACAUAAUAUAGAUUAAAAAAAAGUUUUAGACUAAAAAUUUUAAAACAAUUUAAGGUAAAUUACACCAUUAGUCAUUCAACCAUGAGUAAGUUUUCGUUUUGAUCAUUUAACUAAAAAAAAAGUUACAAUUUAGUCACUAAUAUUUUUGAUAUUGUUUUUUUAUCACCUGAUUGUUAAGUGGCACUUGUUUUAAUUGGUAUAAUAAUAAUUUUACUCCUCUUUUUUAUAUUUUCUAUCAAUUUGACUAUGAUUUUGUAAAAAAUUAUAAAAAAUCAAAAUUUUAAAAAUAGAAAAAUGUUUAUAAAAAUUCUAGAAAAAUAAAAUCUUGAAUAUGUUGUUUCAUAACUAAAUUGUAUGAGAAAUAAAGCAAAUUACCAUUCAAUAAAAUCCAAUAACAAAUUAAAAACAAAACAACACUAAAAAAAGCUUCCUCUCAAUGUUUCUCGAAACCAAAUUAGUAAUAUUAUCAAGUUGAGUUUCAUGCCCUUGAAGAACAUCUAGAACUCGUAUUACCAAGGCUUAUGAAUGACCCUAAUGCCAUUUUUUUAGUCAAAAGAAUACAAAAUAUACAACAAAAUUUCCUUUUUCAAACUUAAUUCAAAUUUUCAAUUACAUUUAAAUUAUUUUUCAAAACUCAAAUUAUAAAAAUAAAUUAUAUUUAAAAAAAAUUUAUAACGUAAAAGCUAUGUCAAGAAACAGAGAACAAAUAAUUUUGCUUAAUGUUUUUUCUAUGUUUUUUACUAAAGAAUGGGUAUUGGAUAUUUCGAUACAGAUAAUAUAGAGAAAUUUUGUACGGCUUAAAAACAAUUAUCUCUCAUUUUCUCUCACUUUAUUUAUUUUUAAAAUUUUUAUCUACUUUUAUUUUUGAAAUUUUAAAAAUAAGUCAUUUACCAUGAUAACUACAAAAGUGAAGUUCAUAUAAGACAAAUGAAAGCACGAUUCAUCAAUAUACCAAGUAAAAAAAAGUUAAGUCAAGACUUAGAUUCAGUUCAAUGAUACCAUCCACAGUAUGACACUUAAAGGUAUCCAUCCACAAUAAAGGCACCCUUCCACCCAGGGGUGAAACUAGAAAACUUUUUUAGGGGAUGAAAUUAAAUUGUAAUUUAAAAAAAAUAUAUAAUUUUAUCAUUUUAGUAGCCUAUAUCUUUAUAAUUUUUAAAAUAUUAAAUAAAAUUUUUAUAUUUUUAAGGAGAGCAAAGUGCAAUUUUACCUUUACUUAUUUAAAAAUUUUAAGGGGCUAAGUAAAAAAUUUUCCAUUUUAAGGGGGGUCGGGGCCCCUGCCACCACCCAGGUUCGCCCUUGCUUUCACCAGGGGUUCAUUUUCAUUCCACUAAAUGUUCAUUGAUCGAAUGGUGGCUCGCCUUAUUACAUUAGUGUAACGCCCCAAAAUUUUAAUUUUGGGUAUUGUAAAUGUGUGACACAAAAUAUCUAUUUGCUUUAGUGGCUAUGUGUUUUGGGUGUGUUUGGGAGGUCCCAAGUUCAAGCCAGGACUUGGGCAAAUUUUGGUAUUUUUAUGAAUAAGUCUUAUCUUUGGUCAGUAGGCUUUUAAGUAAAAGUUGGCAAAUAAUUAACAAAAUGGGCUGUUAGUCUAGUGGAUAAGUGGAGUGAUGGUGUAAAGGAGGUCUUGUGUUUGAAUCUUGACAUGGGUAUUAUUUUUGCUCGUGAGUCCAGGAGAGUUUGAGAUGGACUAAAAAUCUGAGUAGUGGAUUUAGUGGGGAGUUUGAUGGAGAGAAAUAAAGGAUUGGGGUGGUUAUCAAAUAUUCUGUUCAUCUUAUUUUCUUUCCUUUUUUUUACUUUCCCCAAAAUCCCUCCACCCUUUUGUCGUUUUUCUCUUCAUUGCUGCUGAGUUUUUGCUCUCUUUCACCCUUUAUCUUCUUGAUAUUUCUUUUCCCACUCUACCUUGUGUCACUCCACGUUUUUCUGCGAUCGUUCGGUAAGUUUUAAAUAAGUGAUUUGUCUUCGUUUGUUAACUUUCUUCUAAAGUGUUUUGUUUAUGCCAAUUAAAGGAGGAUUCAAGGGCUCGUAAUCACCAAUCGGAGUCUUAGUUUGAGUGGGAAUUACUGUUCAUCGGUUGAAGGUAAGGUUUAGUCGCUUAUGGGUUAAAACCUCGAUACGAGUUCGAUUUGGGAUCACGUUAUGUGAGAUUAAAUUAGUGUUAUUUGUUCAAUUAUAGGCUUUGGAGUGCUCGGGGACUGUUUUAGCAUAAAAAAUUAGGUGUGUACUUGAAACACGGAAAAUGGGAUUCGGUGAAAAGCCAAAAUUGCUUGCUGUUUGAACAGCUGCAGUAGGCUAACUUUGAGAAAUCACCAUAAAUUGUAGAAAUCGAAUUAGAGGAUGAAAAAAGUGGAAUUAAAUCUUAUUGAGUCUAGUUUCUCAUAGAAGAAAUGGUGUAUGUAAUGGAAUUGUAAAUCGUGAGAUAUAAUAAGUCUUGUGAGACAAGGUCAGAAUGAAUUAGGGUUUCCCUGUUCUAACUUUGAAAAAUCAUAAAAAAUUGGAAAAAAAUAAUUAGGGGUUAAAAUUUACAUGUUUAAAUUACUAAUGAGUCUAUUUUCAAUAGAAACAAAAGUAAUAUUAUCCAAAUUUUGUACUAAGAGAUAAUUAAUUUUUAGCAAAGAAAGGUUGAAGCUGUCAAACAGCAAAACAGGGGUAAGAUUGAAGAUUUUACUGUACUUAUUGGCUGAACCAAAAAUUUUGAAAAUUUUAUGGUAAAAAGGUAUUUGAGUCUAGUUUCAAAGACAUCAAGUGGACCUUAAUUUGGAAUUCUGUAGCUCAAGAUAUAAAUAAUUUAGUAACAGUGACUCAAGUAGACAGCUUUGAAGGAACAUAUAAGUAAAUAGUGAAAACAUAUAUGAAUAUUUAGCUAGCACGUGUUACAUUAAAAAUGGAUCACGCGGCCAUGGCCAAUUUGGGCCGAAUGGGCCACACGAGCGUUUGGGCCCACACGGGUUGGCCACAUAGGCUUGUGAGCCCAAUUUUCUGAAAAUUUCUGUAAGGUUGCACGGGUCGCCCAAGUCGACUGUGGACCUAUUGUAGGGUCGGUAUGCUUUACUUAGACCCCUUUCUGUCUAAUUUCUAUAUCGAGCAUGACUUAUGAUAUCUGAAUGUAUGUACUAUUAAUUGCAUAAUGGCAUGACAUAUUUUACAUGAUUGCAUUGCAUCAGGGUGGGUUGAUGAUAUUUAGAGGAAGUGUCUGAAAGGUUAUUAAGCCUGUUAUCUGACAGCUCAGCUACAAUCUUCUGAUUAUGUGCCGCAUUUCGGUACAGCAUGGUGUGUAGGGAUGGGUGGGUUGAUUUAAUCCCCACAUGGUGUGUAGGGUUGGACGGAGAUGGUGUGUAGAGGCUGGUGGGUAAGAUUAUAAUUUACUGUAUCUGCAUUCUGUAUUUGAUAUGGGCCAAGGCCCUAAUGUAUUUCUGAGACUGUAUCUGAACGGACUAAGGCCGAAACUGAUUCUGUGAUGGGCCCAGGCCCCAGACUGUAUUUAACUGAAUGUUGUUGAAUAUCUGUAUGCAUGUUUUCUGUGUGGAUUACAUACUGAGUUUGCGAAAACUCACCCUUUUUCUAUUUAAUCUCUACAGGUAAUCCCCAAACUUGACGGGUCGCUACAACAGAGGACUCAAAGGUGGCCACACAUAAAUUUUAAACUGUUUUCCGUCAAUGUCUAGAGUUUAUUACUUAUUUUGGGUUUUUGAUGUAACUUUUGGACUAUGGACUGGUUGGCUUUAAAUUUGGGACUUUAUACUAUUUUUUUGGAUUUUUUUUAAACUGCAACUCAACAAAACACGGUUUUUCUAAAAAUUAAGGUUUUCGUAAAUAGAAAUGAUUUCCCUAAAUUAAUUGGUUACACAAGCUUCCGCUAAGAGACAAGUUUUAAAGCAAAUCAACUAAUACUUAUUUUUUCUAAAUUAAAUAAAAGCUAACUAACUAUAACGAUUUUAACUCGACAAUCUUGUCUUCAAAUCCCAUUCCAUGUGACCUCAUUAGAUCCGGCCAUAACGUCUAGGCCGGGUUUGGGGUGUUACAUUUAGCAUAAUCCUGAAUAGUUUCUAUUGCCUUUAAUGUGAACUUAAUUUCAAACGAUUGAUUUACCUUCAAGGUUAACCUAAUUUUAAAUACUCAAACGAUUGCAAUGCUUACAAUGCCAGCAAAAUUCUAAAUAUUUAUGAAUUACAACAAUUUUUGUAAUAAAAAAAUACAAGCAAAUUUUCCUAAAUCUAAUUUACCUGGUUUAAAACUCAAAGUUCCAGAUUUGAACAUGUAAGAUCUAAUAUUACAUCAGACCUUCGAAAAACAAAGACUGGUUUAAAUUAAAAAAAAAACUCUAGAUAAUGAUUUUUUUAAUUAAGAUGAGAGGAAGGAAUUAUCGGACAACAUAACAACACAAGUCAUUAACUUACUAGAACACUAUUAGUUAAUUAACAAUUUAGCUAUAGCUAGUUGGCUAUUAGGAUUUGUUAAAUUAGUGUCAUUAUACAUCUUUUAAAUUAAUGUUAUCUUACAUCUAUUAAAUAUUUAACUUUUUCCACUUUCCUCUUACUCUGAUUUUAACAUUUCAUUACCACUCUCCAAUAUUUAUACCUCUUCUUGCACUGGCAGCUGCAGGUUUUAAAGAUGCCAUAAAUAAGGAUUUCAUAGCUCAAGAACUUGACAAUGACAGGGAAGAUGACUAAGAAGAAGAAGGGGUUGCUAUGGGAAGAUAGGGUUCACUGAUGGGUUGUCACAGUCUUUUUCUCAAGUAAAGAAAUCCAAGCUCAGUUUAUCGGAUGCAUUUAACCGUAAUCAAAAGGGAGUCAUUGCAAACAUAAUCAGCUUAUGGUACCAAUCUUAAGAACCAAGACAUCGAGUUACUAUACUAUGAUGAAGGAUUUCAUAACAACGUCAGAGGGAAUCUAAGGGAUAACAUCUGAAGGAAAUUCAUAUUGUUAAACACAAAAUUUGAAAUUCAUGGCAGAUUAGGUAUCUGAUCAACUAAACAGCUAAAGAAAUUAAAAGCUUGGUAGAUUAUUAUGUUCCAAUGCUACAAAUUCAACUUUGGUUUCCUUACUUCAUUAGACAGUUUCAUUAUAGUUUGCCUAUGUGUAGAAAGCUUAGGAUACGACACAAAAUAUGCAUAACAUUCUAUCCAACAUCAGAAAGAUACAAAAAAAAAGUUCGUUAUCAAAUGAAACCAGGUGAAGUUGCCACACUUACAGAUCACUAAAAUUUUACAACAAUGAUGGAAAUGUCAUCCUUGUUGUUCCUCUCAACAGCUUCCUUAGUUAUGUGCUUUGUAGUAGAUCGAGCAUCCUUAAUGCCUUUGAUAGCAUCGACAGCUUCUUGGUAACGGACCAUUAAAUCUCAGGUUCAACAUGUAGGUUCAAUAAAAGAAAAAUGUGAUUAGAUAGGGCUUACCUUCCAUAAACCAUCACUAGCCAAUAUUAUAAGGACAGUAUCAUCGUCGGUUGUUUUAAUGCUCACAUCUGGCUCUGAAGUAAGAUGUUUCUUUAAACUCUUGUCAUUAAAUGCUCUCGCCACCCCAACUGACCAUCAACACGCACAACAUCCCCUGAAACAAAAACAAUAUCAGGAAAAGAUGGUGUAACCUUAAGUGUCAUCCUUAAAAGAUCAGGCACCCAUUACCUGGAAUCCAAUUUUUUUUACCCAUAUCAUGGUUUCAAACAGGUCAAUAGAAAAUUUUGUAAAACCUUAAAAAUAAUAACCUGUACCACACUAAGGUAUCUCUUGUUCUUAGUGCAAACCAAUUUUAGUUGAAAGAUUUUUAUUCAUAGGCAUGAUUAUACCUCGUAUUUAAACUAAGUUUAGGAAAAAAUAAAAUUGAAAGUGUAAAAAUAGAAUGUCGAUAAUGACAAUAUAUCGCAAAGAAAAGAAAAAGGAAAAAUAAAGAAUACACAGAUUUUUACGUGGAAACCCUUUCGAAAAAAACCACGGGCAGAGGAAAAGAAAAUUCACUAUGUCGAAUUCAAAUGAUUACAAGAGGAGUAGACUAGGUCUAUUUAUAGGCCUAUAAAAUCACAUUCUAAUAGAAGUGUAGUAAGAUUGAAACACCUUAUUCUAAUCAAUAUCAAAUAGAUGUAGUUUAAUAAGGUUUAAAAAACCUUAUUCUAAAACAAAAUAAAAGAAGUGUAGUUCUAUAUAGAUUUUACUUUUAUUUUAUUUUAUCACUGUAUUUUAUUUAUAAAAGGAUUCGGGUCACUCAAUUUUAAGAAUCUCCACCUUGACACGAAUUCUCAAUGAACAAGUUCUUCAUUACGAACUCUCAACGAACAAGUUCUCCACCUCUUCCAUAAAACCCCUUAAGGGUUUAACUUCAAUAAUGAACACAAACCAAGUCUAAGUAAUGCUCAAACUUGGUUAUAGGAAGUGACUUAGUCAUCAUAUCUGUAGGAUUUUCAUGAGUACUAAUUUUGCUCACAACAAUAUCACCACGAGCAAUAAUAUCACGAAUAAAAUGAUACCGAACAUCAAUGUGUUUUGUUCUCUCAUGAAACAUUUGAUCUUUUGUAAGAAAGAUGGCACUCUGACUAUCACAAAAUAUUGUAUUGAUUUGAAAGCCUUCAUUGAGUUCACUAAAUAGUCCCUUCAAUCAAAUGGCUUUUUUACAAGCCUCAGUAAUCGCCAUGUACUCAGCUUCAGUGGUAGAUAAAGCAACUGUAGUUUGCAAAGUGGCUUUCCAACUGAUUGCACAACUUCUCAUUGUAAAGACAUAACCUGUGAGAGAACUUCUUCUAUCAAGGUCUCUAGUAAAAUCAGCAUCAAAAUAUCCAAUGACUCAAUCUCUAGUUCUUCCAAACUGUAAGCAAACAUCAAUAGUACCUCGUAAGUAUCUUAAAAUCCACUGAACUACUUUCCAAUGUUCUUUACUGGGAUUCACCAUGUAUCUACUAACUGCACUAACUGUAUAUGAUAAAUCUAAACGUGAACAAACCAUAGCAUACAUGAGAGAUCCCACUGCACUAGAGUAUGAAACACGUGAUAUGUACUCAAUCUCAUCAUUUGAUUGUGGAGAUAAAGCCGAUGAAAGUCUGAAAUGGGCUGCUAAAGGAAUACUAAUAGGCUUAGCACUCUGCAUAUUGAACUUGCAAAGAACUUUCUCAAUGUACCAGUUCUGACUUAGGUACAAUUUACUUGCUUUUCAAUCUUUGAGAAUCUCCAUACCAAGUAUAUUCUUUGUUGGUCUCAAAUCUUUCACCUCAAAUUCUUUACUUAGUUGGGCUUUGACAUUUCUUAUCUCUCAUUUAUCUUUUACUGUUAUCAACAUGUCAUCAACAUAAAGGAGCAGAUACACAAAAGAACCACCACUGUUUUUCUUAAAAUAAACACAAUUGUCAAAGCUACUUCUUUUGAAAUCAUGAGAAGUCAUAAAGGAAUCAAACCUCUUGUACCACUGUCUUGGUAACUAUUUCAAGCUGUAAAGGGACUUUUUCAGCAAGCAAACAUAGUCCUCUUUUCUGAAACUGUAAAACCCUCUGGUUGUUGCAUGUAAAUAUCUUCUUCAAGUUCUCCAUGCAAAAAGGCAGUUCUUACAUCUAACUGUUCAAGCUCCAAAUCAUGCAUGGCCACAAUACCAAGCAAAGCUCGAAUCAAACUAUGCUUCACAACUGGGGAGAACACAUCUGUGAAGUCUAUUCUUGGAAUUUGACUGUAACGUUUGUAACAAGCCUUGGUUUAUAUCUGAGUUCUUCAACUCCUAGACUCCCUUCUUUCUUUUUAAACACCCAUUUACAACGAACAAUCUUUUUACCUUUAGGAAGUUUCACAAGAUCUCAUGUUUUGUUUUUAUUGAGUGAUUCCAUCUCCUCUUGCAUAGAAAACAUCCACUUUUCUGAGUCUUCACAGCUAGCUGCCUUAGAAUAAUUAGAUGGCUCUUGGUUUGCAUCUAUAUCUUCAGCCACAUUUAAAGCAUAAGCAACUAGAUCAGCCUCGACAUACUUCUUUGGAGGUUUAAUUUCUCUUCUAGUUUUGUUUUUGGCGAUAGAGUAUUGUGGUGAAGAAGCAAUUCUAUUCUGAAUUUUUGCACUGGCUUGAGGAGUCGACUCUUUUGUUGAUUCUAGAUUAAUCUGAUGCUCUACCUGCUUUUGAUUUCCUUUAUUAGAAGAGUUUUUAAGAGAUAAGUUAGGUAGCAUAGCAGUUUCAUCAAAAAUAACAUCUCUGCUAAUCACAACUUUUCUAUUUUCAGGAACACCAGCUUUAUAACCAAGAAAAACACAUUUAAUGGAUCUCGGUUUCAAUUUGACUCUGAUUUUGUAUAAAAUUAUUAAAAAAAACUAAAAAUUUUAAAAAUAGAAAAAUGUUUAUCAAAAUUCUACAAAAAUAAAAUCUUGAAUAUGUUGUUGAAUAACGAAAUUGUAUGAGAAAUAAAGCAAAUUACCAUUGAAUAAAAUCCGAUAACAAAUUAAAAACAGAACAAAACCAAAAAAAACUUCCUCAAUGUUUCUCGAAACCAAAUUAGUAAUAUUAUGAAAUUGAGUUUCGUGCCCUUGAUGAACAUCUAGAACUGAUAUUACCAAGGCUUAUGAAAUUGACCCUAAUGCCAUUUUUUUAGUCAAAAGAAUACAAGAAAUAUAACAAAAUUUCCUUUUUCAAACUUAAUUCAAUUUUUCAUUACAUUUAAAUUAUUUUUCAAAACUCAAAUUAUAAAAAUAAAUUAUAUUUAGAAAAAAUAUUUAUAGCGUAAAAGCUAUGUCAAGAAACAGAGAACAAAUAAUUUUGCUUAAUGUUUUUUCUACGUUUUUUUACUAAAGAAUGUGUAUUGGAUAUUUCGAUACAGAUAAUAUAGAGACAUUUGUAAUGCUUAAAAACAAUUUUCUCUCAUUUUCUCUCACUUUAUUUAUUUUUAAAAUUUUUAUCUAUUUUUAUUUAACUUUUUAUUUUAUAAUGUUCUAAAAUUUUAAAAAUAAUUUCAAUUUUUACCAUUUUAUAUAUUAUCAAGAUCAAAUUGACUGAAGUAUAAAAUUUGAGGAUUAAAAUUGUUAUUAUGUCAACUUAAAAAAGUGUCACUUAACAUUUGAGUGACAAAAAAAAACAAUUUCAAAAACAUUAGUGAUGAAAUUGUAACUUUUUUAAUUGAGUGACCAAAACAAAAAUACCCAUAGUUUAGAGUGGGGGUGAGCAAAAUUCGAUUCGACUCGAAAAAAUCAAAAAAAAAUUUGAAUUUCGAGUUAAACGAAUCGAGUUAUUCGAAUCAACUUGAAUUUUUUUUCAAAUUUCGAGUUAGCAUCGAGUUGCGGUUUCGAAUUCGAAAUACUCGAAUAACUCGAAUAAUUCGAAUAUCAAAACUCUAAUAUUUUAAUUUUUACCAAAUCCCAAAUCUUUUUUACUUUUCCCCCAAAACUUUUACUCCUUCCCACUUUCCCCCCAAAACUCUUCCAUUUACUUUUUCUCAAAAUUUUUCUCCCAAAAACCCUCAAAACCUUUUAUUUUCCCCCAAAAGUUUUACUCCCUCCCACUUUUCCCCUAAAACUUUUAUUCCCUUCCCAUCACACCUCCCACCUCUCAUCUACCCCACACCGUCCCCCCUCCAAUUUUUUUUAAUAUUUUCCCUCCAAAAUUUUAGUCCCCCCUAUUUACUUUCCCUCAAACUUUUAUUCCCCAAAACUUUUUAUUUUCCCCCUAAAUUUUUACUUCUCACCCUUUACUCUCAAAUAAAAAAUCAAAAUUAUCCAAAAAAAAAUCACUAAACAUAAAUAGUAAUAAUUUUAUUUAUAUCUACUAUUUAUAUUAUUAAAUUAAAUUUCACAUUUUAUAUUAUUUGUAUUAUUGAAUUGUUUUGUCAUAUUGAAUAUUUAUAUUAAAAUUGAAUUAUUAAUUAUGCCAUAAAAUAUUCGUGUUAAAAUUUUAUAUUGGUAUCAAUUUCACAUUUUAUUUUUAAAAUAACUUUUAUUAAAAAUAAUAUUUUUACAUUUAAUAUAUUUUUUAAUUCCAAAAUAUAUAGUGACAAGAAUCUGAAGAUAAUUGAAACAACAAAGCAAGCAAAGAAGCUAACCAGUAUAUAAAAAAUUAAUAAAUAAAUUAUGAGGUGAUAAAAGUUAAUAAAAAAUUUGAUUAAGGUGGACAAAUUUUAUUACGAUGGGUGACAGUGGUUACAAGGACCCAAAAUUAUUUUUUAAAAUUUAACUCGAACAAAUAUAUUUGAUUCGAUUCGAUUCGAUUCGAUUUGAUUUGAAUUCCAUCUCACUCGACUCGAUUUGAGAAAAUUUCAAAUCAAAUUAGGAUGAUAAAAUAUGAUUCGUCAACUCGAUUAACUUGAAAUUUUUUUAUUCAAUUCGAUUCGAUUCGAUCAAACGCUCACCCCUAGUUUAGUGACUAAUAGUAUAGCCUUUUUUUGGUAAAAUGAAAAUUUGACCCUGAUUUUGUAUAAUAAAAAACUCAAAAUUAUUUAUACAAUGGAAAAUUGUAUAUUAUUCAACAUAGGGAUUUUUUACCCAAAUCAUAUAAAAAAUAAUUAAUUAUAAAAAUAAGGCAUUUGGUACAAUGUUCUAUAACAAAAUAAAUAGUUUUAAUGAUUGUUUUCUUAAAAACUGAAAAGCGAUUUGCCAGAAUUAAUAUUGUCAAAACACACAAUUUCAAAUUUAUUUUUUGGGUUUUUAAACAAGUUAAUGUAAUUUCUCCAUAUUCGACCAUAACGUAUGAACUAGGUUUGUGGCAUUACAAUUUUUGUCCUCAAUUUAUAUAUAUAUAUAUUUAUCAAUAUGACCCUGAUUUUAUAUAAAGAAUUAAAAUCAUUUAUAAAAUAGAAAAAUGUAUAUAAAAUUCUAGAAAAAUAAAAUCUUGAAUAUGUUGUUGAAGAACUAAAAUAUGUGAGAAAUAAAGAAAAGUAUAAUUCAAUAGAAUCCAAAAAUAAAUUAGAAACAAAACGAAAUAAAAAAGUUCAGUUUCAUGCUCUUGAAGAACAUCUAGGAUUGAUAUUAGAGAGACUUAUAAAAUCUACCCGACUGUCAUUUAUUUUGUCAAAAGAUUACAAAAUAUGCCACAAUUUUUUUUUUCAAACUCAAUUCAAACUUUAAUUACAUUUAAAUUAUUUUUCAAAACCCAAAUUGUAAAAACAAAAUGUGUUUCUUCUUCCAUGGUUGAGUUGGGCUUGGACAAGAUUUUUAUGUCUUGAGCUGUUCCAACUUGAAUUCAAUUUAAAUAAUAAAAAAUAUUUUUAAAUUUAAAAUUUAAUUAAGAAUAUAAAAAUAUUUUUAAUAUUUUAUUAUUUUUUGAACUCUCAAAUGGACUUUUUAGGGUUGACUGAGCUUGGCUAAAAAUGGGUUAGGCUUGAAAAAAUUUUAGAUUAUUUUUAGGAGUAUAUCAAGGAGUCUAAUAAUUACAAUUUUUUAAAAGGUUUUAAUAACACUAGAAAUCUUAUCAUACGCAUAAGCAUGUGAAAAUCACAUAUUUAGGACACAUAUUUGUGUUUAAAAAGAACGUACAAUAAAUAAUGAAGAGUAUGAUUCGGAACUAAUUAAUAAUAACACAUGAAAUAUGUAUGAUAUUAAAAUAAAAAUUACAUUAAAUUGAGAGUGAAAUAAAAUUUAAACCAAAAACACAUGAAUAUUAAAUGAAAACAAAUGUUUAUCAUUGUUUUGUCUUCAAUACUGAGUUGGUGUCAUGUUCAUUUGUGACGCUAAAUCAAUGACAUUAUUUACAUAUACAAAUAUAUAAAAAUUUAGAACACAAAUAUACUUAUUAAAGUUUCAAAUGAAAACCUUAAAUUGUUUUAGUUAUAAUGUAAAUGAAAAAGCUUUAUAUGCAUGGUGUCCCCUUGUUCAAAUAUCAUUAAUAUGGGUAAAUUUUUAUUGAUUUAUAAAAAAAUAUAAAAGGAUGAAAACACCAUCAUAAACAUAUAUAUUACUUUGCAAAUAAAAUAGUUUUUUUUUGUAAUUUUCUUAUUGAGUUAGGACCCGAUUGAUGAGUGACACCAACUCAAUAAAAUAUUUAAUACAUAGUAUAGAUAAAACAAUUUUAAUCUAAAAUGUUUAAAAGAAUUUAGGGUAAAAUUCAACAAUGGGUAAGUUUUCAUUUUGGUCACUUAACUAAAAAAUGUUACAAUUUGAUCACUAAUAUUUUCGAAAUUAUUUUCUUUUUGUCACCCGACUGUUAAGUGGCACUUGUUUCAAUUGGUAUAAUAAUAAUUCUAGUCAUUAGUUUUUAUAUUUUCUGUCAAUUUGACUCUGAUUGUGUAUAAAAUAUUAUUAAAAUUAUUAGAUUUAAUUUCAAGUUGUAACAUAUGAUUAUGCAUUCUUAUACCCUGAUGUCCCAUACUUUCCGAUUAAUUAUUAGAUUUAAUAAUAAAUUUAGCCUUUAACGUUUGAUUAUUUUGUUAAAAUGGCCCUAAUUGUGUUUUUGAUUUUUAUUUUUUUUGCUAUCAACCUUUGUUCUUUUUUUUAAUCUUCUUUUUUUAAUAUAUUUAAUGAAAGUACUUUAAAAAAGUUGACCGCGAAAAUGUGAAAUUUCAUAUGUCAAAUAUUUUUAAUGAGAUAUAAUUUAUUAGUUAAAUAACCCUAUAAGAUAAUUACAUGUAGAAAAUAUUAAAAUAAAUAAUACAUUAAAUUGAAAAAAAUAAUUUAAAGAAAAUAAAUGUAAUUAUUUAAAAAAAACUAACUCAGUAGAAAAACUUCUCAGUAAACAAACAUACGAAAGAUUCAAAACUUUUGAAAGAAAAGAAAUAUUGAAACAAAGGUUGAUGGUAAAGAAAAGCUCAAAAGUAGAAUUAGUGAUCAAAUUUAUCAUUAAAUCUAAUUAUUAUUAUUAUUAUUAUUAUUAUUAUUUAAUGCCAAUUAUAAUGGGUGACAGCAAAGAAAAAAGUAAAAAAAGAUGGAUUUCUUACUCAUAUCCACAACAUUCGUCUUUUUAUACAUGUAAUUAUGCUUUCCCAUUAAUUAUUAAUUAUUUUCUCUUUCUUCUGCUUCUUCACAUAUUGCUAUCACAAUUUUGCUUAUUUCUGUUUUCACCUUCUUCUUCACUCUUUUUAAUUUCUUUUGAUCUCCAAGGUCUAUCACUAAUUUUCAAGCAUCCAGUCAAGGUAAUUUUCUGUCAUUUGCUUCAUUCAUGACUAUACAAUGAUUGUUUUUAUUAUCAGCUACUGUUAUAGCAGCUAGCUUUGUAAGAUAGUCAAGGUAAUAAGAUCUGAAGCAAUGAUUCCUCUACUGAUUAUCAAUUUUAAGACGUACAGGAUGAUCAGCAGACAUAGUCUACUAUAGAUACAAAUUAAUACGAAAAGAGCUACCCAGAAGCAAUAUAAUGUUGAAAUCUCAUGCUGUUGGAACAUUUUACCUCUUAAUAUUCUGUAAUGCUCUUGCACACUUGAAUCUAGCAUGUUAUAUAGUUUGAGAGGUUGAUUCUGGAUAUACAAUGGUGACCAGAAUUUCAUCAUGUUUCUGCCUGCUACCCAUCCAUAGCUCCAUCUAAUAGACGCCAUUGCUUGAAACUUGCAUUCAUGCUUACACUCACAUAUCACAACUUCAUAAAAAAUCCAAUACAUUCACAGAUUUUCAAUGAUUUUGUUUUGAUGUCCAAGGUCUAUCACAAAAUUUCAAGCAUCCUGUCAAGGUAAUUUUCUUUCAUUUGCUUAAUCCAUCACAUGCUUUUCUUUGCUUGAUUCAUGACUUUGCAAUGAUUGUUUCUGAUUAUCUGCUACUCUUAGCAGCUAGCUUUGUAAGACAGUCAAGGAAGAAGUCAACUUCACUGCUUCAUUUUCAGUUUUAUUCUCUCAACACUUUUCAGCCACUAAGUUAGGUAAUAAGAUCUGAAGCUAUGAUUUCCUCUACUGAUUAUCAACAGUUUUAGAUUUUAAGACAAGAUGAUCAGCAAACGUAAUCUACUCUAGAUUGAAAUUAAUACAGAAAGAGUACCCAGAAGCAACAUAAUGUUGAAAUCUCAUACUGUUAACAUUUUAACUCUUAAUAUUCUGUAAUGAACUGUUGCACACUUGAAUCUAGCAUUUUAUAUACAUUGAGAGCUUAAUUCUGGUGACCAUAAUUUCAUCAUGUUUCUGUCAGCCACCCAUCCAUAGCUCCAUCUAAUAAACGCCAUUGCUUGAAACUUGCAUUCAUGUUUUCCUUUUCAUGCUUACACUGACAUAUCAAUACUUCAUAAAAUAUCCAAUUCAUUCACAGAUUUUCAUUCUCUGCUACUGUUUUUUUAUGAUUGCAUUGCAGGGACAUAGCAAUGGAGUACGUAGAGCCUGUUGUCGGCAUUGCAAAUUGUCUCGGAACUCCUGUUUGUAAAUAUUUGCAAUAUCACAGAAAGCUGAACGAUUAUGUGAGAAACUUCAAGAGGAUCAGAGAUGAAUUGAAUUGCAAAAUGGAAGAUAUAGAGCUGCAAUUGAAAGCAGAGCUUCUUCGUCCUCUGGGGAAGAUACCCAAGCAGGGAGUUGAAAAUUGGUUGAAAGCUGUGAAAGAGAUGAUUAGGGAAGCACAAGUUGUUGAAAACAAAGUCAGUAACGGGAGAUAUCUCUGUCGUGCUUGCAACGGGAAGCUGGUUGAUGAAAAGACUCGAGAAAUGAAGGAAUUUCUUGAUAAAGCUCCUAAUGCCUCUGAAGCUCUUGCCAUGGAUGGUCCAAGUGCGGGGUUGCCACUGCCAACAUCAGAACUAGUUGGAGAGGAAGCUGUCAGAAAUGAGAUUUGGGCAUGUUUGAUGCAGGAGGAGCUGAGCAGGAUUGGGGUUUGGGGGAUGGGCGGUGUGGGUAAAACCACUAUUAUGAAGCACAUCCACAAUGAUCUUUUGAAAGAACAAAGAUUCGAAAGGGUAAUCUGGGUUACCAUUUCAAAGGAGUUCAAUGUAAUGAAGGUACAAGAUAAUAUUGCAAGUGCGUUGGAGUCGAAGGAAUAUCUAGACAAAGAAGAGGACAAGCUCAGACGAGCUGCAAUCUUGUCAGAAAUGCUGAAGAACGCAGGAAAGCAUGUUCUAAUCCUAGAUGAUGUGUGGCAUAAAGUCUCUCUAGAGGAAGUUGGGAUCCCUGAGCCUAGUGGCAGCAAUGGCUGCAAGUUGGUGUUGACAACCCGUUCGGAGCAUGUCUGUAAGUAUAUGGGUUGUAAGGUGAUAAAAGUGAAGCCCCUUUCAGAAGAAGAGGCAUUGAUACUAUUCUUGAAUAAAGUUGGACCUAACAUAGUUCAAAGUCCAACUAUAAUGCCUAUUUUGAAGCUUGUUGUCAAGGAAUGUGCGGGUCUACCUCUUACAAUUGUCGUGGUAGCUGGUACCAUGAAAGGAGAAGAUACCCCUCUUAUUUGGAAAAAUGCACUCGGGGAAUUAAAAGAGAGAAUAGGAAAAGUUGAAGGAGUGGAAGCUGAGGUAAUCGAGCGCUUGAAAUUUAGCUUCGAUCACUUAAAGGACGAGAAAGUGAAAUAUUCUUUCUUAAAUUGUGCAUUAUAUCCCGAAGAUUUUGGAAUUGAAAAGGAUGAACUAAUUGAGUGCUGGAUUGAGGAGGGAUUCAUAGAUGAUAUGGGUACAAGACAAGAAAUGAAAGACAAGGGCCAUGUUAUUUUGAAGAAGUUAGAAGAGAAUUGCUUGUUGGAAAAUAAUACCAAUGUACGUGUUCAACCUUGCAUAAAGAUGCAUGAUGCAGUGAGAGACAUGGCAUUGUUGUUGGAGCAAGAGGCAGCAGCAGCAAGCUUCAGCAGAAUGCUUGUUUUGCAAGUCUCGUGACUUGUAGGAGAAACAAAGCAGAAAACUCAAAUGGAUUUUAAGCAAAACUAAAAAAUGGAGAGCAUAUGGAUGAAAACUUGUUGAAUUCAUUCAUUGAAAAUUAAAAUGGCCCAAAGCCAAUACAUAAACAAGUUUACAAUCUUGACAAAACGGUAGGUUGACCUAAACUUCACCUACUACCACUAAUACACAUAGUAACUUGUGCUAAUUAGCUUGAACAAAUAAACAAAGCUGAUUUAUCAGCUCAAUCAACAUCAAAAUUACAUCAAGCAUAAACCUAACAUAGUUAUAAAGCAACUAAGUUACAUUACUCUAACUUAAAAUUACAAAAUGAAACAUAAACAGCUUGCUGACUAGGUGAACCAGCAGCUUCUGCAUGUAGUGCCUUUGACAGUCUUGGUUGCUGCAUGCUGAUCAUAACUUCAAUACUCCUCCUUGGUUAGCAUGUUGCAAACUCCCAUAUUAGUUCUCAGGCGUUGAAACUUGGAAACACUUAGUGCUUUUGUUAAAAUAUCAGCAAUUUGCUCUUCAGAACUGCAAUGUAUCAGCUUAACAACAUGAGCUUGUUCCAUUUCUCGAACUGCAUGAAGUUUGAUGUUGAAGUGCUUGGUCCUUCCAUGAAAAACAGGAUUCUUUGCAAUAGCAACUGCUGAUUGGUUGUCACACAUUAUCUCAGUUGCUUCCUUUUGCUCAUGAUUGAUAUCUUUCAAAAUUUUUCUAAGCCAUAUGGCUUGAUUGACUGCUGCAGCAGCAGCCACAUAUUCUGCUUCUGCAGUCGACUGAGCCACUACUCCCUGCUUCUUUGAGCUCCAGCAAAUCAUAGCAGAGCCUAUGUUGAAUGCAUAACCUGUAGUGCUCUUCAUGUCAUCCAAGGAACCAGCCCAAUCACUGUCACAAUAUCCAACUAGCUUCAAGUUCUCAGCCUUGGUAAACUGCAUUCCAUAGGACAAAGUUCCUUUGAUGUAUCUUAGAACCCUUUUUGCAGCUCUAAAAUGACUUUCAUUUGAACAAUGCAUAAACCUCGAGAGUAGACUCACAGCAUACAUUAUGUCAGGUCUAGUAGCAGUCAAAUACAACAAACAUCCAACUAGACUUCGAUAGGUUGUUUCACAAACCUUUUCAUGCUUGUCUUGGCUCGAGAGUUUUUCUCCAACAGCAACUGGUGUGCUGGUUGCUUUGCAAUUCUCCAUUGAGAAUUUGUUGAGAACCUUCAUAGCAAAGGUCUUUUGACUUAGCCAAAUCCCAUUCUUAGCUUGGGUUACUUCCAUGCCUAAGAAGUAAGACAUCAAUCCCAAGUCUGACAUUUCAAAGUGCUGUUGCAUUUUGACUUUAAAGCUGCUUAGCAUCUCAUGAUCUCCUCCUGUCACCAAUAGGUCAUCGACAUAUAUUGAGACAAUGAGCUGAGUUUCAGCACUAGUUGAUUUUACAUACAGAGUUGGCUCGCUAAGACUUCUUUCAAAUCCUUGACUGGUCAGAUAGCCAUCUAUUCUGCUAUACCAGGCCCUUGGAGCCUGUUUCAAGCCAUACAAGGCUUUGUUGAGCUUGUACACCAUUUCUUCCUUGCCAGACACCUUGAAACCUUGAGGUUGCUCCACAUAAAUCUCCUCUUCAAGGAAUCCAUUCAGAAAUGCUGAUUUUACAUCAAGUUGGUGUAUCAGCCACUGUUUUUGUGCUGCUAAGGCAACUAGCAGUCUGAUAGUGUCUAGCCUGGCCACUGGUGCAAAGGUUUCCAGGUAGUCUGAUCCAUACCUUUGACUGAAACCUUUCACAACCAAUCUAGCCUUUAACUUGUUUAGGCUACCAUCAGCAUUGUUCUUUACUCGAUAAACCCAUUUGACACCAAUAAUCUUCCUGUUUGUUGGUUUAUCAACCAGACUCCAGGUCUGAUUCUUUUCAAUCAUUCUGAUUUCUUCAAUCAUUGCUUGCUUCCAGUCCUCCUGGUUUUCUGCUUCUUCAAAGCAACUUGGUUCAAUAGUAGCCACUUGUGCUCUUUCAUAAACAUCAACCAGUGAUCGAGUGCCUCUGAUUGGAACAUCAUCUACAUCCAUUUCAGGUGUGUUUUCAUCAUUUUCAACUUGAUCCACUGCGAGAUCUUCAGCCACUGCCUCUGGUUCAGCCUUCUCCCAAUUCCAGUGUCCUUUUUCAUUGAAAACAACAUCCCUGCUAACCAAUAUCUUGUUUGUAGCAGGUUCUAGGAUUCUGUAGCCCUUCUUAACCAAGCUAUAGCCGAUCAGGAUGCCUGCUUGAGCUCUUUUAUCUAGCUUGCUUCUCUUCUCAGCUGGAACUUGUGUGUAGCACAGACAACCAAAGGUUCUGAGAUGAGCCAGUGAUGGCUUAAACCCAAACCAGGCUUCAAAUGGAGUCUUUUCAGCCAGAGCCUUGGUUGGGAGCCUGUUUUGGAGAUAGACUGCUGUGUUAACAGCUUCAGCCCACAGAGUUUUGGGCAAAUUCUUCUCAAACAGAAGACAUCUUGCCAUGUUCAUCAAGCUUCUGUUUUUCCUUUCACUGACCCCAUUCUGUUGGGGUGUAUACACAUUAGUCAACUGGUGUUUGAUACCUGCUUCUUCACAGUAGGCUUGGAACUGAGCUGAGGUGUACUCAGUUCCAUUAUCUGACCUCAUUGCUCUAAGUUUGCAACCAGACUCAGUUUCAACAGCAGCUUUAUACUUCAGGAACACAGAUGAAACUUCUGACUUCUGUUUUAAAAAAUAAAUCCAGCAGUAUCUUGUUAAGUCAUCAAUAAAUAAAAUAAAGUACCUGCUUCCUUUGAGAGACUCAGUCUUCAUUGGUCCACACACAUCUGUAUGCACAAGCUGAAGCUUCUCUGAUGCUCUCCAUGUUGUGCUUGCUGGAAAUGGCAAUCUUGCCAAUUUUCCUUGCUGACAUAUCUCACAAAGCUCAUCAUUCUUCACUGAAUCGAUGAAAUUUUCUGCCAGUCCUUCAUUGACCAUGCGGGCUAUGGAUUUGUAGUUUGCAUGUCCAAGCCUCUGGUGCCAGAGUCUCGAGUCAUCAGUGGAGGCUAUGCAGGCUGAAUGUGAGUCAUUUGGCCAGUCUACUUCAAAACAUUUAUCAGUCAUGGUGACUGUUAUGAGGUUUGAUCCACUUGGAUAAAAAAUUUGACAUUCUUUCUCCUUGAAAACAACUGAGUAACCUUUCUCAAGUAGUUGACUUAUACUGAGAAGGUUCCUAUCGAUUUCAGGUACCAAAAGUACAUUUGAAAUGAUUUUGCCACCUGUAGAGGUAUGAAUCAGCACAUCUCCUCUUCCUUCAGCAUUGAUUAACUGACCAUUUCCAAUUUUUACUUUGGUUUUGCAGGUUCUGUCCAGGGUUUUGAAGAUAGUUACAUCUGGUGACAUGUGGUUUGUGCACCCACUGUCUAGAAGCCAGCCCUUUGAACCCUUUUUGUGAUUUGCUGCACAUGACACAGCAAAAACAUGUUCUUCUUGAUCACUACUUUCUUCAGCUACUCGAGCUUCUACUUUUUGUUGCUGAAAUUGAUUCUGUCUUGGUUUGCUUCUAUUCUUGCAAACUUUUUCAGCAUGGCCCUUUUUCUUGCAGUGUUGGCAUACUGCAUCUGGUCUAAACCAGCAUCUAUCUUCUGGAUGACCAGCUCUUUUACAAUGUCUGCAGAGUUGGUCACUGCUCCUAGCAGCAUCAGGCUUAGGCCUGUUUUUCCAGAACUUUUUGCCUUUAUGAGUUUUGAUGCUCGAGGCUUCUUUGGCUUGAAAAGCCCCUUCCUGGUGCUCCUCUUGUCUGCUGGCUCUUCUUUGCUCUUGUGCAUACAAGGCAUUGAUUAGCUCAGUUAAGGAGAUAGUUGUCAAGUCCCUUGAGUCUUCGAGGGAUGAAAUUUUAGCUUCAUACCUCUCUGGUAGAGUGGACAUGACUUUCUCAACCAUUCUAGCUUCACUGAAUUGCUCUCCUAGGAGCCUUAUGCUGUUUACAACAGCCAUAAUCCGAUCUGAGUACUGCUUAACUGUUUCUUCCUCUUUCAUUUUGAGAUUUUCGAAAUCUCUUCUCAAGUUGAGCAGCUGUUGUUGCCUUGUUUUCUCAGUCCCCUGAAAUUCUUCUUUCAGCUUGUCCCAAGCCUCCUUUGGUGUUUCACAGGCCAUGAUCCUCAUAAAGAUCACAUCUGUCACACAAUUCUGUAUGCAUGACAUGGCCUUGUGCCUUUUUGUUCUUUCAUCAGUGUGUUGCCUUAUUUGAGCAACUGUUGGAUUUGCUCGAAGAGGUGCUGGCUCAGCAUCUGAGUUGACAACUUCCCAUAGGUCGAAUGCCUGCAGGUAAGUCCUCAUCUUAACUGCCCAAAUGUUGAAGCCCUCUCCAUUGAAGACAGGUGGUGAAGCUGGUGAAAAACCUGAUGAUGCCAUCGUUUUGAUGUUGAACUACAACAGGUCCUCUAAGAAUACGGCUCUAGAUACCAAUUGUUGGAGCAAGAGGCAGCAGCAGCAAGCUUCAGCAGAAUGCUUGUUUUGCAAGUCUCGUGACUUGUAGGAGAAACAAAGCAGAAAACUCAAAUGGAUUUUAAGCAAAACUAAAAAAUGGAGAGCAUAUGGAUGAAAACUUGUUGAAUUCAUUCAUUGAAAAUUAAAAUGGCCCAAAGCCAAUACAUAAACAAGUUUACAAUCUUGACAAAACGGUAGGUUGACCUAAACUUCACCUACUACCACUAAUACACAUAGUAACUUGUGCUAAUUAGCUUGAACAAAUAAACAAAGCUGAUUUAUCAGCUCAAUCAACAUCAAAAUUACAUCAAGCAUAAACCUAACAUAGUUAUAAAGCAACUAAGUUACAUUACUCUAACUUAAAAUUACAAAAUGAAACAUAAACAGCUUGCUGACUAGGUGAACCAGCAGCUUCUGCAUGUAGUGCCUUUGACAGUCUUGGUUGCUGCAUGCUGAUCAUAACUUCAAUAAUUGUCGAUCACAAGAAUGAAUCCUCGAUAUAUGAUACAAUCAGGUUUGCAAUUAAAAGAGUUACCAGAAAAGGAGCAAUGGAGUCCGAAUAUUGAGAAAGUGUCUCUUAUGUAUAACUCCAUAUCAGAAAUUUCCAUAGAUGUGCUGCCCCCAAAAUGUCAACUGCUCACAACCUUGUUAUUGCAGCAUAACCCCAUAAAGAAGAUCCCAUAUUAUUUCUUCACAAACAUGCCUUGUCUUAGUGUUCUCAAUUUGUCUUUUACAAAGAUUGAGAGUUUACCAAAUUCCAUCUCUGAACUAAAGAACCUCACAACAUUGUUGCUUCGUGGUUGUUCUGAAUUAAGAGAUCUACCAUGUCUUUCGAUGCUUCAAGAAUUGAAGAAGUUGGAUAUAAGUCGUACAAGAAUUGGGAAAGUACCUGAAGGCAUGGAUAUGCUGAUAAAGCUAAGACAUCUUGAUCUUAGUGUGUGGAAUGUGAAAGAGAUACCCGCUGGACUUUUACCAAAACUCGUUCACCUUCAGCACUUGAGUUUUGAUGUGUACAAUGAAAAAACAAGUCUAAAAGCAAAGGAGAUGGAACCAUUGAAGAAGUUGGAGUGCUUUACGGGACGUUUCGAAGACAUCAGUGAAUUCAAUAAGUUCAUCUCCUCAAUGCAACAAAGUAAGAAAAAUCUCAUCAAGUACUAUUUACAGGUGGGCUCAUAUUUUGUGGGUGCUACAAGAGAUAAAAAAGUAACAAUUGGAGGAGUCCAAAAUUGGGAAGAUGAGUUAAUUAUGCACCCAAUUAAAAUUCAAGAGUUGAAUAUUUUACAUUGCGACUAUUCGAUAAACUUAGUCGAUGAUAAUUCUUCCUUCAAAAAUGCGAUUGACUUGAGGGUUUGUAGGAUUUAUAAUUGUAAAGGGAUAGAGUGUGUUGUUUCCCUGUCCUCUUUUGCCUCUUCUUCCGCUCAUCCAUUUCAGAGCCUCGAGGUGUUGCAUCUUCGAUCUCUGCCAAAGUUGAGUGCCCUUAUUAUGAAAGAUGCAGGAAUUGGUUCAGCAACAACGUCAACGUUGGCUCCGUCUACCACCUUUUCCCAUCUUAAGGAAAUUGAUGUACGGGGAUGCUCAAGUAUGAAGACGUUGCUUCCACAUUGGUUGCUUCCAAACCUCCAAAACCUGGAAAAAAUAUAUGUGCGUGCUUGUAGUCAGCUAGUAGAAAUAUUGGGAGCAGAAACAUCAGAAGUUGAAGAAAAAGGGAGUGAUGCAUUAAUCAAAUUCCAUCUUCCCAAAUUGAUAGUGUUGGAAUUGAGCGAAUUACCAAAUUUGAAGAGCAUAUGCAGCAAAAGUGGAGUGAUGGUUUGUGAUUCUCUCCAAUUUAUGAAAGUUGAUGGAGAUUGUGAUAAACUGAGGAGAAUUCCUCCUUUUGUUCCCCUUGUUGGCAAUGGGCAGCCAUAUGCAUAUGCUCCACCUUCUCUUACCAUCUUCUCAAGCACAGAAUGGUGGGAAUCGUUGGAGUGGGAUGACCAUCCAAACUAUAAAAAUGUUCUUCGCUUCAACCCUACAUUGAGGAUAAGAGGUAUGAACCAUUUAUGGUUUUGUUUAUUUUUUUUAUUUUGAUAAAUCUAAUUUCUCCAUUUUAAUAAAAUUUCAGAUAAAUCUGGUAAUGUUGUUGAAGAGAAAGAUGAAAGGGUUGGUGGGAAAGAAGUAGGGGGGGGAGGAUAGUGCAAAAGAGAGGAGAAAAGGAAUGAUGGAAGGAAUGAUAGAGGCAAAGGUAAAUAAGAAAUCAAACUGCCUCCACUUUUUAUACAUUUUCCCUCUCUUACCAUUCCUUCUAUUCUCUUACCACUUUUUAUAUAUAUAUGUAUAUAUAUGUACUUCCCAAAAUAACCUUCUAAAUAUUUAUGAUUAAAAUAUUUAUAUUAAUCAAAAUGAUUUAAGGUGAGACAAAUCUUAUUUCCAAUAAAAGUUCGGAAAGUAAUGUAAAAAUACAUAAUAUUUUUUAAUUUCCAUGUAAAAUUUCUGGAAACAUUAAGAUUUAAAAAAUAAUAAUUGCUUGUUUUUUUAAAACAUAAUAUUUAUUAAAAAAUAUAAUUGGAUUCAUUCAUAUGUAAACGCAAGCAUAAAGAUUAAAACAAUAAUGUAAUUUCAUAAAAGUAUGAUAUUAGAAAUUAAAAGUGGAAAUUAAAUAAGAUGAAUUCCUUUUCUUGAGUAAUAUAAAAAUUGUAGGGAUAGUUAAUAAUAUUAACAUAUUUCUAAUAUUAAAUAAUAUUUUAAAUUAUGAGGACUAAAUGAGAAAAUUAAAAAGGUGAAAUCCCUUUUAAAAUAAAUUAAAAACAUUAAGGGUAUUAUGUUGCAAAUAACCCCUCCACGUUCCCAUAUAUAAAAGACAUUUUCCUUUUUCUUUUAAUUUGUGAUAAGUUGGAAAAUAAAAAAACAAAAAAAAAAAAAACUUAGUUUCCUUUUUUAUUCUUGUUUCAUUUUGUUGUCCGACUUUUUUUUUGAAGCUGAAGAUUUAAAGUUUUUUAGUAUUAAAUACCAAAAUAUCAUAGGUUCUCAAUAAUUAUGUAGUUUGUAAUGCCAGAAAGUUUACAUUUUUUAAAUAUCAUAGGGACACUAGCGUGUGUCCAGACUGUGUGUGACUAUGUUAGUGCAGGGUUCACACAGGCCAAGGACACGAACGUGUGUCCAGGUCGUGUAACUCACUAUUUACAAAAUAAGGAUCUCACGAACGGAUGACACAGCCGUGUGUUAGGCCAUGUGAGACACACGGGCAAGCAAACAGGAAUGUGUCAGGCUGUGUGGGGCUACACGGGUGUGUGGGCCAGUUUACGAAAUUUUUUCAUUUCCUGAACUUCGUUUGAAAUGAAUACAAGCCUUCUGUGAGGCUGUAUGAACUGAAUUAAAUUGUAUAAAUUGAUAUUCUAUGAUCUGAAAUUGAGUACUAAUAAUGUGCGUGUGUAUUGUAUAUGACCAAUGUUAAUAGUAUCGAUCUCCUGUAUUCAAGCAUGAAUUGUAUCUAAAUAUUCACAUUUGUAUUAACUGUCAUGUGAAGUCUGCAUAUGCAUUGGGUGGAAAUUGAGCAAGAAGGAUGUAUUCUGUUCUAACAUAAUGAUUAAAUCACUACCAUAUGUACUCUGAUCUAAUAGCUAGACUGCAAUUUCUGAAACGUGUUAGAUCGACCCUAUAUGGUGUGUAGGAUUGGAUGGGUUAUAAGUAUCCUAUUUCAUGUGUUAGGUUGGUUGGAGAUGGUGUGUAACGGCUGGGAUUAAGAAAAUUGCAUAUGUUCUGUUCUGUUCUGUAUCUGAUUAUAGUUUGAUUUGAUAUCUGUCUGUAUUGUUCUGAUCCGUAAAUUAAUGAGCUAUUUCCUAAGUCUAAAUCGGUAUUUGCACUUGGACAUCUACUGGUUUAAUCCACACUCUAUUGAAUAUGUAUAUAGUUGGUUUCUUUAUGAGAUAUUAAAUCAUUUUUUUGUUGAAUGAAUUAUAGGUAAAUCACAAGCUUAGAGAAGUCGGUGGAUGGGGAGCUCAGUUUCAUUGUUUUAAACUGUUUAGUAGUACUAGUAUUGUUAGUUGUUAUUCAUAUUUUCAAUUUACUUGGACGAUAAACCUCAAAUUUCUUACCUUGUUAGUUCUUUAAAUCUUAUAUGACUCUGAAGGAUUUUAAAGUUAAGUUAUGAAGUUGCUUUAUUAUUAUAGUUCGUUGUAACCCUCCAGGCUUGGUCUUGUCGUCUAGACCGGGUAUGGAGUGUUACAUUCCUUUAUAAUAUUUAGCAAUGCCAACAAUGUUAAAAUUGUAUUGGUAAAAAAAGUAAAUUUAAUUUUAUAAAUAGAUUUUCACAUAAACAUUAAACAUUUUUACUCUACAAAAAAAAUUAAUAUAAAAUAUUUAAAUAAAUACCCAUGAUGAAUACAUGCAUUGUACAAGUUAUAUAUCAACAUUUAACAUUUUAUCCAAAAAGUUAAUGAUACUAACUGUAUAGACUAUAUAUCUAAUAAUAUUACAAAAAUAUAGAGACUAAAUUAUGUUAGAAAUUAAAGUAUAAAGAUUAAAUCAUAAAUUUAGAUAUAAUAGAGGGAUCAAAACUUAAAAUCAUGAAAAAUUCCUUAACAAAAUCUUUCCAUUUAACAACCAAACAUCAUAAACCACCAUUAAACUUCAAAAAUCUACCAUCUUCAUCAAUGACUUCUUCCAAAUCAUUAACAAUUUAACAAAAAAAAAUCCUUGGAUUAGAUAGAUAGAGUUAAAAUGAUCCCAAAAACAUUAAAUUCAUGAAAAACAGAUUAAAAUAUUCUUACAUGCAUUAACCUUAAUGACUGAAAAUGCAAGCUACAAAUAGACUAUUCUUUUCUCUAUUUUCGGCAAGAACACCUAAAAAAGAUGAUAAUUUUCAUUAAUUUUUCUUUUAUGUUUUCUAUUCUUUAUUUUCAUAAGUACUUACUUAUCCUUGUAAUAUAACUAAACAAUGAACUAAACUUAGUCUAUAUUUGUCCACUAAAGUUCUAUAUGGUUUAAUUACCACAUAGAUCCAUCCACUCAAAUAAUACUAACCAUUUAAUACAGUUAACUAUGGGAACUAACUUUUUAAGUUUUUACAAUUUAAUCCUUUUUAAUUAAUUAACUAUCUAAACAAUAACCUUCUUAACUAAAAUUUAAUAGACACUAAUGACCUUGUAAAUACUAAAUUAACCUGAAAAAUGAGAAAACAAUUUAAUCCUUUUUAAAUUAAUUAACUAUUGGCCGGACCCUCGGGCUUUCAGAGAAAACAAAAAGUGGUUUUUUUUUUUUUGAGAAGUGAGAGAAAAUGAAAUUUUUUAAAAAAUUUUGGUUUAUAUAAGGCCUUACAAACGACGAUGAUAUAUAAGCUUGUGAAAGUUAAAGUGAACAGAUGAUGAUAUUUAUAAGUAAAUAUACACUUUGAUGAUGCUUGUUUAUGUGUAUGGUGCCAAAGAUUUGUUGCUUGAAUAGAAAUGAAGGCAUGUCUUUUACCUGUUAAGUUAAUUUUGGUUAUAUGAUGGGCCCUAUAAUGUGGAUAGUUGGGUGGAUAGUAAAAACAAACUGAAAUUAUUCAAAGUUUAAGUGGGAAACCAAAACAGAGUUUAACUGAGAGAAGAAAAAAAAACAAACUUGAUGAACACGUCACCACGUCGUGACGUAGCAUUCUUGUCAUCGUGACAGGGAGAUGUUACGUUGUUGAGAUGAAGGCUUUCUUCUUAUCAUGACAUUGGUUGUUUGUCGCGGCGUUGAGCUUUAUCUUGUUGGGACAUCACUUACUAUUUUGUUUGAAAUGUGAGGCAAACGCCAUAAAGUGUAUAGUGAUAUAGAGCCAUGGUUGUUUGAACCAAGAAUCAGUCAAGGUACUAGUUCGAAGUGAGGCAUCAGACCACUUCACCCGCGAAUCGGUGCAAACCUAUUGAACAAGAUUAAAGAAAACUAGUUUUUUUUUUUAUGAGUUUUUAAUGAUUUAUUUAAUUGAACAAUACAGACUAAUAGUUUACCGGUUCAACUACUUCUAAAAACCUUAGAAUAUAUUUUAAUCUUUAAAUUUUUACUCAAACACUAAUAAUAAAUUUUAAUCUUUAAAUUUAUUUUAUAAUUUAACAUAAAUAGAAAAUAACUCAACCGUACUAGCAUUAAAGAAAAAGGAAAUCCAUAGUGGUACGAGUCACGCAAAGGAAGGAACUGCCAACAUCCUUGAAGCUCUAUAAUUAUCAAAAUUGAAAAACAAAAUGCCAACAUCCUUUAAGCUUUUGCACUAGAAUCGAAAUUAAAAAAGAAAAAGGAACUGCCAACUUUCGUUAAGAACAAGUAGUUGAAACUCUUCGUUGACACCUGAAUAACCAAGGUUCAUCCCUUAUCGUACUCUCCUAUCAUAACGCGACAACAAACUUUGCAUUGUUUCUACUCAAAAGGGUGACAUCAAAAUAUAUUUUGUUGAAUUUGAAAAGGAAAAUUUAAGAACAGUGAAGUACAUCCAACUAUGAAAGACUAACGUUGAGAUUGACCUGGUGCUAAUUUGCACUCAGCAGAGCUCUUGCAUGUCCUUUAGAUAUCUGUAGCUGCUCUGUUAUGCCAAAAUGAGCCAUAAGAAGCCAAACAUGGGUUAGAAGCUCUCCACCCCUUCUCAGUUGAUUAGCAUGCUGAGUUCCCCCACAAUGACUUGCAGCAUAAGUUAGCAUCUCUAACCAAAUUUCUUUAAUCAUCUCCCAUUUUACCUUUUUGUCUGAUAUGCCUUCAAGUGUUGAUGCCAGCUUGCAAGCGUCAAACAACACAGAUUUGCUUUUAUCCCCUUUUACUUUGCUCGGGUCUACAUCGGUCUUCACAUGAAGCAACAUACUGCAAGCAUCCUUCACACUCAUUAAUUGGUAUGCACUUGAAGAGAGCAGCCGUCCUUUAAAGAACCUCCAAGCUUGAAGCAACUUUCUGCAAUACUUGGUUAUUUUAUUCACUCGCUUAGCACUAGAAGAUUCCCGUCUUUCCUUGAAAAACCUCCUGGCCUCGGCUUCAGUGUCUCGAAACCUUAUAAGCCCUAUUCCUGAUGGCAACAUAAGAGGAUAAAAGACAAGGAGGUAUAUCAGGUACUUUGAGAUUAACAGGCUUGCUUCCCGACAUUGUCCAUUUUCAGUAUCACUUUGAAGACCUGAGUUGUAACAAAUCUCUGUAGCAAUGUGCCAGAUAAGAAUACUCUGGUCGAACUCAACAUCAAUACUCCACUCAAGCUUAGCUGGCAAUUUAUCCUCAUGUUUUUGAAGUAUGCUCUCUCCCCUUUGGCGGCAGAAGUCUCUAAGAUUAGUACCUUUUUUUCCCUUUUGCGCUUCAAAUUUCGCUUUGACAUGGCUAAAGAGGGUGUCUCUCAAGGAUCCCUCGAAUUUUACACUACUUCUAGGCGGCCACAUUUGCUGCACCUUUUCAAGUAUUUUAAACCCAGGUCUUUCUUCCAGGAAAUGGCUGAGUAGGCUGUACUGUGAUAUGCGACCAGACCACCUCUUUUGAUCAUACAGGGAAGUCAAACAUCUAGUGGCUCUAAUAAUGAAAGUUCUGUUAUUCUUAACCAACCAAUGGCUCGUCUGGUCUGAGCAAAGUAAUAAAAAUGCUGCAUACAUCUCCAGAAGAAUAGCUACAACAAGCAAAAGAAAAGUGAUGCAUACAUCAGCCUCUUCAUACUUGUUCAGGUUAUCAGUAGAGAACAUCCCCAACACAAGACAGGUGAGAAGGACAGUAGUAAAGCGGCAAACCAAACCGGAACGAGUAUAAUUUACCAUAGCUUUGGUGUAUAGUAAAUCAUACAUGAAUCCUAGUUCAAUGGCCACCACAUCGAAAGCAUCCUCCGGACUCAUGUCCUUGAAUAAAUUUUGGCUUUUCUCCUUGUCUUUAAAGCUUAGGAUGAGAUCUGCAAACAGACGCUUGAAUAUCUGAAACAUCACAGUGGCUUUAAUGAUUUUGUCUUGGUCAGUGCUCCUUUUUUCAGGGGCUGUAAUAUCCAUUUCUUGCUCAUCUUCCUUCACCUCUUCAAUAGUCACCAAGAACCCCUCAAAUUUCCUCAGACUGUAUUCAUCCAUCAACUUGGGGUAAUUAGGACCAGGAUCUGGAGAAGUUAGCAUCGAGUCUCGUAAUUCGCCAGGGCUUGCUCUCCAUAGAGUCCAUGUCCUCUCAGCAUACUUAAUUGAUCCAGCCACAAUCAUUGGAAUGGUUAGCUUGGAGAGAAGGGAACCUGUCCAUGCCAUGAAUAAGAUGUAUAUUGUCACAAUUGUCUGCACAAUUAGUCCAAAAAGGUGCCUUAACCAUAGCUGAUUGUCUUCCAGGGAGUAAGCUGUAAUGGCAUCUGGGCCACCCAAGUGCAGUAGGAGAAAGGGUGCCCACGUUGCUUUAAGCUCAGUGCUCAAGUCAAGAGCUCCUCCCUUAUCAUAUAUUUCACCCAGGUCAUUUGUUAGUAUGCCGAGGGCGAUAGAUGCUAGAGAAUCAGCCAGCAAAUAGGAACACCAAACAGCAGCUCUAAUCCUUCUUUUUGAAGUGCAUUUUCUGCGCUUGCCAAAUAAAAUGAGCAAAAUUUGGACCAGAAGGCUGGUUAAAACCAUUGCUCGGAGCUCCCAUUCCUUCCACAACUUCAUUAAUGAGGGAGAAAAGACCUCCACCAUCUUUCGGCUUUUCUUCACCAAAAUUAAGCUACCAACUACUGCAUAUGCACGAACAAACAAGAAUUAUUCAUAAACUUAACGCAGCUAACUAGUGAUGAUUUUCAAAAAUAAAUAUUCCAUUUUUUUCCAGAAACAUAUUUUGUUCAUUUCUUCCCAUUAUGAAUAUAUAUGCAGAAUCUAAGAAAGAAAAAUUGGUUCCUUACUUGUGGGAAUCAUUGUGAUUGUUAAUGCUUCCUGAUGAGUCUACUCGCAUCACCUAACUGGGUUUUGCUCUGCGAAACGGUUUAGCUAACAUUGAUGGGAAAAGCAGCUUCUUUACUCUAAGCGUCAAUGCGUUAUGCUUAAAUCAAAUAUUCUUAGAGUAUCCUUACAAAUUAGUUUAGAUGUGCCAACGGUAUUUUUACUUUUUUCACAUUUAAAAUUUAAAAUUUAAUCUUUAUAAUUUUCAGACUUUUUACUUAAAAAAUUCUAGUUUCUCUAUUUAAUUUUACCAUUAUCGACUUUAUAAAAAAAGUAAAAUGAAUUUUUAGUCCUUAAUAUUUACAAUUUUUUAUCAAUUUGAUUCUUACCUUUAAAAGUAAAUAAGAAAUUUUUGAAUUUACUUUUUCCAUAUUUUAUUUAAAAAUUUUAAAAUAUAUUUUAAAAAUCUAAAAUUAUGAAAGAAAUAAAAACUAUUUAAAAUUCAAAAAAUAAUCAUUUAAUAUAAAUUUUAUUAAUAAUAUAAUAAAUAAAUUAAAUCACAAAAUAUUAAUGCUAAAAUUAAAAAAUGACACUUUUGGACUAAUGUAAUUUAGAUAUUAAAUAUGAUAUAUAUGAGAUAUUGGUAUUUAUUUUAUUAAUAAAAUAUAAAGAAGCAAAUUACAUAAAAAGAUAAUCAUGUAUGAUCACAUUUUGUUAUAUAAAUCAUAUAUAAUCAUUAAAUAUGAAGCAAUAAAUGCUUUUUAAUUUUUUUAAAUUUUAUUUAUAAUAAUUAUGUUUCUCUAAUAUUCUUUAAAUUAACUUAAUGUUAUGGAUUGAUUUACCCAUCUGUAAUUCAACAGUUUUUUAAAUAUUAUAAUAUACAAAUUAAAUUUUAUAAUUACAAAUGCUUUAUACAAUAAAUCCAAAUGUUUUAAUUUAGAAAUAUAAUUCUAAAAAAUGUUGAAAAUAGCAAUUUUUAAAUAAAUAAUGUAUUUAUUAUUAAAAAAAUAUUUUUAAUAUUAUAGUAUUUAUUUAAUUUAAUAAAAAUAAAUAUUUUUAAAUAUCAAAAACUUAAUAAUUGAAAUUUAUUACGCAAGUGCAUGUAUCAAUCAAGUAAUAAAGUGAUAAAAAUAGGGACAAAACCAGGAAAUUACAUUAGGAGGGCCGAAAUUAAAUUUUAAUUUUAAUAGCCUAUAUCUUUAUAAUUUUUAAAAGAUUAAAUCAAAUUUUUAUUAUUUUAGGGGGACCAAAGUGCGAUUUUACCUUUACCAAUUUAAAAUUUUAAAAUUUCUAAAGGGCCUAAAUGAAUAUUUUUCCAUUUUAGGGGCUAGGUGUAACACCCUAAACCCGGCCUAGAUGGAAAGACCAAGUCUAGAAUGUCAAAUGAACUUACCAGAAAAUAGAUACACUUAAAGUCGGUUUAACUAAUACGUAAAUAAGUCUUAAAAUCAUUAACCACUCAACAUAACACAAUCUUAAAACUCAAAGUCGGAAAACAAUAACAAUUUAAAACACACACACACACAUAUUGAUACAGAUGCAGUUAUCCUACCCCCAUCCGCUACGCACUAUCUCCGAUCAUCCCAACACACCAAUAGGUAUAUAAUACCCCUCCAGCCAUACAUACCUUAUAGUGUCGGCACGACACAUUGUAAUGUUUACAGUCUCACUGCUAGAUCAGAUAUAAUUCUAGGUGGUUUGACCACCAAAUUAGUAUGGAACACUUCCUUCAAUCCAUAAUUCCCACCCCAUGCAAAUGCAGAGAACAAAUGACCAAUAUUUAUGUAUUGUUAUGCAGAUACAAAUCAUACAGUUUCAAUAUAUCAAAGGGUUGAAAUUCUUACGAAUUGUCUCAUACGGUUAUGUAAAACCAAUUUAUAAUCAUAAUAAAGUAGAUCAUAAAGUCCAGUUUAGUUCAUACACAUCCUAUAGACGACUUACACUCGCCUCGCACAACAAUUAUAGCAUUAACAAAAAUUUGGCGAUUCUAGCUCACAUGCCCAUGUGGAUGCCCGUAUGACUCCACACGGCCUGGCACACGACGAUUCUGAGAUUGGUAUUAACAGAGAAGUGCAAAAAUAAUAAUAUUUCUAAACGCAGGAUCAAAGACUCAAACACCAGACCAUAAUGUAUACAGAUUCUUUAUCAUCAAACCAACAGGUUCAUUCUUGAGAUGUCAAUGCAUGAAAUUUAACUUAUGUGACACAUGUAAGUCAAAAGUUCAAUUAUAAUACGCAAAACUUCAAAAAAAAAAAUGUGACUUGAACCUCCAAUCUCAAACACAUAAACAAAGUACUUAAACACAGAUACAGAGACUUAAUUAUUGAUACUACCUAAUAGGAAAACCCACAUUUUUAGGGCGUUACACUGGGGCCCUACCAACCCCCUCUAGAUACGCCACUGGAUAAGAAGAUAUCGAUCCCACAAGUACCAAAUUCUAAGAUGUUAAGUAACAAAUAUUUAGUUUUAUCUAAUUCAAAUUAAUAAAAUAAAAUUUGAUUAGUAGAAAAAUUAAACUAAACAAAUUAUGGACUUGAAACUCUAACUUCUCCUAAUCUAGAUUCAAUCUAUGUAAGUCCUAACCCAUAAUUCAAUGAUAUUAAUUAGACUCUUCCUGUAUCUAGUUAAGUUAAUCUCCUUUCCCAUUAACUGUAUUCCCAUACUAGGCAAGUUAAGUGAAAUCACUAAGAACAAACUUAUUAGAUUGAUUAGGGAAUCAUGUAUAUUUAUAUCUUAAUCACAGAUUAACUCAAUUAAUCUUGAUUUAAUUAGCCUAAAUCUUAACCUUAAUUUUCUCUUCCAUGACAAAUCAAGAUUAUUGAAUUAAUGUAACUUGGUGAUUAGACAAGUAGAUUAAAUAAGCAUAGGACUGAAUAAAUAAUUAAUAAGGAUCGAGCAAUUAAAGAGAAAAUUUAAUUAAUUAACUAAGAAAUAAGAUUCAUUAUCUUUCUAAAAAAAAUUAAAGUUUAAUUCAUAAUAAGUUGAAAAAACAACACAAAAAAUUUAGAACAAACUUGCAUCAAUAAAUUCAGAUAAUUUAUAAAAUGCAUAUAUCAAAUCCAUUGCCAUUUCCUUAAUUCAAUUAGAGAAUAUCAAGAUUUAUUACAUUGUUUGUAAAUUAAAUCAGUAAUAUAAAGUUGAGACUUACCUAAAUCAAAUCGAAAUUCAAUGAUAAAUUAAAUUAAAGAUAAAAGAUUAAACAUAUAAAGUAUGGAACCACCUAAUCAUAAAUUUUGGAAAUAAAGGUGAUCUUAAAAAAUUAUUCCUAAAAAAAAUUCAAUUCCUGCACAUGAAACAUGACUUGACUGGAUUCAACUUUAUUUCCUUUUCAUUAUUUAUUAUAUUUAAUAUUAAUAAAAAUUAAAUAUUUUUUUUUUCUUUUUUACUUUUGGCCUUUUUCUUUUCUCUCUUGCAUGUGGUGACCAGUUUAAUGGGUUAAAAGUUAUCUAAAAAUUUUAUUACAAUUUUCUCAAAAAUCCAAUGCCACACGAUGAAUCUUUUUGUAGACGCCACUUGUGAUUGUCUUUUUGGUUUUAGUUUUUAAAAUUAAAAGUAAUAGAUAUUUUAGAUGCCAAUGAUGAUGAGGUGAGAUAUUACUUAUGACAAUAUAGCAUAUUUGAUGAUUAAUUAUUUAUUUUAAUUACGAUCAAGAAAAAAAUAUUUUAAGUGUUAAAUUGAAAAAAAAUUAAAAGUUAAAAUUAUAUUUAAAUUUUAAUUGAAUAUUAAUUUUGAUUUAAUGCAGUUAUAAAUAUGAAUUUUGAUUUAAUUUUGAUACAUGUGUUAAUUUUCAUUGAAUAAUCCAUUUGAUAGCAAAAAUAAAAAGUUGCCUUAAAAUAUUUUCCAAAUUUGCAGCUGUUUGAAAGCAAUGGAAAUAGGGCUGUCAUCCCGUAAGACAACUUACCCCAAAUUCUUUUGGUAAGUCAUGUUACGGUACCUAAACCCCAAAUGUUUAUUCCCACAACAAUUGCUCUCUCCUAUUCAAACAAUUCUAUGAAUGGAAUUUGGGAAUAAUUGUAUCCAGAAAAUGAACAAAUUACAUGGACAAAGAUGAUGAAUUUUAGAAUACAUGUUACUCUUUGUGUUAUUUUGUUUGCAUAUGAAUUUAGAGCAACAUGUGUCCUUUUUUUUCUCAAUCCCUGUGUUACUGAAUUCAUUUGUUUUUUAGACGUCAUUCAUUUUCUUUUCAUUAUACCUCUUGGGGUCGGUCUUCUUUGACUCUUGUUCAAAGUUCCAACAUUGAGUUCUACUUGUUGAAUGUUGCAAAAAAAAUUUUUAACUUUUGAUUAAUUAUACUCAUUCAUUUAUAGUUAUUGGAACACUAUAAAUAUUUAGAAAUGUUCUAACAAUCUCCCCCCAUUUUCAAAAUAUUUUAGAUUUUGAUAUUCUUAAAAAUCAAUUUGCAUAAAUGAAUGUGUCUUACGAUUGAAUCUUCACUUAGUGAAAACAUGUUAAAGUUAAUCGAAAUUGCAUAGUAGACUAAACUUUGAACCAGCUAUUCCAUGUCUCACACAAUGAUUUCAACAUCAGUCAAUGCAUAGUAUCUAGGGACACAUUAUGGCUAUGUGUUUGUGUCCUCUUUUCAUAACUGCUGUCAGAGUCAAGCCCUUGAACUCCUAGAAAUGGCCAUACUUCCACUCACAUAGGUAGAUUCCAUCAAGAGUGUUCUCGUAAUUAUAACACUAUAACAUAUUUAUGUUAUGGGUCCAUUAAGAGUACAUUACUCACCCUUCCCUUAUCAUUACGAGUACCUAGCACUUUUAUCUUAGGAUGAAUUUAUUUAUAGUGUUAACAGUCACAUUGUAACACCCCAAAUCUGGUCUAGACGUUAUAGUUGAAUCUGGAAAUGUUACAAAGGAGAAUUGUAAAGUCACCCUUGUUGUAAUGAAAAUAUCGUAUAAUUUGUUAUUAAAAGAAUCCACUUUUUAGGAAAACAUUUUAUUAUACACAUCAUGAAACCAUCAAUUGUUUGCCCUUUUAAGUAAAACUAUAAUUUACAACAGAAAAUGAUGUUCGUUAAGUUAUAAAAACUGAGUUGGUGUUCUCAAAAACAUUUGUUUUCGUAAAUUGUUUUAAUAAGCGUCGCAGGAAACUUAAACAAAAAAUCAACGACCAACAACCAAACCAAAAAUUCUAAAGAGUCCCAUAUUUACAAAACUCUCAAAAAUAAUUCAGGAAUUUAAAUAAAUUUUUAAAUAAAUGAUAACACUAUAGAAUAACGUAUUUUUAUGUAUUAAUUAUGUAUUUAUUCUGAGUAUGAUCCUGCUAAUUUGAGUUAUUUAUGAUCUUUUAUUUCAUGGGGACUAAAUUUGAGGCAAAAGCAAAAUUAAGGGCCAAAAGCGUGAAUUUAAAGAUAAAAUGGGCCAAUGUGCAACACAAGGAAAAGUUGGUGCUAAAAGUGCAAGCAUAAAGGACACAAGGGUUGAAAUGUAAAAAGAAGAGAUUUUAUUCUAUCAGGCUCUAUUUUAAUUAUAUUAGGAUAAUUAAUAUUAAGAUAAUUAUUAAGGAUUAUUUAAUUUAGGAUUUUAUUUAAUUUAUAUUUAUUUAUCUUCAAUUAAAUGUAUUUAUCUUUUGAGAGUUAAGUAGGAUUAGACUAUCUCCCCUAGCACUAUGAAUAGGGGGUGAAGUGACUCAAAAGAGAUCCAUCUUUUUCUGUAAACACUCUCUCCCCAAAAGUCUAGGCUUUUGUUCUUCUCAUAUUUCCUUUCAAUUAAAUCUCCAUUUUUAUUAUAUAUUUUUUUUCCACCACAACCAUGAGCCACUAAACCCAUCUAGCCAAAAGUUGUCGAUAUUCCCCAAAAAGGGUUCUUGAGGCUUAGAGUCUGUACUUAGCCUCCUUGCUGAGUAUUAAUCGUUUCUCCGUACUACGGGGUUGAUGCUUCCAUCCAUAUCCCUUAAGAAGUAAACUUUUCAACAUAUGCAAAGGCGGUCUCUUUGUAUGUUUUGGGAAGGUUGCACAGUCAGUUCAUUAGUUUAUUGCAUCUGAGGUUGGCAAGCCCAAGAGACAAAAUGCUGUGAGAUUCGCCAUUGAGAAACAUUGAUCUAGCAUAAGAUGAUCCCACAGAAACGAUUGUUGGCUGAAGUCAGGUUCCACUAAAUCAUAAGUCUAAAUCCUUGGAGCUGGUGGUCGUAGGCAUCCUCUUCCAUUAUAACUGGCUUAUUUGGUUUGGAAAGGAUCAUCUAAAAGCCAAGGAUUGAACCCAAGGCGGAACGAGACAAUUGGAGGUUGGAACCUCCCAUAAGAAUUUCCUUUCUCUCAACUCUAUUUUUAAUUUCUCAAAUUUUUUAUUUAAUAUUCUUAAUUUUGUUUUUAUUUUAUUUUUCGUUUCUACAUCCAAACCUUUAAUUCUGUUAUUUUUUUAUUUUUUUCCAGGAACGCAGGUUUUCUUGGGAAAGAUUCUACUUGUGAUUUCACGGAACAAGAUAUUGUACAAAUCUAGUCCCUGAGGAUUUGACCCUACUUCCCUUUUACUAUUAUUUUUCAUUAUUUAUUAGGGAUAGGAUAUUUUUUGUGCUUUCAACGACCGCAUCAAAUCUUGGCGCCGUUACCGGGAACUGACAACGUACUAAUCUUAUUUUUCUCUUAUGACCAGAUCUGCUCCAGGUACUCUUGUGUUCGAUUCAAAAAUUGAGAAGGCUGCUAGAGCCAAUCGCAAUGAGACAAAGUUAUAAAAAAAAGCAGUAAGCUGUGGUUAGAACUCAAAGUAACCAACUGACAGAAAUCAAAGCCGACAACGAAGCUGAGUCUAGGGUUAACAAAAACCCUACUCAAACACUUGAAAGUGAAAAAGUAGAAGUCAACUCACCAGAAGAAGUGCUUAACGCUAAGAUUAAUGAAAACUCGAAUCUAGCACACCAACCAAUGGCUCAAACGAUUCGGCAACUAGCCGAAGCUCCGACAGAACAACCGCCAUUGUGCAUCACGUAUCCUACUGUGGAUACUAAUUUUGAGUUGAAGUUAGGUUUAAUCCAGUUACUGCCAACUUUUCCUGGGUUGCAAAAUGAAAAUCCCCACAAGCAUCUGAAAGAGUUUCAUAUGUUUUGUCUUAGCAUGGAACCUCAAGGGGUAACUGAGGAUCAGAUUAAAUUGCGUGCUUUCCCUUUCUCCCUAGUAGAUUUCGCUAAGAAAUGAUUAUUUUAUUUACCCCUAGAUCUAUUGAUAACACUCUAGAAUAACAUAUUUUUAUGUAUUAAUUAUGUAUUUAUUCUGAGUAUGAUCCUGCUAAUUUGAGCUAUUUAUGAUCUUUUAUCUCAUAGGGACUAAAUUUGAGGCAAAAGUGAAAUUAAGGGCCAAAAGCGUGAAUUUAGAGAUAAAAUGGGCCAAUGUGCGACACAAGGAAAAAUUUGUGCCAAAAGUGCAAGCAUGGAGGACACAAGGGUUGAAAUGCAAAAAGAAGAGAUUUUAUUUUAUUAAACUCUAUUUUAAUUAUAUUAGGAUAAUUAAUAUUGAGAUAAUUAUUAAGGAUUAUUUUUAGGAUUUUAUUUUAUCUUUAUUUAUCUUCAAUUAAAUGUAUUUAUCUUUUAGGAAUUUAAGUAGAAUUAGAAUAUCUCCCCUAGCACUAUAAAUAGGGGGUGAAGUGACUCAAAAGGGUAUCAUCUUUUUCUUUUUCUGUAAACACUCUCUCCCCAAAAGUCUAGGCUUUUGUUCUUUUCAUAUUUCUUUUCAAUAAAAUCUUUAUUUUUAUUUUAUUUAUUUUCUUUUCUACCACAACCAUGAGCCACUAAACCCAUCUAGCCGAAGGUUUUCAAAAAUCCCCAAAAAGGUUCUUGAGGCUUAGAAUUCGUACUUAGCCUUCUUGCUGAGUAUUCAUCGUUUCUCCGCACUACGGGGCUAACGCUUCCGUCCAAGUCCCUUAAGAAGUAAGUUUUUCAACAUAUGCAAAGGCGGCCGCUUUGUAUGUUUUGAGAAGGUUGCACAGUCGGUUCGUUAGCUUACUGCGUCAGAGGUUGGCGAGCCCAAGAGACAAAAUGGCGUGGGAUUCGCCAUUGAGAAGCGUUGAUCUAGCAUAAGGCGAUCUCACAGAAGCGAUUGUUAGCUAGAGUCAGGUUCCAUCAAAUCGUAAGUCUAAAUCAUUGGAGCUGGUGGUCGUAGGCGUCCUCUUCCACUAUAACUGGCUUAUUUGGUUUGGGAAGGAUCAUCUAAAAGCCGAGGAUUGAACCCAAGGCGGAACGAGACAACUGGAGGCUGGAAUCUCCCAUAAGAAUUUUCUUUCUCUUAACUUUAUUUUAAUUUCUCGAAUUUUCAAUUCAAUAUUCUUAAUUCUGUUUUUAUUUUAUUUUUCGUUUCUAGAUCCAACAAUUUAAUUCUGCUAUUGUUUUUAUUUUUUUUCAGGAACGCAGGUUGUCUUGGGCAAGACUCUGCUUGGGAUAUCACGGAACAAGAUAUUUUGCAAGUCCAGUCCCUGAGGAUUUGACCCUACUUCCCUUUUACUAUUCUUUUCAUUAUUUAUUAGGGAUAGGAUAUUUUUGGUGCUUUCAACGACCGCAUCAAAUUUUGGUGCCGUUGCCGGGGACUGGCAACGUACUAAUCUUGUUUUUUGUUUCUUAUGACCAGAUCUGCUCCAGGUACUCUUGCGUUCGAUUUAGAAAUUCAGAAGACUGCUAGAGCCAAUCGCAAGGAGACAAAGUUACGAAAAAAGCAGUCAGCGGUGGUUGGAACUCAAAGUAAUCCACUGCCAGAAAUUGAAGUCGACGACGAAGCUGAGUCUAGGGUUAACGAAAAUCCUACUCGAACACUUGAAAGCGAAAAAGUAGAAGUCGACUCACCAGAAGAAGUGCUUAAUGCUAGGGUUAACGAAAACCCAAAUUUAGCACACGAACCAAUGGCUCAAACAAUUCGGCAACUGGCUGAAGCUCCAACAGAACAACCGCCAUUAUGCAUCGCGUAUCCUACUAUGGAUACUGAUUUUGAAUUGAAGUCAGGUUUAAUCCAGUUAUUGCCAACUUUUCGUGGGUUACAAAAUGAAAAUCCCCACAAGCAUCUGAAAGAAUUUCAUAUGGUUUGUCUUAGCAUGAAACCUCAGGGGGUAACUGAGGAUCAGAUUAAAUUGCGUGCUUUCCCUUUCUCCCUAGCAGAUUCCGCUAAGGAAUAGUUAUUUUAUUUACCCCCUGGAUCUAUUACAACUUGGGCUGAUCUAUCUCGUUUGUUUCUGAACAGGUUUUUUCCAGCGUCUCGAGCAGCUGAGCUAAGAAGAGAGAUCAUUGGAAUAAGGCAAAAAGAAGCUGAGUCCCUUUACGAUUAUUGGGAGCGAUUUAAGAAGUUGUGUGCAAGCUGCCCACAACAUGGUAUAACAGAGCAAUCUCUCCUCCAAUACUUUUACGAUGGUUUGAAGCCCAUGGAGAUGAAUAUGGUAGACGCUGCUAGUGGAGGAGCAUUGGUCAACAUGACUCCCCAACAAGCGAGAGACUUGAUCUCCACGAUGGCUGCAAAUUCUCAGCAGUUCCGAGCCAAUACUGAACCCCCUAGAAGGGUUCAUCAGCUAAGUAAUUCAACCUUAGAGGAUAAAGUUGAUAGACUUACUAAUAUGAUGAAUUCUCUUAUUGUAGAAAAAGCGAAGACAGCUCGAUUAUGCGGAAUAUGUGCUACACCUGAUCACACAACUGAUGCAUGUCCCAGUUUGUAUGAUGAUGCCACGGCCCAUCUGGAUGCUGUUGGAAAUUUCCCUGGGCCACCACAAAGGCAGUACGACCCCUACGCUAAUACCUACAACCCAGGAUGGAGGGACCACCCUAACUUAAGUUAUGGGGCAAAUCCACGAAAUAACCAGCCAUACCAAAAUCGAUUUUCACAACAGCUGCAAGGUUCAGGUAAUUUUCUAGAAACCAUGGUCAAUAAGUUAGCAGCUAAUGUUCUUGAUUUUCAGCAGCAAAAUCUUAAUUUCCAAAAAGAGAUGAAGGAUUUCCAACAGAAAACUGAGGCGUCCAUCAGAGAGUUGACCACAUCGAUCGAGAAAUUAACCUCUCAAGGGAAGCUGUCGUCAUAAAUAGAACCAAACCCUAGACAAAAUGCAAAUGCAGUGACGUUGAGAAGUGGAAAGGUACUGGAAUCGAUUCCUGACAGGAAUCUUGCCCAAGAAAUUACCUAGGAAAAAACUAAAAAAGACGAACAGGUCCGACCGAAGCCUCUAUUGCCUAAAAUUCAACCUCCAUUUCCAGAACGAUUCAACCAGUGUCGAAGAGGUAAAGAGGACAAAGAAAUCCUCGAAACAUUUAGGAAUGCCGAGAUCAAUAUUCCGCUGUUAGAUGCCAUCAAACAAAUACCACGGUAUGCUAAAUUUCUUAAAGAGCUUUGCACCAACAAGCGAAAAUUGACAGGUAAUGAAAUGGUGAAUGUUGGUGAGAAUGUAUCUGCAGUGUUACAGCGAAAAAUGUCGGGAAAAUGCAAGGAUAGGGGCAUGUUUACAAUACCAUGCAAAAUAGGCCAUCUGGGAAUUAAAAAGGCUAUGUGUGAUCUAGGGGCUUCUAUAAAUGUAAUGCCAUAUUCUGUUUAUGAAUCACUUAACGCAGGUUUUUUGACAAAAACAGGUGUUAUCAUUCAAUUGGCGGACAGGUCUGUUGUGCAUCCAGAAGGAGUCCUUGAGGAUGUUCUGGUAAAAGUUAACGAGUUUAUUUUCCCUGUAGAUUUUUAUGUGAUCAAAAUGGAUGAGGAUAGCACUCUUGGAUCUUCAGAUCUCCUGCUGGGUCGACCGUUCCUUAGUACAGCAAAUACUAAAAUUGAUGUUCGAAGUGGAACUCUCACGAUGGAGUUUGAUGGGGAGAUCGUAAAGUUUAAUGUCUACAACGCCAUUAGCCAUCCAAGCGAAAUAUUGAGCGUAAAUCGUAUCGACAUAAUUGACUCUUUGGUGGAAGAAAAUUUUGAGCCAAUUUAUGGAGAUAAUUCUGAACUUAAUGAAAUUAAAUUUGUUAAUGAGUUAUUAUCUCCAAAUACUAAAUUGUUACCUUUUGUUAUACAGGCACCAGAGUUGGAGUUAGAACCCAUAGAACAGGCAAGGAAAUUAGACAUCCAAGAGUUAGAAGAAAUUCGCAAUGAUGCCUACGAGAAUGAUCACAUUUAUAAAGACAAAACAGAGUUGUUUCACGAUAAUAGAAUAGCUCAGAAGCGUUUUUCGGUAGGAAAAAAAGUUUUACUUCAUAACUCUGUGCUAAAGUUAUUCCCAGGUAAGCUUCGAUCACGAUGGCAGAGACCUUUUAUUGUUACUGAAGUGUUCACACAUGGAGCAGUUGAAAUAGAGAGUGAAGAAUCUGGAAAGCGGUUCGUAGUCAAUGGCCAGCGGUUGAAGCCAUUUUAUGAGAAUUUUCAAGCCCACACGGUUAAGAAAAUCCAUUUGGAACCACCAUAGAACCAAUAACGGCGUCGAGCUAACGACGUUAAACAAGCGCUUGUUGGGAGGCAACCCAAUUUUUAUUUUUUUUAUUAUAUUUUUUCUUUAUUUUCUUUAUUACUUUAUUUUAUUUUACUUAUUUGGAUAUUAAUAAAUUUUUUCUUCUUUUGCUUAGAUAAAACAAAGCAAAAAAAAGAAGCAAACCGUUAAGCAACACUUAAAGCGCAUUGAGGCCUGACUUGAAACCUUUGGCCAGCAACUGACCAAGCUCAUUGCCAUCAUUUGUGAUCAUACGGGGAGUUUUUCUAAACUUUUCUACCUAUUUAUUUCUUUUCGUCCACAUUGAGGACAAUGUGCUUUCAGUAGGGGGAGGUACUCUUCGUUAUUACUAUCAUUUUCUGCUGUGAUUUUGGUUACUGUUGCUGUUGCUGUGAUUAUUUUUGGCUGGUGUUGCUGCUUGAGGCUUGAUUUUGUCCAUCUCCUGCCUCUUUUCAUGCCCAAGAUUUUUACCAAGAAUUGCCUACUGUUUGACCUACAAGCAUGAUUCUUGUUUUCUGAGAAAAUUACGAAUUUUUCAUAAUUGAUGCCAUCUCCACUGUUUUAUUUUUAUUAGAGUAAAAAUAAUUGUGAUUCAUAAAUUUAACUUUAUCUUGCUUUUCGUAAAAAAAUUUAUUAUUAAUGUCAUUUAAUGUUCCGUGGUUAUGAGUGCAACUUAAAAACGUGACUGACUGAGUAACCGGGGUAGGGUGCUUGGGUUGUCAUUCUAUUUCGCGUCAAAAGGUUGUGUGACGUGUUAGGUAAAACUCCGCUAACCGGAAUUAAUUUUUAAGAACAUGUUGGGCUGAGUAACCGGGGUGGGGUGCUUGGCUGUCAUCUCUCUUCGCGUCAAAAGGUUUGAUGUGUUCUUAAGAAAAUUAUAAUAAAUUAGGAGUUUGCUGGGCUGAGUAACCGGGGUGGGGUGCUUGGCUGUCAUCUCUCUUCGCGUCAAAAGGUUCAGUAUAUUCCUAAAGCAUAAAAAAAACAAAAACAAAAAAACAAAAAAAAAAAGAAAAAAAUAAUUUGGGGACUAAAAGAGGAAACAAAUAGGGUGUCUUGGUAGGUUUGGUAAAUUACCUAAUUUUCAUUAAAUAAUUCAAGUUGAUUCUAAUUUUUGUGUGUAUUAAUUGAAAAACUUUUUUUGUUUUACUUAAAGCAAGCUUAGGGUUCUCUUUAUUUUUCAUAUGCAUUUUUGACUGAUUUUUAUAAAACUUUGGAGUUGUAUUUCUUUUAUGGCAGAAUCUAACUUUCACAGUAGAUAGGAACCAUACUUGAGGGCAAUCAUGGGCUAAGUAGGGGGGAUUUGAUAACACUCUAGAAUAACGUAUUUUUAUGUAUUAAUUAUGUAUUUAUUCUGAGUAUGAUCCUGCUAAUUUGAGCUAUUUAUGAUCUUUUAUCUCAUAGGGACUAAAUUUGAGGCAAAAGUGAAAUUAAGGGCCAAAAGCGUGAAUUUAGAGAUAAAAUGGGCCAAUGUGCGACACAAGGAAAAAUUUGUGCCAAAAGUGCAAGCAUGGAGGACACAAGGGUUGAAAUGCAAAAAGAAGAGAUUUUAUUUUAUUAAACUCUAUUUUAAUUAUAUUAGGAUAAUUAAUAUUGAGAUAAUUAUUAAGGAUUAACUUUAGGAUUUUAUUUUAUCUUUAUUUAUCUUCAAUUAAAUGUAUUUAUCUUUUAGGAAUUUAAGUAGAAUUAGAAUAUCUCCCCUAGCACUAUAAAUAGGGGGUGAAGUGACUCAAAAGGGAUCAUCUUUUUCUUUUUCUGUAAACACUCUCUCCCCAAAAGUCUAGGCUUUUGUUCUUUUCAUAUUUCUUUUCAAUAAAAUCUUUAUUUUUAUUUUAUUUAUUUUCUUUUCUACCAUAACCAUGAGCCACUAAACCCAUCUAGCCGAAGGUUGUCAAAAAUCCCCAAAAAGGUUCUUGAGGCUUAGAAUUCGUACUUAGCCUUCUUGCUGAGUAUUCAUCAUUUCUCCGCACUACGGGGCUGACGCUUCCGUCCAAGUCCCUUAAGAAGUAAGUUUUUCAACAUAUGCAAAGGCGGCCGCUUUGUAUGUUUUGAGAAGGUUGCACAGUCGGUUCGUUAGCUUACUGCGUCAGAGGUUGGCGAGCCCAAGAGACAAAAUGGCGUGGGAUUCGCCAUUGAGAAGCGUUGAUCUAGCAUAAGGCGAUCUCACAGAAGCGAUUGUUAGCUAGAGUCAGGUUCCAUCAAAUCGUAAGUCUAAAUCAUUGGAGCUGGUGGUCGUAGGCGUCCUCUUCCACUAUAACUGGCUUAUUUGGUUUGGGAAGGAUCAUCUAAAAGCCGAGGAUUGAACCCAAGGCGGAACGAGACAACUGGAGGCUGGAAUCUCCCAUAAGAAUUUUCUUUCUCUUAACUUUAUUUUAAUUUCUCGAAUUUUCAAUUCAAUAUUCUUAAUUCUGUUUUUAUUUUAUUUUUUGUUUCUAUAUCCAACAAUUUAAUUCUGCUAUUGUUUUUAUUUUUUUCAGGAACGCAGGUUGUCUUGGGCAAGACUCUGCCUGGGAUAUCACGGAACAAGAUAUUUUGCAAGUCCAGUCCCUGAGGAUUUGACCCUACUUCCCUUUUACUAUUCUUUUCAUUAUUUAUUAGGGAUAGGAUAUUUUUGGUGCUUUCAACGACCGCAUCAUCUAUUACAACUUGGGUUGAUCUAUCUUAUUUGUUUCUAAAUAGAUUUUUUUAAAUGUCUCAAGCAGCUGAGCUAAGAAGAGAGAUCGUUGGAAUAAGGCAAAAAGAAGCUGAGUCCCUUUACGAUUAUCGAGAGCAGUUUAAGAAGUUGUGUGCAAGUUGCCCACAACAUGGUAUAACAAAACAAUCUCUCCUCCAAUACUUUUACGAAGGUUUGAAGCCCAUCAAGAUGAAUAUGGUAGACGCCGCUAGUGGAGGAGCAUUGGUCAACAUGACUCCCCAACAAGCGAGAGACUUGAUCUUCACGAUGGCUGCAAAUUCUCAACAGAUUCGAGCCAAUACUAAACCUUCUAGAAGGGUUCACCAGCUAAGUAUUCAACCUUAGAGGAUAAAGUUGAUAGACUUACUAAUAUGAUGAACUCUCUUAUUGCAGAAAAAGCAAAGAUAACCCAGUUAUACGGAAUAUGUGUUACACCUGAUCAUGCAACUAAUAGAAGUCCCAGUUUGUAUAAUAAUACCAUGGCCCAUCUGGAUGCUAUGGGAAAUUUCCCUGGGCCGCCACAAAGGCGAUACGACCCCUACGCUAAUACCUACAACCCAGGGUGGAGGGACCAUCUUAACUUAAGUUAUGGGGAAAAUCCAUAAAAUAACCAACCAUACCAAAAUCAGUUUCCGCAACAGUCGCAAGGUUUAGGUAAUUUUCUAGAAACCAUGGUCAAUAAGUUAGAAGCUAAUGUUCUUAAUUUUCAACAGCAAACUCUUAAUUUCCAAAAAGAGACGAAGGAUUGCCAAUAAAAAACUGAGGCGUCCAUUAGAGAGUUGAUCACAUCAAUCGAGAAAUUGACCUCUCAAGGGAAGCUGCCAUCACAAACAGAACCAAACCCUAGACAAAAUGCAAAUGUAGUGACGUUGAGAAGUGGAAAGGUAUUGGAACUGAUUCCUAAUAGGAAUCUUGGCCAAGAAACUGCCCAGGAAAAAUCUGAGAAAGACAAACAGGUCCGACCGAAGCCUCCAUUGCAUAAAAUUCAACCUCUAUUUUCAGAACGAUUCAACCAGUGUCGAAGAGGUAAAGAGGACAAGGAAAUCCUCAAAACAUUUAGGAAUUCUAGAUCAACAUUCCGCUGUUAGACGCUAUCAAAUAAAUAUCGCAGUAUGCUAAAUUUCUUAAAGAGCUUUGCACCAACAAACUAAAAUUAACAGGUAAUGAAAGGGUGAAUGAUGGUGAGAAUGUAUCCUCAGUGUUACAGCGAAAAAUGUCGGCAAAAUGUAAGGAUAGGGGCAUGUUUGCAAUACCAUGCAAAAUAGGCCAUCUGGGAAUUAAGAAGGCUAUGUGUGAUCUAGGAUGUAAUGUCGUAUUUAAUGUAAUUUGGUCUUUAUAUUUUAGUUUUUAACGUAAUUUAGUCUUUAUAUUUUUAUAAUGUUAUCAAUUAGUUUAAAUAGUUAAUAUGGUUAACUUUUCUAUUAAAAUAUUACGUGGUUAUAUAUAAUUUGAAAGCAAUUUUUAAAUCCAAAAAGUAGGGGAUUAAAUUCUUAAAAAAUAAAAGUAGGAGGACUAAAUUUGAAAUGUAUGAAGUGUAUAUAGACAUAAAGCCAUGGUUGUUUGAACCAAGAAUUGACCGAGGUACUAGUCCAAAGAGAGGCAUUAGACCACUUGACUUGUGAAUCGAUACAAACAAAUUGAACCAGGUUAAAAAACUGAUUAUUAUUAUUAUUUUUAAUUUUUAUGAUUUUUAAUGAUUUAUUUAAUCAAACAAUACAAACUAAUAUCUGGUCAAUUCGAACCAAUUUUGAAAAUCUUACUUAGAAUAACUUUUACUCUUUAAAUUUUUAUUUUAUAAUUUAACACAAAUAAAAAUAACUAAAAGUGAACCAUGAGUAGAUGUAAGCAUGGGUCGUGCCGGGUUUAACUAAAAUUUUAGGCCCGUUUGCUAGGCCCAAAAAAUGGGCCUAAAAUUUUGCCCAAGCCUUACCCGGAUAAAAAUAUUAAACUUGGGCCCGACUCGGCCCGUCUCGCCCUAUUAAUUUUUAUAUUAAUUUUAUAUAAUUUUAAAAAGAUAUAAUACAUCAAAAAUGCUUAAAACAUCAAAAUAAAUAUUUUCCAACAAAUUGAAAACAAGUUUUAAAAAAUAUAUAUACUUAAAUAACACUAAUAUAAAUGCAACUUAACAAGCAAAUGUUUCUAAAAUAAUAACAAAAUUAACAAAUGUCUUUAAAAUAAUAACAAAAUUAACAAUAAAAUAAGUUUUAUACAAUAUCUAAACAAUAACAACAAAAUAGUAGCAACAUAAUAGUAAAAUGAUAGUAAAAUAGGGAGAAAAAAACAAGAAAAUAAUAUUAAAAAAAAGUAGAUUUUUUUUGUCCUUUAGUGGAUUCGGGUCGGGCUCGAAGCCAAAAAUACCUUACUCGAGGCCCGGCUUAUUUUUUUAAUGGGCCUUAUUUUUUAUCCAAACUCAUUUUUUGAGCCUAUAUUUUUAUCCAAACCCCCAUACAUUUCAACCGACCCGGCCCAUGAUCAGGUCUAACCAUGAGUGAACCAUACUAGCGUUAAAGAAAUAGGAGAUCCACAGUGGUACACGAGUUGCACAAAGGAAGGAACUACCAACUAGGGGUGGGCAUUCGAUUGAAUCAAAUCGAAUCGAAUCGAAAAUUUUCGAGUUAAUUGAGUUUUCGAAUCUCAUUUUAUCAUCCUAACUUUAUUUGAAGUUUUAUCGAAUCGAAUUGAGUGAGAUGAAAUUCGAAUCGAAUUGAAUCGAAUAUAUUUGUUCGAGUUAAAUUUUAAAAAAUAAAUUUAGUGUUGUUUAUUUUUAUGUAAUUUUUCAAAAAAUAAUUUUCUUUAAAGUUUUUAAACAUGAUCAUACAACAAAAAAUUGAAGUAAAUAAGUGAAUAAAUAAAAGCAACACAACAUCAACCCAAAUAAACAACAUGAUUCCAAAUAAACAACAAAAAUAAUACAACAAGAUUAUAAUAAAAAAACAUAAGUAAAAGUCCAAGUAAAUAGCAUGAGUCGAAAUAAACAAUUUAGGGUUUUUUGAGAAAAAUAAAUUUUAGGGUUUGAACUUUGAAUGGAAUGGAAACAGAGAGAAGAAGAAAAUAAAUGGGGGUUUUCAUGAUGGAAUUUGCUGGGGGUGAUCUGGGGGGAGAAAUUGGGAUUUGGGAAAUUAAAUCUUUAGGGCAUGGGCAAACGGGCUUGGGGAAGUAGGAAAAAAUAAAAUGUUUGGGGUUGGGAGAAAUUGGCAAUUAGGUUAAAUACUUGAAAGUAAUUAAGUAAAAGCCUAUUAAAACAUGGCUGUGUGUAAGCCUGUGUAGCUCCUAUGCCUUGCUUCAGUUUUCUGGUUUUCACUUUUUUUUCACUCCUUUUGCUCCUAAAUGCUCUUCUAAGUAUAAAAACUUGAAUUUAAAGGAUUAGGAGUAUAAAAUUCACUAUUAACAUCGAAUAAUCACCUAAAAAUGCAUUAAGAAUGAGAUUAAAACAUGUUACUUUUAGCAUUUAUUAGAAUUAUAAUGAUAUUUAUGAAAUUUUUAGUGUAGUAUUAGUUAUACUUUUUUUCAUAUUGGAAAGAAAUAUUUAAUUUUAUAUAGUGUGAUUUUUUUCUUUUAAUUUUUUUAUAGUUAAAUUGUUCAUUUUUAAAAAAAAUUAAAUUGAUUUGUUUGAUAAGAAAAAAAAUAUCCAAGAAGAAUUAACACUUUUUUACGUUAAAAGAAAGGCUGUUCGGAUUUAGAAAUUUCAUGCCCUUAGAGUAAAAUCCUAGAUCCGUCUCUGCUUCGAUAAAUCAUUCUAUCAUUGGAAUAUGGGAAUAAUUGUAUCUACAAAAUGAACAAAUUACAUGGACAAAGAUAAUAAAUUUUAGAAUACAUGUUCUUUGUAUUGUUUUGUUUGCAUAUGAAUUUAGAACAAUAAUCCAUGUAAAGCUUCAAACUUGAGUUUGUUAUUGAAUCAUUUGUUGUUUCGACCUUAUUCAUUUUCUUUUCAUUAUAUCUCUUGGGAUUGGUCUUCUUUUUGACUCUUGUUCAAAGUUCCAACAUAUCUCAUAAAGGAACGUGAGAUUGAGCUAUACUUGAUACAGGGGAAUUGUAGAGUAGCUAUACUUGAUACAGGGGAAUUGUAGAGUCGUUGCUUGCCAAUUUUAGAUUCCACAUUAAAAAUUCUUUUGGUCUUUGUUGAUAAGAAUUACCUACCCCUAUUGAAUUGGAAUUUUAAUGUGAACCAUUGUUUUAAUUUUUUCUUCCUCAUAUGACAUUCAAGUCUAUUUUGAAGUUCAUUGUUUUGCCUCUUAAUCCUUGUGUUCAAGUAAAUUUGUGUUAUUUACAAAUUUGUAGACAAAUUCAUGGUCGUUGCAUACAAUGACUUGUGUUAUUUAUGUUAUAUAUGCUUAUAGAUUUGUGUUAUUUGCAGAUUUGUAUGUGUUCAACAAAUUACCUUGACAUGUGUGCAUCAAGAGUGGUUGAUUUUGUUAGCUCGUUCAAACAAUCGAAAUAUUCAAGAGGAGGUGAAUUGGGCUUUAAAAACUCAUGAAAGCAAAAGAAUAAAGUAUGAAACAUUGAACACAAUAAUUUAGAGUAGUUCAACCCAAUUACCUACUCCACUACCUUGGCUUUCCACAAUUAAGGAUUUUCCAAAAUUUAUUAAUUUGAUGAACCUUUGAGGACAAGGUCUAUCUUUACAACUCACUUAAUAUUUCUACCCAAAUCUUUGUUAGUACAAAUCUCCUAUGAGGAAAAUCUCGAACACACGAACGGAACUCGAACAGAAAAAGAAGAAAUAGGAAAAAGCUCCAAGGCGUGUAUCAAGUCACUAUCUUUAAGGUUGUAUUCGCCCCCACGUAUCUUCGGUGUGCAAACAAGUUCCAAGUAAAUUAACCUCUGGGAUACAAUGAAGCCAAUGACUAUUUGCAUUUUGCAUUGACAAAGAAUAGCCCACUACACACUGAGCAAUGUAUGACAAGAAACUCAAUUUCUAUAAAGGAUUUCUGCAGUAAUACUUUAUAGAAUAAUCUAAUAAUAUUAGAAAAUGAAGGAAGGAAAAAAAAGAAUAUUACAAUUUAUUGGUAUAAUUUCCAAAUGAAAUCACAUUCCUAUUUAUAGGAAUUUUCAUGUCUCUUCAUAGAGACAUAUUUCAUCAAUAAGUGUCUUUCUGAAUAAUAAUAUCUUUAAAAACACAUAAUUAUUCAUUUAAUAUUAUAACUAUUCAAAUAAUAUUAUUUAAAUAGUUAUAAUUCUUUUUCAAAAAUCAAAUAAUAUAAUCUUUUGAUUAGUUACACCCAUUCAUUUAUAGUUAUUGGAACACUAUAAAUAUUUGAAAAUGUUCCAAUAAUCUCUCCCCAUUUUCAAAUUAUUUAGAUUUUGAUAUUCUUGGAAAUCAAUUUACAUAAAUGAAGGUAUCUUAUGAUUGAACCUUCUCUUAGUGAAAACACGUUAACGUUAAUCAAAAUUUCUUGUUAGACUAAGCUUUGAACCAACUAUUGCAUUUGAUUAAUCAAACACAUCCCAUACAAUGAUUUCAACAUCAGUCAAUGCAUAGUAUCUAAAGACACUAUUAUGGCCAUGUGUCUAUGUCCUCUUUUCAUAAGUGCUGUCAGAGCCAAGCGAUUGAGCUCCUAGAAGCGACCACACUUCCACUCAAAUAGGUAGAUCCCGUCAAGAAUGUUUAUGUAAUUAGAACACUCUAACAUAUUUAUGUUAUGGGUCCAUUAAGAGUACAUUAGUCAUACUUCCCUUAUCAUUACAGGUAUUUAGCACUUUAAUCUAAGGAUGGAUUUAUUUAUAGUGCUAACUGUCACAUACUAAUGAUGUUCUUUGUCUCAUUGAACUCAAGACUUGACAUUAUACCAAGUAUUGAGUCGAGUUUCCAUCAUGGAUGUCUCUAAUUAAUGGGCUUGAGUCCCAUCCCUUUUAAGGUCCUUUUUACUACAUCUCUAGUAAAACUUUUUGUCAAAGGAUCCGCUAAAUUUUCACUUGACCUUACAUAAUUAAUAGUGACCACUCCAUCAGAGAUUAAUUGUCAGACAUAACUAUGUCUUAAUCCAAUGUGUCUAGACUUUCCAUUAUAUACUUGACUAUAUGCCUUUGCUAAAGUAGCCUCACUAUCACAACGGAUAGAAAUAGGUGAAAUUGGCUUAGGCCAUAAAGGUACAUCAUAAAGCAAAUUUCUUAAUCAUUCUGCUUCUUUAGAUGCAGUAGCUAAUGCAAUAAAUUCUGCUGCCAUGGUGGAAUCAGUAAUACAUGUUUGUUUCUUGGAACCCCAAGAAAUGGCUCUUCCACCAAAAAUGAAGAUCCAUCCACUAGUAGAUAUAUGAUCAGUAAGAAAGUAGGUAUCCUUGAUAUAGUAAAAUGAGGAAAUAAAGUGACAAAAAGGGAAAUUUUGAAUUAUGGUAACAUUGGGAAGUAUAUUAUGACAUAUUAGUUCAAGAAAGGAUUAAAUCGUAAAAGUGAGAAAAGUUUUGUUGUUCAAGGGUAAAUAAUCAAAAAUUGAAGGGUUAAAGUGUAAAUAUGAAAAGUUGAAGGACCAAUGGUAUAAAUAUUUUAAGGGUGGAAUGAUCUAGAAACUAAGGAAAAUGGAUGGAUUAGGACUAAAUUGAAAAAGGUGAAGAAUUUUGAGGGACUAAAUCGUAAUUUUACCAAAUUAAGUGAUGACUCAAGGAUGGAAUUUUAAAAGAUCAUAAAGGGCAAAAUGGUCAAUUAGAAUAUAGAGAAAUCUAGAAGAUAAUGAUGAUGUUGGAGAUAUUUUAGAUUAAAUAAAUAAAUAAAUAUUAGUUUAUUAGUAUUUUAAUUCAAUUUUUAAAUGAUAUUUUAUUAUUUUAUUAUUAUUUUAUUUAGUAUAUAUACAUAUGUGUGGAAAGAAAGAAAAAAAAAAGCCACUAUCCCAUCAUUUUUCCAUGCAUCAACAUGAGAAGAAGAGAGAAAGAAAGGAAGUCUUACUUUCUUUACAAUUUGGUCCUUCCACAAAAAAUUCACCAUUUUCAUCUAGAAAUCAAAAGAAUUUCCAUAUAUCCAUCAAGAGAGAAAGAUAACAAUGAGACUAUGGGGAACUAGAAUAUCAAGUUGGAUUCAAGAAAUAGAAGCUGGAGGAGAGAGAAAAUCAAGUUAAAGAUUGAAAUCAAUAUGACAAGGUAAGAACAUCAAGAUUUUAAUAUAUUUUUAAGUUUGAUAUUAUUGAAAAAAUAUGGAAAUGAUGUUAAUGUAAAGUUUUCGUAUAUAUGGUCCUAUGUUCUUGAUAUGUUAGUGAAGAAAAAUAAGAGAAAGUGAUGAGAAAUAGUGUAGAGAAAGAAAAUAAGGGUGUUAUAAACAUGGUAAUAAACAUUUUGCACUAAAAUAGUUUUGGACAGGAACAGUAGACUCAAUUUGAAAUAUCACUAUAAAUUAUGAAAAUCGAACUAGAGUAUGAAUAAAAUAUGAAAUUAAAUCUUAUUGAGUCUAGUUUCUCAUAAAAGAAAUGGUGUAAGUAAUGGAAUUGUAAAUUAUGAGAUAUAAUAAAUUUUGUCAGACAAGGUCAGAAUGAAUUCGGGUUCCCCUGUUUUGAAUUUCAAAAAUCAUUAAAAAUUGUAAAAAAGUAAUUAUUGGUUAUAAUUUAUAUUUUUAAAAUCCUAAAUGAGUCUAUUUUCAAUAUAAACAAACAGGGACAUCAUCCGAAUUCUGUACAAAGAGAUAAUUAAUUUUUAGUGAAGAAGGGUUGGAACUAUCAGAGAGCAGAAUAGAGGUGAAUUUAAAGAAUAAACUGUACUUAUUGGCUUAACCAAAAAUUCUAAAAAUUUUAUAGUAAGAAGAUAUGUGAGUCUAGUUUCAGGAAAAAUUUUCAUAUCUUAAUUCGGUGUCCCAUAGCUCAAGAUAAAAAUAAUUUAGUGACAUGACUCGAGUGGACAGCUUUGAAUGAAUAUAUAAUUAAAUGGUGGAAUUAUAGAUAAUGUUACAUAUAGGCAUAUUAUACAUUAAGGAUGUGGAAUGGAGAGGAGGAGGAGGAGGAAAAAUAUAUGAUUAUUCAACCAGCAUGAGUUUUCAUUAAAAAUGGCUAAUUUGCAUGUUUUAGGUUCAGGGACUAAAUUGAAUAAAAGUAAUAUUUUAAGGGUAAAUUUGUAAAAAUGUCAAAAAGUGACCAAAUUGCAUGAAAUGAAUUGUUUUAUUAUUUAAAUUAAUAAAUUGAAUGAAAUAGUAAUCUAUAUCAAGAUUGGAUGGAAAUUCAAGGGAAAUAGAAAAUUACCAAAAUGUCCCUAAAUUUUGGUAUUUCUACAAUUUAGCUUGGUAAGUUUGUGUAACUUGAAUUAUAUUCUUAGAUGAUUGAAAUAUAUAUAUUGGAUUGAGAAACUGAAUUGAAUUGUGAACAUGAGAAAUUAUGAAUUUAAUGAAAUAGAAAUGAAGCUUUGAAUUACAUGAGUAAAUAUAGGGUCUUGUAGGCCCUAUUUGUUACGAAUAUAAUAUUUUGAGGAUAUGUUGUAAAGAAUUAUAAAAGCACGUUAAUAAUUUAAAAGUAUUAAUUCGGAUGAAAUUUUGUAACUCGGUUUAAUACGUAUGCAAAUGUAUGUCUUCUAGUAAUGCCUCGUACCCUAUUUUGGCGUCGAAUACGGGUAAGGGGUGUUACAAUGUGACAUCGCCAGAUUCGGUCAUAACGUUUAGACCGGGUUUGGGGUGUUACAUGAUCUUCCAAACUUGUAAUCCAACUAGCAUCCGAAUACCCUUCUAAAACUGGAGGAUAUCCACUAUAACACAAUCCAUAGUUAAUAGUUCUAUUUAAGCACCUAAGUACUCUAUUCAAUUGCCAAUGCAAACUACUUGGAUUACUUGUGUACCUACUCAAUUUCCCAACAGCAUAUGCAAUUUCUAGUCUUGUACAAGUCAUUAUGUACAUAAGACAACCAAUUAGACUUGCAUAUUUUAAUUGAUCAAUUUUCCUACCAGUAUUAGAUACUAAUUUUAUUUGAGGAUCCAUGGGUGUAGAUGCUGGUAUACAGUUGAAAAUAUCAAACUUUUUAAGCACAUUUUCAAUGUAACGUGAUUGUGAUAAAGCUAUAGUGCUUUCAUCUCAGGUUAUAUUAAUCUCAAGAAUAACAUCUACUACACCCAUACCUUCAUAGCAAAGUUGUUCGACAAGAAUUUCUUUGUGUUUUCUAUUUGUUCCAAAUCCGUGCCAAAAAUGAGCAUGUCAUCUACAUAUAAGCAAAUUAUGACACAUUUUCCAUUUUCAAAAUUGCUAUAUAUGCACUCAUCGGAUUCAUUUAUUUUAUAGCCAUUAGCUAAAACAACAUUGUCAAACUUUUGGUGCCAUUAUUUUGGUGCUUGUUUAAGUCCAAAUAAAGAUUUAACAAGCUUACAUAGCUUAUGCUCUUGUCUUGGAAUAACAAAUCCUUCCGGUUGUUCCAUGCAUACUUCAUCUUCCAAAUCACCAUUUAAAAAUACAGUUUUAACAUCCAUUUGAUGAACAACCAAAUUAUAUAUAAAGGUAAGUGAUAUUAAGAGUCUAAUUGUAGCAAUCCUUGCUACUGGAGCAAAGGUAUCAAAGUAAUUAAUACCUUGUUUUUGUGUAAAACCUUUGGCUACCAACCUUGCUUUAAAUUCAUCAAUGAUUCCAUCAACCUUCAUUUUCUUUUUGAAGAUCCAUUUACAACCUAUUGGUUUGGAACUCGGUGGAAGAUCAACUAAGAUCCAAGUUUAAUUUCCUAUUAUUGAAUCCAUCUCAUCAUUUAUUGCUUCUUUCCAAAAGGCAGAGUCUUGAGAUUUCAUUGCCUCUUCAAAUGUAAUAGGACCACAUUCCGUAUUAUAACAAUAAGGUUUCUUAUUGCAUAUACUUUCGCCCUUUCCUUAUACAAGAAACAUAAUGAAAUCUGGUCCAAAAUCUUUGACCUUUUUAAUCCCCUUACUUCUUCUUAAUUCUUGACAAGAUUCAUCAUUAUUAUCAAUUUGUUCCAAUGGAAUCUCAUUCUCAUUUGAAGAAUGAAUCACAUUGUUGUGGCUAUAAUUAUCUUGGUAUAAAAUUAAAUCUAUUUUCAUCAAAAAUAGCACCUCUUGAUUCAAUAACAGUAUUAAUUGAAAUUGAAUCAUUUGGUUCAAUUACCAUGAACCUAUAUGCCUUGUUAUUAUGUGUAUAUCCUAUAAAUAUGCAUUCAAUUCCACUUUCAGCUAACUUUUUUACGUUCGGGUGUUAGAAUUUUGAUAAUAGUUCUACAACCCCAAACCUUCAAAUAAUUAAAGUUUGGUUUCCUUUUCUUCCAUUGUUCAUAAGGGGUUAUUUAAGUUUCCUUAUUAGGAACUCUAUUCAAUAUAUGACAAGCUGUUAGAACAACUUCUCCCCAAAAACCUUGUCCAAGACCUUAAUAUGAUAACGAUGAAUUUACCAUUUCAGUCAACACUCUAUUUUUCCUUUCAGCUACACCAUUUUGUUGUGGUGUGUAAGGGGCUGAAACUUGAUGGACAAUUCCAAUGGAUUCAAAAUAACUUGGAUUAUAGUAUUCUCCACCUCUAUCCGAUCUUAAGCACUUGAUAAAUGAUUCACACUGAAGUUCAACUUCAAAUUUAUAAACUUUAAAUUUAUCAAGCACUUCAUCUUUUAAAUGCAAUAAAUAUACAUAACAAUAUCUAGAACAAUCAUUAAUAAAAGUAACAAAAUAUUUCUUUCCACCUAAUAUAGGAGUAUUAUGCAUGUCACAUAAAUCACUAUGUAUCAAACCAAGCAAUUUUGUUUUCCUUUUAACCUUAGGGAAAGGUUUCUUGUAAUUUUAGUCAACAUACAUGUAUUGCAUUGUUCAAUAUUAUUAUUAAAAACAAGAAUUGAAUCUAACUUAUACAUGUCAUUCAUUUUUCUAUAAUUCAAAUGACCUAAUCUAUAAUGCCACAAACAAAAAGAUCCAACCAUAUAAGCAGAAAUAGUAUUUUUAUUUUUAUUAAUAAUAUUGAGUUUGAACAUACUCUCAUACAUAUACCCUUUCCUUACAAAAACUCCUCCCUUAGACAAAAUAAACUUAUCUACCUCAAAAACAAGUUUGAAGCCAAACUUAUUCAACAAACUUCUAGACACUAAAUUCUUCCUAACUUCUGGUACAUAAUAUAAAUCAUUUAAGGUUAAAAACUUUCCAGAAGUGAAUUGUAGUUUAACAGACCCUUUGCCUUUGAUUGCUGCGGUGGAAGAAUUUUCCAUGUACAAGAUGUCAUUUUCACAUUGUGUGAACUUUGUGAACAUGCUUUUGUCUUUGCACACAUGUUUGGCUGCUCCGAUAUCAAUCCACCAUGUAUUAUCAUCUUGUGCCAUAUUAAUUUCAGAUAUCAUUGCAAUGAACUUUUCGUUAUUAUCAGCCUUAGAAGAUGAUUUCUUCUUUAAAAAUUGACAUUCAUUCUUGAAAUGUCCCGACUUACCAUAAUGAUAGCAUGAGCCCUUUUGUUUCUUUUUGAACUUAGGUUCUCUAUCAGUUUGUUUGAACUUAUUCUUGAAUGGUUUAGUAGUUUGUACUUCCUCUGUAACAUGCACUUUGGCAUUUUCAGAAUUUAGGUUCUAGUAUUGCUUUCGAUUUUCUUCUUCAAUACGAAGAUGAUUUGCCAAAGACUCAAGAGAUAUUUCCUCUUUCUUAUGUUUUAGACUUCUUUUAAAGUCUUUCCAAGAUUGAGGAAGUUUGUCUAUUAUGGAGGAUACAACAGUCAUUUCAUCCAUUUUCAUAUCAUAUUGCUUGAAUUGAUUCAGCAUUUUUUCAAUAUCACGGAUUUGUUCCAUAACAAAAUGACCAUCAACCAUUUGAUAAUUAUUGAAACGACUGGCAAGAAAUUUCUUACUUGUAACAUCUUCGAUCAUGUAUCUUGUCUCCAAUUUGUCCCAUAAUUCUUUAGCCGUGACCUCGUUUUGGUAAGUGUCGAACAAACCAUCAGAUGAACCAUUCAAUAUGUGGCCCAUGCACAUGUAAUCAGCAUUGUCCCAUUUUUGACUUUCUCGGGUUGCUGCAACAGAUUCGUUAUCAUUCUCUUCAGGUCUUGGAGUAUCCAAAACACAAACAAUCUUCAAAGUUGAUAAUAAGAAGUGCAUCUUUUCUGCCAUCGUCGAAAAUUACCACCAUCAAACCUAUCAAGUUUGACAAAGCUGGAAGCCAACUCCCUUAGUGUUCCACUUUCAUAUGUUGUGGUAGUCAUCAUGAAAUAUAACCUAAAAUUGUUAGUACAAAUCUCUGGUGAGGAAAAUCUCGAACACACGAACGGAACUUGAGCAGAAAAAGAAGAAAUAGGACAAAGCUUCAAUGCGUGUAUCAAGUCACAAUCUUUAAGGUUAUAUUCUCCCCCACCUAUCUUCGAUGUGCAAAUGAGUUCCAAGCAAAUUAACCUUGAGGAUCAAAUGAAGCCAAUGACUAUUUGCAUUUUGCACUGACGAAAGUGGCCCACUACACACUGGGCAAUGUAUGACAAGAAACUCAAUUUCUAUAAAGGAUUUCUGCAGUAAUACCUUAUAAAAUUAUCUAAUAAUAUUAAAAAAUGAAGGAAGGAAAGAAAAAAUAUUAGAAUUUGUUGGUAUGAUUUCCAAAUGAAAUAUUAUUCCUAUUUAUAGGAAUUUUCAUGUCUCUUCAUAGAGACAUCUUUCGUCAAUAGGUGUCUUUAUGAAUAAUAAUGUCUUUAAAAUAAACACAUAAUUAUUCAUUUAAUAUUAUAACUAUUUAAAUAAUAUUAUUUAAAUAGUUAUAAUUCUUUUUCAAAAAUCAAAUAAUAUAAUCUUUUGAUUAAUUACACCCAUUCAUUUAUAGUUAUUGGAACAUUAUAAAUAUUUGAAAAUGUUCCAACAAUCUUAAGAUACAAACCCUCUCAAAAGAGCAAAAAAAAAAAAAAGAGCAAACUAAGAAAUAUUCCUUACAAGAUUAGAAUGUGUGCCAAUUAAGCACUAAUACAAAGAAAAACAUUUGAGUUGAUGGAAAACAAUAAAUACUCACAAGUGUAUUCAAGAAAUAAUGAAGAAUUUUAAGUACAAAGGUUGAUACUUAAUGAUAAAUAUUGAUUUUUUUACUUUGAUAAAAAAAUUCCAUAAUGACAUCUUUGUAUCGAUACCAAGAAUAGGUAUCGAUAAAAAUGUCUAGAUAUCGAUAUUUAUUGAAAAUAUCGAUACUUGUUAUUUUUGCUCAAUGUUUCUGGACUUUGAAACUUAAAAACAAUUUUAUAAGUAAUAGAGAGCAGUUUUUUACUUGUUUAAAAUUUGUUCAAAGUAUUUUCUGAGUGUUCAAAGUGAUUCUCAAAGUGUUUCAAAAUUUUGACUUUAAACUUCAUUAAUUUUUAUUAAAAAAUAAUUUUUAUUCAAAAAUAUUAUAUUUAUUAUAUCAAAAUAUUUUAUGAAAGCUUGGUUUAUCAAGUUUACAUCAUGCCAAGAAAUUUGAAUCAUUUAGCUUUUGUUGUAUAAAUGACUUGGUUUUGGGAAUUUGAAACAAAAAUGUUGUUUUGGAAAAACAAAAUUAUAUUAACUCUAUGUUCAAAUUUGUAUAUAAAAAAAUAUGCUUAUAUAUAUACAUGUUAGAUUGUUUUGACAUGUGGCUGACUUGAUUAAAAAUAUAUAUACAACUUGUAAACAUAUAUUCCAAACAUACAUACAUACAUAUAGAUAGAUAUUUCAUUUGUAUAUCACAAUAAUCAUAACAAGUAAUUCUAUAGAUUGUUUGUGUUUGAUUGAAGAUGAAUAUUUCAUUGUAUAAUAGUUUUUGAAAUUAAUUAAUGAAAAGGAUUGUUCUUUUAGUUAUGAAAAUAUCUAUGUUUGGUUUAUUUCACCUAGAAUAAUUUUCAUAAAAUGUUUACAUAAAAUCAACUAAUUAUACUAAAAAAAUCACAUUUUUUAAAAAAUUAUACUAUUUUUCAACCAAUGCAACAUAUAAAUAUAAAUUAUGUUCCAUCGUCUAUUGAAAUAAUAUUACCAAAGUUCAAUCAAUGCAUCUAUGCUUUAGAUGCUAAAGUGUGGAAUCAAAAUAAAGAGUUAAAAGACUGGAAUAAAAUCUUGCAAAAAAAAAAAAACCAUUCUGGAACUGUUGCUAACCGCUGAAGGCUGAAGACCCUGGAAUUUGUAUCCACUAGCGUUGAGACUUUUCUUCUCCAGUUGCAGAUGCCAUGGACCUGGUCACUUCGAGAUUUCAUUUUCGCCUGAUUUCUUGUUUCCUGUGAUAAAAGGAAAAGAUAAAAAAUGAAUCUUGCAUACACUUACUCUUCAUUAAUUUGAUCCUGCGGUUAAUAUAUCAAAAUAUUUCCAAAUGAAAUGAAAGUAUAGCAUUUGGACAAGUGAGAACUCACUCUUGAAGGAGACAGCUUCAGGUGUUUCUGUAUCGAUUUUUACGUCGCUGCCCAUUUUAUCCUUAACGUAAUCUACAGACCAUUCCAUACCUGUCAAGGUUAAUUUUGUUAAGCUGGUUAAUUUCUCCAGACCAUCAACCUCUUUUAGUUGAUUGCAGUAUCUGAUCUCAAGAUUCUCCAGGACUGGCAUGGUGCCAUCCUCCACAAUCCAAUGCUGCAGUUCCACCAGCUUCCACAAUUUCAAGGCUUGAAGCUUAGGAAACGUGUUCCUACAAACCAUAGUUUUCCCCAAGAAGGAAUGACCAUAGAGCCUAAGGACCUUCAGUUCUUUCAGCUCCGCAAGCAUUUCCAUUGGAUCAUCUGGUAAAUAUGACCCUGACAAAGUAAGGACUGAGAGACUUCUUGGAAGUUCACCAAGUAUCUUUCUCGGCCCUGUUAGUUCUCCAAGCAGAUAUAAUUUACGCAAGCUCUUGAGCUUGUUCAUGCUCUCCAAUUCAAGUUUUGAAGACUCGUGUCUUUCACUUACUGAUCUCAACUUCAAGGACUGAAGAUUUGUUAGUUCUGAAAGCCAGGCAUCUAUAACUUCCAUAGAUGAUUCAUAGCACGUUAAUUUCAAUUUCCUUACACCAACCAACCUGUUCAACUGGUUGUGCAUCGGGAUCUGUCCUCGAAUUUUCAAUCCCCAUAAAGUAUGAAGGUUAGUUGAAGAUCCCUCAUGAUCACAUCCCUUCUGAAUGGACAAGUCAACAUAAACUUCACUCAUAUAGAGAUGCCGAAGCUUCUUUUCCUCCCAAAUGGUGCUUGGUAGAGUGGUUAUAUUAGUAUGUUUUACAUCUAAAGACUGUAAACGAGGGAGCUCGGCAACUGACUUUGGGACUGAAUCCAAAUGAGUCCGUCUUAAACCCAAAUACUUUAGGCAAGGCAGUCUUCCAAUAUCCUCAGAAAGCGCUGGUUUAUAAACACCUUCUAGAUCAAGCACUACAAGCUUUCCAAAACGGUCCUUGACAAUCUUUUUGAGAAGGUCUCCUAUCCCAUCUGCAGGUCUAUCUCCUUUUCUGUCGUAGAAUGAAAUGUAAGAACGUAGAUUUGUCAUGCUGUGUUUUUCAUGCUCGGUAUGGAUGAACAUUUGUAACCCAUCUGCAAGCCUCCGGAUAGGGAUAUUAUACGGUGUUGUAUCGGAAUUGGAUGCGGUUGAACUGCUGCGAAUGCGAUGUAUGUGGAAAAAUCCAAAGUUCUCGGCAUUUGGAGACAAAGCAUCGUGUAAUGCAUUCGGUAGGAGACAUGUUUUGGGGCUUCCAUCUAAGCUCCAUUUAACGAUCUGAACCAAAUUUCUGCUUUCUAGUUGUACAAACUGUUGCAUGGCCAGCUCUUCCAGAGUUUUUGUGUUCCCUUCUGGUGGUAUGAUCAGUCCUUCAGCAAGCCAUAUGAGAAGCAACCUUCUUAUUGGGAUCUCAAAUGAUCUGGGAAAGAGACCCAAAUGAAGAAGACAGUGAUUUAAAGGGAAGCCUAGGCGCUUAUAGGACUCAUCCAAUGUCUUGAGAGGAUUUUCUUCAGUAUCACUGGAUUUUAGCCUCGCAUCAUUUCCUUCUAUCUUCUCUGUCCCCAAAGAAGCCUGUUGAUUGAACUGACCUGCCAAUAGACCUAUCGAAAGAGGUAGACCACGGCCUCUUUGCAUCAAAUCUGACGGCACGUGCACACUUUUUUGUACCUUCUUUGUGAACAAUUUACGACUCUCAUCCUCAUUUAACGGGCGUAGUGGGAGAACUACAGCUGGUGGAUUCAUAUUGUACGCUAGAUACGCCUUGCGAAGGGUGAGGAUCACCCUGCUACCGUUGGAUGAAUUCGGGAGGACUUUAAUGAGUGUAUUCUUCCAUAUCUGAGGCGUCUGUAAAUCAUCUAAAACUAUCAAAUAUCUCUUCCAAUUCAAGAAAAGGUGAAACCUUCUUUGUAGUUGCUCAAUAGAUAAGCUCUGUUUCUGCUUUUUCUUCAUAAGUUGUCCCAAUAAAUCAAGCAGGAGAUUUCUUUCAUCAUAUUCUUGCGGAACAGUGAUCCAAGCCCGACAAUCAAAGUGCUGCUUCGUUGCAAUGCUGUCGUAAAAUGCCCUCACAAGAGUUGUCUUGCCAGAACCUCCCUCACCUAGCACCGAAAUCAGAUAAUGCAAUCGGUAGCUACUUAGUGCGAGUUUCGCUAAUUCCUCUAUCGUAUCCCUCAUCCCUAUGAUUUCAGACUCGUUUUCCAUGAUAUCAGAAACUGAAUUCCACAGUUGUGCAACCUUUCGAUCUACAGUAUCUUCAUGCAGCUGUUCUAAAUCUAAAUCAGGUAACAACUCUAUCCCGGGAGUCAUUUGAAAGACCCAAGAAUUGGUUUUCCGUGCUAUAUCUGCAUGAGGUACAGUAAGAAUCACCCUGCUACCAGUCAAGGAGUUCGGAAGGGAAAUUUUGAGACUUUCCCAGACACUGGAUGUCCAGACAUCACAUAGAACUAUUAGGUACCUCUUCUGAGCUAAGAAAUUGCAAACCAUUUGUCGCAUUGGCUCAAGGGAUAGUUUAAUUUCCCUGACGCCUAUUUGCUUCCAAAUUUCAACUAAAACAUCUAUUUCUUCGAACUCUUCUUGAACAUGGACCCAAGCAGAGCAUUCAAAAUGCUGCUUGACUUCUUUUUCAUCACAUAUUUCCCGCAAUAGAGUACUCUUGCCAACACCCACAAUUGAAAUGAGAAACAGCAACCUGUCAGAAUUGAGGACCGAUUGCUUUAGCUUACUCAUUGCAGCCUUUAUGGCAAUAGUGCUAGAAUCAUUAUCCAAAUAAGUAAACGAUUGAGGCCAUUCUUCUGAAGCAUGUAUUAAUGCUGCAUCACCAACAACACCAUUUUCUCCAAUGAUCCGUGAACUAUUCUGAAUUGCAAGAAUCACCCGACUACCAUUAAAAGAGAAAGGAAAGGCAGGUUUGAGAUCGUUCCAAAUACUUGCCGUCAAAGCUCCAGAUAAAACUAUCAGAUACCUCUUCCCAACUAAGAAAUCAUGAAGCACCUUGUCUACAUGAAGCACCUUGUCUACAUGAAGCACCUUGUCUACCUGUUCCUCUAAGAAAACAUGAAGCACCUUGUAUACCUGUUCCUCUUUCGUUUUGUUAUGCUUAACUUGUUCUAAAAUGGCUUGUAAGAUAUCCUUUGCUUCAUACUCUUUACGAACAUGGACCCAAGCAAUGCAUUGGAAAUAUUGUUUGAUAUCUUCUGAAUUGUAGACUGCCCACAAAAAAAUUGCCUUACUUGAGAAUGCAACUAAAGCCUUGAAGAUGAGAUAUUGAAGCAUGCAUCGACUAUGGACCGGCUGAGCUAAUUUCUUUACUAAAUCAUCCAAAACGAUCGUAACCGGUUUCUUCUCAAACCAUUUUUGGCCAUGAAUUUCAACUUCUGGUCUAACUCCCACAACUUUUGGGCUAGUUGGCUGACCUUGCUUUAUUACAGCUUCAGUGUUAGUCAAUGACUCAUUUGGUUUAACUUUCAUUUGCUCUCUUACUUUGUCCUUCAAUUUCCCAAUCUUUUUUCUUAAUCGCCUUUCGCUCAACCAGCACUUGAUUCUCUCGGAGUUAUACUUCAUAUUGAAACCUCUGUGGAAUUGCAGUAUCAUAGUGUCCGAGAAGGAGUCAAUCAUGUCCUCCACAAGAUAGAUAUCCUUGACAAGCUUCAACCAGUCAUCGAUAGUUUUUUUGUCAAGUACUUGGACGCUCACAGCACUUUCCAAGGAUUUCUGCAUUUCUUGUAGCUCAUUUAUGGAUUUUUCAACUUCACUUUUCAAAUUUGGAUUGCUAGAGAGCAGACGUAAUUUUCGGCUCAAAUGUUCAGUUAUUUCAACAGCCAUGGAGUCUCAGUUAUCAAUCUUUAAUUCUUCUUUUCCUUUAUAAUAUGUGGCUUAACUUUGUCAGUGAUGUCCUGCAUCCUGCUAAAAUACAAUUCUUUAAUUAGUGAAUGAGGUUUGAAGAAGUUGCCUGCCUAAAAUACAUAAAUUUUUAUGCCAAUUAGGCCUUAAUCAGUCUUUCCUAAUUUCAUGAUGAGAGAUCUCCUAACUUCAGCUACUAAAGUUUAUGAUAAUUUAUCAUAUAACAAGAGAGCUAUAUAAAAGGAAAACAGACAAAUUUGGUAAGUUGUGUUAUCCGUGUGUUUGUGUUCUUCAUGCUAAGCAAUUGCGUAAACAAAAACAUUGUAGUUAUUAACAUACAUGAAUUUUUUUCUAAUAUGCAAUAUUAUACAUAAAAUUUUAUUUUAUACAAUUUUAUAAAUAAAAUUUUGAUUUAAUUUAAUUUUUACAAAUCACUAACAAUAUAUCGAAUUAGCACCAUCUUAAGUUGGGUAUUACAUACACCAACAGUUAUAUUAAUCCAAUAUGAAAAUAAAUAUAUGUAUUCAUUUUUUUAGAUGUAUAUAAUUGAAUUAAAAUUAAGGCUUUACGUAUACAUAUGAACCACAAUUCAAGUUUCAUAUGUAUAAUUAUACUAAAUAAAAGUACAUAUGUAUCAAAUUACACAUUAAAGCAAAAUUCAUCUAUAAAUAUGAUAUUUAUCCCCAAAAUCAUAAAAAAAAUUUAAAUGUGUUAAUAGUGUUUAAAUGGUUAUUUUUACCUUCAUUGAACAUAUAGUAUUCUCAUAACUUUUGUUAAGGCUUAGCUCACAAAUUGAUACUUAAUUUUUUUUUUUUAGCUAACUUUUUUUGUCACAAGUGAUAACUAAAAUUUUUCCCCAAAAUUAAUGCCUCCUUAAAUCAAGCAAUUAAAUUUAAUUUUUUAAGAUAAACUAACCUAUAAAUUAAUACUUAAACUGCGCAUUUUUUUUUCUUAUUUUGGUAUUUAAAUAGCCUCAUUGUACCUAAUUACUUUUUCCCCAUGUAAGUACUUAGAUUAAUUUAUUAGUUAGUUAAAAAUAUUCCGUCUAUUUUAAAAAAAAAAACAUUUCAAGAUCAACAUGUAGCAAAAAAAAAAAAACAAAAUGUUAUAUUUUCUCUUAUAUAUAUAUAUAAUAUUUUCUUUUUUCUUUUUUCUUUCUUUAGAAUUGGGCCAAUAGUAGAAUCGAUCAAAUACUAGUUCUCAGUUUGAUCAAUUUGUUCAAUUCAAUUAAAUAAAUUUAUAAAAAUUUAUAAAAAUAUUUUUAAAAUAGAGAAAACUGAUUCAACCGGUCUAUAUCGGUUGACGAAUCAAUCAUUUCAACCCCUAUCUUCAAAUCAAUAUCCCAGCCAAUUAUUGAUUCAACCAACCAAUCCAGUUCUAAAAAUAAUAGUUUUGAUCAAUGAAAUAACUUUUCCAAUCCUGUCAAGUCGAGCCGAGCAAACAGAAGGUAAAGUUUAAAAACAUAAUUAAUUGUGAGCUUUUCAACCUCAGAAGGGUGAAUUUCAAACAAUAUUAUAAAGGAAGAAGAAAAAAAUAUAAAGAUAGAGAAAUAAUGUAAAGGAAAAUUAAAGAAUUAAAGAAUAUUUUUCUAAGUUUAUAUGAAAUGGCAAUUUGUAAUAUUUUUUAAUGGAUAUAUCAUUUUAGUAUAAAAUGGAUAAUUAAAUAAUAAUUUAGGCACUGAUUGUGAUCCAAAAAAUAUUUAGAUACUAAAAGAAAAACAGUAUAAAUUAGAUACUAAUUUGUAGGUUGAUUUUUUUAAAUAAAUUUAAGGGUUUGACUAACAUUGGACUAAUAAAUUAUGUACCAACUUGAAAAAAAAUUGUUAGUUAAACUUUUAUAUAUAUAUAAAAUCAAAACUAACAUUCUGGAAUUUUGAUUUCAAAAAAUGAACUUAGAUUUGUAUAAAGCAACAUCUAAUCCUUAAAUGAUAGAUAUAUAUAUAUUUUUUUUGAAUUUGAUCUUUAAAUUUUUUUUGUUUAUAAUAAUUUCAUAAUUUAAUAAUUCUUUCUAUUUUGAUCCUUAAACUUUGAUUCCGUUAAUAUUUAAUGUUAUCUCCUAAAUAUUAAUAUACUAGUUUUUUUUUUACUCAAAUAUAUGCGAGCUUGAUUGUACAAAAUAGUUAAAAUUAUUUUAUAAUUUUGUAUAAAUUUAAUUUAUGAUUGGUAAAAUAAAUAAAAUAAAAUCAUUUUAUAAUUUUUUAUAAUUUUGUAAUCCAAUAUUUCUAAAUUUGAUAGUGUAUUUUUAAAUAAGUAAAAAGAUAGUUUUGAAAUUUGAAAUAAAUUGCUUAGGCAUAUUUUAAGUUUUAAGAUAAUUUUAUUUUAAAUUCGAAAUAUAAUUUUUUAAAUUAAAAUUAAAAUCACUCCACUUAUAAGUCAACCAAAAACAAAAUAAGGAGAUGAGAAUUUAAAACGUAAAAUUUGCUUUUUAAUUUCAUUUUUUUAAAUCUUUACUUCCUUCUUUUUCUUUAAGAAAAAUAUUUUUAAAUUAAAAAAUCUUAUCCUACAUAUCAUUUAAAUAUUAAUAAUAAUUUUAAUAAAUAAUUAUAAAUAAGAACUUGGAAUUUCCAAAAAUAAAAUUUUAAGUUAUAAUCUAAAUAACACUUUAUGGAUAAUGAAAAAUUAUAAAAAUUAUCUUUUAUAAAAUGAUAUAAAAUAAAUAAAUAAAUAAAAUCAUUACUUGGCAUCAUUUUAUAAUUUUGUACCUUGUUAUAUUAUAUGAUAUAUAUGGUACAUAUAUAACCUAAAAAUACAAAAAGCAAUAUUAAAAUAUUAUUAAAAAUAAUAUUUUAAAAAAAAAGAAUUAUUCGAUGAUGUAAUACAAUAUAAAAGUGCUCAUACAUUAAAACUUAAUUAAUAAGAAUAGCAAAAACAAAUGAAGUAAAAUACCAUAAAAAGAUACAACAAAAUCAUAUAUUUCCUAAAUUCUUAUAACAAGUGAACAAGAAAGAAGUAAGAAGAGUGAGAUUACGUACCGCUAAGUACGAGUGUUGAGGGUGCACCAUUGCAGAUUGUCGUCUGCAAUUCGAACUUCAGGCCAUAGUUUUUAGCUGAUCUGGCCACAAUAGCUUCCCGGAGACCGCCGGUUAAGCUAGGAAAGUGAGAGAAAUAAAGUAAGAGAGAUUAAGUGUUAGGCACAUGUAAAGAAGAGCUGUAAAAUAAGUCCAGUCAAGGAACGUGUUCUUUUACUAAAGAAAAGGAAUGUUUGAAAUGGGAUUAAAUUGUUUCAGUGAAGCAACAGAUUGCUUUUUAUUGGAAGUGAUGUAAAAAGAAGAAAAAACAAUCAUAAUUCAGUAUUUUUAGAACAUCAUAAUGGCUGAAAUGCUCACUUUUGUUUCAAAAGACCAUGAUGCAAGGCACUGGCGAAUCUCGAGAGGGCUUCCAUGGUCCUGGCGCCCCUAAAAUGUAAAAUUAUUAUUUAAUCCUUUAUAUUAUUCUAAAAUUUUUAAAUUAAUAGAUGAAGGUAAAAUUAUAUUUUAAUUCUCUUAAAAUUAUAAAAAUUCGAUUAAUUCUUUAAAAAUAAUAAAGAUAUAGACUAAAUAAUUAAAUUUUCAUAACAUUGUUCUGGCUUCGCCUUUUUUGAUGAGAAUAUUUUGACUAAAAUAUGCAACAAGUUGUUGUAUUCCAUCGGUCCUUAGGAUUGAGGGGCUUUAACCCUAAAGUUUUUAAAUUUUCAUUAUACCCUUAAAAUUUUUUUAAAAUUUUAAUUUUCUCAAAAAUUUUUGAAAAUUCUUUGUAUACCUUUCAUAUUUUUUAGUUACAUCUCUACCAAUGUGAGUAGUUUUUUUAAAUUUCACAAUGUCAUACCAUCCAAUUUGAUAAAAAAAAAAGUGACUAUGUUAACAGUUAGACCUUAAUUUUAAAACUUGAAGAGUCUGGGUAUAAAUUCUAAAAAAUUAAAAGUAUAGAAAUUAAAAUAUAAAUUUAUAAAGAGUAAAGCAACCUAUAACAUAUUUUAACCAUAUAUUUUUAUAUAAAACUUCUUCAAUUGAGUGUCCCGGUUAAAAAGGUUCCAAUUGCUUCUUCUUUUUCCAAAUAAUUGUUUGGCAAGUUAAUUUAUAGGGAAAAGCAAUUUCUAAUUUGCAAAAUCGGGGGUGGAUAGGAAAGUGAAGGUACAUUAGAGUUCACACCAUUACGUUGCCUUUGUCGACUGAAAAUUUUCAGCUUCACACAACCUAAAAAAAUUCAAGAAAGACCCGGUUUUCCGGCCAAAGAAAAACCUAAUUUCCCGAUGGUCAUAGCAGUGAUAGGCCCCUCAAGCAGGGGCGCAGUGGCCAGCGAGCUUGCCAAACACCUCCAUUUCCACCUCAUUGACGAAGAUGAUAUCAUCCCUACUUCUCAACACUCUUUGCCUUCCUCCUCCGCCGCCGCCGUUGCUGAAUCCAAAACUCUCAACUCGUUCUUCGAACUUGUCAUUCAAAUUGCGAAAACGAUCAGGUUGAAUCAGGGGCUUAUCAUCAGCACAAAGCUCUCUCAUAGCUCCCUCAUCGAUGACCUAAAGCAGCUGGCAGGCACUGCUGAUGAACGUCUGGUAAUUGUUCAAUGCAUCGAAGCCCAAGAUGCGAGCUACAGAUACCAAUUUGAAGGAGUUCAGGUGUUCACUGUUGACCCCAAACGCUUCGAUGCCAACAACCUUUUAGCCGAAAUGUCGAGUAAGGUUGCAAAAAGGAAUUCCACUCAUCUGCAUGCUCUGUCUUUGUAUAACAAUUAUCAGCCAUUCACUGAAUCUGGGAAAGGCCUCAAAUGCAAAAGGUGCCUGGAACUCAUUUCAGGCCCUAUGUAUCAAUGCAUGGAGUGCAAUGAAUACAUUUUCCACAAAUCUUGCGCUGAAGAUCCCUGUGAUUUAAAGCUUGUUCGGCAAAGUUGCCCUAAAAAUCUCCGAGCAUCAAAGGAGCCGCCAGGGUAUGAAUUACCUCCGGAGAAACAGAAAAAGUGUGAGACAUGUGAAUUGAACAAGAAGGAUUUCUCCGUUAGUUGUCGUGAUUGUAUCUUCAAAACCAACAUGGAAGGUAAAUUCCUCCCCCUCAUCAUCAAUCACGGAUCUCACUCACAUCCCCUCAAUCUUUUAAUGAUGCCUCCCUCGUAUGAUUACAAGUUCGAAUGUUGCGGGUGCGGUGAGCUGGGCAAAUCCAUUAGCUACAGAUGUUAUGACUGCAACUUCAAUCUGCACGUAGGUUGCGUUUUGUUAGAGCACACUGCUAAAAGCAUCCGCCAUGACCACAAACUUACACUUGUCUAUGAUUCUCUGGAAGUUACCUAUUGGGAUAAAAACAGUUGUGAAUUUUGUAAUAACGAAAGAAAACCAGAACAAUGGUUUUACUACUGUUCAACUUGCGAAAUCGCGGCUCACAUUGGUUGCUGUGCGGUAGAUCAGUCGCAGUGAUCUUAGGGUUUCCAUCGCCAUGACUGCAUAUGGUCAAACUUCAGCAACGCAGAUCGUUCCUUUUCUUUGGUUUUGCCUAAUAAUAUUGCAUGAUUGUUUUUGUUUUAUUUUCGCAUGAUGCCAUGUGUUCACACAUACAUAUUGUGGGCGACCUCUAGAUAGAGACAUGUAAUAUGGUUCGCCUGCACAUGGCACGAAAAUUGUGUACACGAAUCCACUUCGAGUAUACAUGUGUUAAUCCUAAGAUAAGAUACGUGUCAUCAUGCAUUAAGACUGUAACACCCCUUUACCAAUCCUGAUUACAGGAUCAAGUGCUACAUUAGUUUUCAUAAACUCUAAUAGUAAUAUCUAAAUAAAAAUAAUAUUAUAAUUUGCACAUAUUAGUUUCGUUGUUCCAGUAUAUUAAUUAUUGAUACUCGAGAUAAGCUGAAAUAAAAAUUUUCAACCAUUCUUACAUUUAGAACAAUAUACUAAAGCGAAAGAAUGGACAUUGUGAAAAAUAUGGAACGUGGUUGUGUGGAUUUCAGGAACCAUGUUUAAAUUUGAAAUUCAAGGGAUAAUUUGUUAAAUUAGUUCCUAAAGUUUACCUAGUUUAACCCUUGCUCACAUCUCAAAAUUUAAGCCAAUUUAAUUCAAAAAUAAAUCAUAAUUAAGCAUUUUAAAAAUCCGAAUUUCUUAUAUUACUUAAUUAACAUUUGAAUUAUUUCAUAUGAAUUAAGCAGACAUCAAGUUUUACAGUUAAGUCCCAUCACAUUCAACCUUAAUACACACACCUAGGUACAUGCCAUUUACUGAAACAACAGAAAUUAAUACUUUACCCCUUUCUCGGAUUCACUUAUAUGAUUAGACGAGAUGCCUUCGAUCUUCAAAAAUCCCUUUUCUUCUACUCUUAACCUACGCGUAUAAAACACGCGUUAAACUAUUACUAGCUUAGGAAGUAAAACUAAUAUUUAGAUCAUAAUCUAUAUUAUAAAUUAUAACUUAUUUAUUAUUACUACACAAAAUCAUUUAAAUGACCUGUUUGUAUUCAUCAUACAUAAUUUUUCCAAUCGAUUCACUUAUUCUUACAAUUAGGGCCACAUUUAUUAUUUACUUAUUAAACACCAACUAAACAUACUGAUUUAAUUAUCAUCUAUAUAAUACUAGAAUCACAUGAUCCAUUUUAAAUUCUCAUUUAUUCCAUUUAGCUAAAAUUUCGGAUAAUUUACUUUACUUAUUUCAACCAUAUAUUUUCUUAUUUUUCUCAAUUUCAAAUAUUUUCAACACAUAUAAUCUAUAUAAUUCAAUAAUCACUAAAAUAAUUUAUACAUUUUUCAGAGACCCAGUAGACUAAACAAAACACUUAGGAUAUACGGAAUUGAUACAGAGAUGCACUAAAGUGUGCUAAUAGAACAAUAGGCACCAAAGUGCAAACCACUAAGCACCAAAGUGCAAAAUAGUAAGCGCCAAAGCGGGAAACGAUAACCGCGCUAAAAUUUCCUUAAUGGCAUGCCAUCUAUAUCCCAAUAGUUCUAAUCUCGUCUACUUGGGUAAAUUAUAUCAUGCACACAUAUCACUUUUACAUUUUUGCAUAAUGCUUUUACAUUUUCUACCAUUUAAUCCUAAUAACAAUAUUUCGUAUAAUUAUAUCUUCCUCUUUCAUUAACACAUAUAACUUGUCACAAUAUUUAAUAAUCCUCCAUAAUUUCACUAAUAAUUUUUAUUAGACAUUUGACCUAUCACUUUUACUUUAUUUACAAUUUAGACCACAUCAUGACAUUUCAUGUAACAAUGUCUUUCAUUUUUAAUAACAUAUAUAAAAUGUUUCAUUUCUUAGUUUAAUUUCUAUAUUUCACCACGAAUUCUUAUUAUCAUAUUUAUAUAUUAUUCUUAGUCCUUAAGUCAUCAAUUCACUAAAUAGAACUUUCGUAUCUUUUUAAUACAUGUAACAUGUUUCGCUAUUUAAUAUAAUUUCCAUAAUUCAUCAUUUAUUUAUAACUUAUUUACUUUAUACUACUUUUACAUUUUUAAAAAAUAUUAGUCAUUGUAAAGAUAGUUUAUUUAACAUUAUUUUCUACUAACAAUAAUUCAUGUAUCAUAUCUCAUAUUUAUAAAUUUUCCAUAAUUUACUAUUAAUUCUUAUUAUAUAUUUUUUAAAUAUAUUAUUUUUACAUAUUUUACAAUGCAGUCCCUUUCUUUCUCAUAUUUUGUCAAAUAAUCCCACAACAUUACGACAUCAAUCUACUCAUCAAUUAUAUACAUAUAUCAUUUCUACACUCAUUUUAUUAUUUAAAAAUUAUAGUUCUAUUAACUAUUGUACCUCUUAUGAAUUAGUCCUUUAUAUCUUUUCCUUACUUUUCUUUUAAUUUUCUCUAUUACAUUUUACUUAGUCAAUUCAUCAUACCAAUAUACUCAACCUUAGUCAAUUCAUCAUACCAAUAUACUCAACCAUUAUCACAUUUUAUUCUUUAAUUAAUUAUAUAAUAUGUAAAUUUCUAAUUAAACACUAUAUCUAGAUUUAUUCUCAACAAAUUUUACUUAAUAAUUCAUCACAUAUUUAAAAUAAACAAAACUUUAGUUGUACUUACAACUCAAAGUAUGGAAUCAAGCUUUCUUCCUUUUCUUCCUCCUUUAGCUCCUCCUUUGCUUUAAUUCUCUAUUUGUUUCUCUCUUUUCUUCACUUUUUCUUCAUUUCUCCAUAUCAAAAUACACAAUAUUUACACAUUAAAAUCAUAUUCACAUAUCAUAUUUCAUGUUUUUCAAAUAAAACCAACAUGUAUUUCAAGAAAAGUAUAGCUUUCUUACCUUAAUCACUUGUAUUAAAUACUAAUUCUUAUUUUCUCUCCUCCUACACAAGUAUGGAUGCAUUUCUUUUAACAGUUGGGUAGUUACUACACUUCUCUACUAAUUUUACUCUCUAAUUGUGAAGAAAUUUGGAAAAAAAAAAAAGAAAUCUAGCUUAAUUGUUUUCUAUUUGAUGAAAAGGACUAAAUUGAAAGAAAAAUAAAAGUUAAAAUGGUGUAAAAAUGGUGGCUGACGUGAGCCAUUCCAUCCUUUCUUUUCUCCAUUUCUCUUAAAAGUAUCUCCUUUUAUUUUAUUUACCAUUUUGUCCUAACUAUUCACACUUUUUACUAUUUAUCCUUAAUCAUUACCUUCCAUAAUUAUCUUUUCAAUUCAUUUACCAUUUUACCCUUCCUCUUUUCCUAUAAUAACACCCAUGUGUCCUAUCUCCUUUGGUAUAUUUUUACCUUUAUGUCCUCCUCAUUUUUCAUCAAUUUAAUUUAAUCCUUCAACACCCAACUUUCUCACAUUGUCCAAAUACUUUCCACUAAUUUAAUUGAUUCCCAAAAAAAAUCAUAUUAAUAUUUAUACUUUUUCAAAUAUCUUAUGCACCUAUUUUUUUAUAUCUCAUAACUCUUUAAAUUUCCAGUUUCCUACUUUCUCAAAAUUUCGAAUAAUUUAUUGUAUAUAUAUCACAGUUCAAGACUCUGAAAAUUUCUGGGAUGUUACAGACACCUACCUAGCAUACAUGUAUGAACAGCGACCGUAUCAUAUAAAAACAUAACAUUAACCCAUCUGAGAUGACACACACAGAAAAACACUCAACAAGUCACAAUUGUUUUCAUAUUGAUGUAUAUAUAUAUAAUUUUUUUUAGAAUUAGUCCAUAAAUUUAGCAAUUGAUGUUACCUUGGAACAUAAAUUUUUUUGUCCAAAUUAAUCAAUGAGAUUUCUUUUAAAAAAUUGGACAAAAAAUUUCUAACCCAAUGUGAGAAUAAUUAUCUAGUUCAUAUUCCUAAUUCUCAAAUUUAAGGACUAAUUUAGAAAAAAAUAAAAACAUUUACUAAAUUCAAACUUCAUCUACUACAUUAACUUUUCCUAUUCAACCAAGUUGAUGAAAGGAAGAAAAAAUAUACUGCACUACAGAGAUAAGGUCGAAAUUUUAGUUCUAAAUUUUCGAAGAAAAUUUUUUUUUUUUGGUACAUUCAAUUAUAUUAAUUCAAAUUUCUUAGAAUUCUUAAACUUGGAUAGUUUCUCAUCAAAGAAAUUUAACUUAAGAUGCUUGUAUCUUAAGAUAAUCAUAAAGAAAAUAAUUUGAAAGGCGGGUUUGAGAUUUGAAUUGGUUAUUGUUUUUAUAUUAAGGUUUGAAAUUUUUUUUUCUAGUUAGCCCUUGAACUUAACAAUCUUUUCUAUAUUGAAUUUGAACUUAUUUUUAUCCAAUUUAAUCACUGAUAUUUACUUAAAAGAAGUUUAGGCUCGAUGUGGAAACUAUUUCUUAAUUUAGACCCCACUAUAAGAAUAAUUACCGAAGAGACUAACUAAAAAAAAAAAAGUUUAGAACCAAAUGUGAGAUAAUAAUUUUUAAGAGAGAAUCUGGAGAUGUAGUUUAAGUUUAAAGUGCAUUAAGUGUCAAAUUUUUAUUCUUUUUGUGCUUGUUAAUAGGUGUCCUACUUUAGUAUAUUAAUUUGAUAACUUUUUCCAGCUAUGAAAUUAAGAAAAAAUCGCUUUUUUAAUUAUUUUUAAUGAUUUUUUAAGUUUUGUUAUAUAUAUUUAAAAAUUUUAAGUGAAUUUAUUACUUUUUCUUUACACGUGGUAGUAUGUCAUUGGUGGAUUUAAAAAAAUUUAACCGAAGUACAGAAUUAAAAUACAAGGGCCAAAUUAAAAACAAAAAUAAAAUGCAAAGGCUAAACUGAUAAAAUAAAUAAUACAAAUAUCAAAGUUAUAAUUUAAGUAUUGUACAGGGGCCAAAAGCGGUAUUAAGCCAAACUAAAAGAGAAUGAAUUAAAUUGAAAGAGUAGCAUUUGAUGGGGCGAAGGUGGUGUGAAGGAUCAUUUGUUUUUCUAAUGUGGGUGCUCCUUUCCAGUUCUGCACGAGGCCAAGCGGUGACAAGAGUUAACCCAUACCAGUUCACCAACCCAACACAAGGUGUUUAGUUUUCCGUCACUCACAUUUCAAGCAACAAUCUCUGGUUUCGUUCUGUUUUACGACGCAAGAUCUUUGAGAAGAAUCGGGUAGCCAUUGACCAUUAUAAGUAUUUUUCUGCUACAUCAUUCACAAUCAUUACCAAAAUAUGAACCCUAACCUCUAUUCAUUGUUUCUUUUUGUUUUGUUGAUGAAAAUAUUCUUUUACCAGAGUGCAAGGCAUUUGGUGAUUGCUAUUUUCUGCCGCCUCAGCAUCUCCUCAAGGCCAGGUAGGUACUUUUGCAAUACCUAUGUUUUGUUUUGUGUUUAUUUUUUUAGCAUACUCACUUUUUAUACUUUUUAUAAAUAAAAAAAAUUUAAGAAUUAUUCACCAAUUGGUUUAAAAUAAGCAUAUAAGUUUCCUUUUUUUUUUUCCAUUUUUUAAAAAUAUUAGCUGUAAAAAAAAUCUUUACAUCAUCUUUAAUGGAGUAACCGGAAAAAAUAAUGUCAAAAAUAAUAGUAAAUAAUUGUAAUUUUUUAUAAUUUAUUGAUGGAAACGAGAGUUUAUUAAUAAUUAAGUCACUAAAAGGUUAUUAUAAAAGAAUUUUUAUCAUUUUACAUUUUUAUUUAAAAUUUAUAAAAAAUAAUUUAAACCAAAUUAAAUCUAAAAAAACCGAAUAUAAAAACCUUUUUUUAAUAUACGCAUAUAAUAAAAUUUGAGAUUUGAACUCAAACCCUUUUAGUUUUCAAUAUUUAUAUUUUACCAUUCAGCUAAAACUUUAAUAUUUUAUUAUUUAUAAUCCAUUAUCUUUCAAUAAAUCUAAUAUAACAAUGUAUAAGGAUCAUAAUAGGUGUAAAUCAUAAUUAGUUAUCAUUUAGAAAACUAAGGCAUGAAAUAUAUUUACGUGAAAAAGGUGUGGAAAAAGGACAACAAAUAUGUCCAAUAGUCUUGCAUAAAUUGUGAAUUUAAUUCAAAUAUUUUUAAUUUUCAUACUGUUUUAAAACUUUGUUCAGUUUAUUACCAUCAUCAACUACCAAUGAAAAGAAGUUUUAUCUUCCUUCACUGCUUUUCUUUCUCUCUGAUUUUUCAAUGUUAUCUUUUUUCUUUAUACAAUAUUGCUGUUUAAAUAGUGUCAAAUCGGUAUUUAAUAAGUGCUUUAAUCAUUUAUAUUUAACCCAAUUAUUUUAAUAAAUAUCUUAUUUUUAUCUUUUUUCCCCUAUUUUUAAUGGUAAUUAAGAUAAAUAAAAUAAAACAUCAAGAUAAAUUAGUUGAUUUAUGGAUUUUCAGUUAUAUUUUAAAAGAUAAAAUAUAUAUGUUAUAAAUAAAUAAAGCAAUGGAGAAUUGGCCAUUUAAAUUUUAUCAAUAAUAAUUUAUUUUAUUAAUGUUAAUAUAAAAAAUUAGUAGAAAAAAUUAUUCAAUAUUUAAUUUAAUAAAAAAUACCCAAUUAAGAAAUUUUAAUUUAAUAAUGAUCAUUUUAAUUUUGUUGAUAAAAAAAUAAUUAAUAUUCUAUUUCAAUAAAAAAACAAUGAUUGAAUAAUCAAUUUUAGAAAAUUUAAAGGAUAAAUAUAUUGUUCAUUAUUUAUUAAUAUUUUUAUUUUAAUAAAAAAAGCAUUCAAUUCAAUAUGAGAGUGCAUUUGUUUCGGAAAAUGAUUUUUGGAAAAUAACUUAAUUUUUUAGAAAAAUUAAUUUUUAUAGUAUUUAGAUGAUCCUAUGCAAAAUAUUUUCUAUUGUUUGAUAAAUUUUCGUGAAAAUUAUUUUGAGUGAGAGAAACACACAUUUUUAUCUUUUGAUUUUUUAUUGAAUUUAUGUUAUUUCUAUAAAUUAUAUUUUGCUAUGUUUUUUAUAUAUGUGCCAAUGUUUUAAAUUUUUAAAAUACAUCAAAUUAAAUUUAGGGUAAAUUACACCAUUAGUUACUAAAUUAUGGGUAAUUUUCCGUUCUGGUCACUUAACUAAAAAAUCACAAUUCAGUCACUAAAGUUUUCGAAAUUAUUUUUUUGGGUCACCCAACUAUUAAAUGGCACUUUUUUAAUAGGCAUAAUAACAAUUUUAGUCCCCACUUUUUUUUUGUCAAUUUGAUAUUGAAGCUAUAUAAAAAUAUAAAAGAACUCAAAAUUAUUUAAAAAUAGAAAAUUCUAUAUAAAAUUUCUAGAAAAAUAAAAUCUUGAAAAUGUUGUUGAAGAACUAAUAUGUAUGUAUGGGAAAUAAAGAAAAUUAUCAUUCAAUAAUAAAAAAUUAAAACAAAACAAAAAGAUUAAAUCAUUAUGUGCUUCUUUCGUGUUUCUCGAAAUCAAAUUAAUAAUAUUGUAACACCGAUUCCGGUAGUUGAUAUGGACAAGAGACAUUAUUAGAACAAUUUUGGUACAAAAAUCAGUAAUUUAUGUAAUUUAAUAAAUUAAGAAAUUUACUUAUUUGAAUUAAGUGGUAAUAAAAAUAACUAAUAUUUUAUUUCAAUAAAGAAAAUAUUGAAAAAUUAAAAUUUUAUCAACUAUAAUUUAUUUGGACUUUAAUAUUAAUGGUAAUAUAUUUUAUUAAUAGUUUAUUUUAAUUAAAAAUACAAGAUUGAAUAAAUAAUUUUAGGGUAAACUACAAGAAUAGACACCCAAUUAUUUUUUUUUCUAGCAUAAGAGUAAUUAACUCUAGGUUAAUUAAAAAACUCCUAUUAUUAGAUCAAUUCGUUCUAUUAAUUCUCUUAUUAGAUUUGUCUUUAAUUCGGUAGACUUAUAUCGUCCUAUUUCUAGGAUUGCAUGCAACUUCAUUCAAUUAUGCAAUAUGUAAUCACAAGAAUGGCUUCUUCAACCUUAAACUUAUGCACAUCAAACAUGGAACAACACCCUAGAAUUUAAACCCAAGAACAAUUAAGUCUUCAUAAUUGAAAACAAAGAAAUUAAGAUUUUAUUGAAUAAAAGAUAGAAAUCAAACAAUAGAAUUCAUCCUAAGAUUCAUCUUCCUUAGGUAAUAAGAGAAUUAGUUCAUACUUCCAAGAAUAAACACCAAAAAGUAUAAUAUAACCACUAAAAUAAAAAGAAAUCCAUGAUAACUCCAUUGGAAAUUAGUUGGACUCUUGAAUAUUGUUGGAGAAUUGCUUAGAAAUUGACUUCAAUAGUGUUAUUUGAGUAAUUUUCGUGCUAUUCUAUGACGGAUGCUUUCCUCCUCCUUUAUUUCCUUAUUUAUACCUUCUUAAAGUGCCAAAAUUUAAAAAUCGUCACUUCUAGUUAGCACACAGGGUUCCGGAAAUCUACACGUCCUGAACACAUGCCCGUGUGAAUCACAUGGUCGUAUGGGUAGUUCGUGUGAAAAUUUAUCGCAUGUGUGCAACUUCUGAAAUGCUCCAAUGUUGAAAUUUUCACCCGGUUUUCACUCCUAUUGCUCUCAAGUACCCUAUUAAGCAUUAAAACAUGCAUAUAAAAGAUUAGGAGUAUAUAAUUCACAAUUAAUAUCACAUAAUCACCCAAAAAUACAUUAAGAAUGAGGCUAAAACAUGUUACUAUUGACACUUAUCAUAUAUAUAUAUAUAAAAUGACCUUAAGCUUUUCCUCCAAAUAUAUUUGGGUUUGCCAUCAACUCACGUAAAAAAGUUAGGUCAAAGGUUAGCUUUCCCCAUUAAAAUAAACAAUGCAACGCAAUAAAUCACAAACUUAAAAUCAACCAAGAUGGAAGUUUAAUAUUCCUAAAAUUUAUAAUUAAAUCUUGGUUCAAAUUUGCAUCUAACAACAAUGGGAGAAAAGAAACUUGUAACACCCCAAACUCGGCCUAGACGUUAUGGCUGAAUCCGGAGAAGUUACAAAGAAUGGGUUUUGAAAACGGAGUCGCUACGUUAAAUCAUUUCAGCUUAUUAACUCAUAUUCUUUUAUAUCCAUUGUCAAACACGCCAAUUAAUUGAUUUAUUUGCCAAAACAUAUUUUACAUCGGAAGUCUAAUAAAACUGUUAUAUUUUGGAAAUCCAAUUCGUAUUUUUAGAAAAAUCUUUUUGUUUGAGUAAAAUAGUCAUUUGUAUAAACAUUUUGUUAAACCAUGCAAAUAAACAAGCAAACAAACCAAAACCAAAAGUUUAAAAACUGUCCAAUAAAUUACAAACUCACAAUUAAGUCUGAAAUUUAAAUAAAAAUCAUAAUUACUUAGGAUAAUCAGUUCUCGCACGAAUGGUCACCGCUGAGUCUCUAUUGCAUCAAUCCACCUAAGUUUGUGGAUUACCUGUACAGAACAAACAACAUAUGUGAGUUUCGUAAACUCAGUGUGUAACCCAACAGAAAUAGGCAGGCAAAAUAUUCAGAAAUCUCAUGCUAAGUCAAAUACAAAUACAGACUUAUGUCCAUUUUAGAUACAGAUACAGAUAUGCAGAGUCCUACCCCUAUCCUUUACACACCAACUCCGUCCAUCCCAACACACCAUGUGGGGUUAAAAACACCCACCCAUCCCUACACACCAUAUCGUGUCAUUACGACACAUAUCAGAUAAUAUGCAGCCAUGCUGCCAUAAUAUAGGCGUUGAUCGCUAUAUAGAACACUUCCUCCACAUAUACAAAUCCCACCCUAAAAAUAGUUACAGAAAUCAUAUACAGAAAUUACAGAUAUAACAUGCUUAUCAUGCUUGUGUACAAAUUUCAGAUGUACAUAUAUCAGAAUAGUCAGACAUGCAUAAAAGUGUCAUUCUCAGAGCAUACUAUCAGAAUAUGAAAUUGCAUAAUCUAGGGUUUGAUUAGCCCUUACCGACCCUAUGGUAGGCCCACAGUCGAUCGAAACGACCCGUGCAACCCUUGGGAAAUUUUCAAAAUUUAGGCUCACAUGCCUGUGUGGAAUGCCCGUGUAGGCCCAAACGCCCAAAUUGGUCUUGUCCAUGUGGCCCACACGGCCACACUCACACCACCACACGGUCAUGCCUUGCGGACGACCAAGCCUUCGUCGAUCACACGGCUGUGUCUCGCACACGGCCAACCACACGGGCGACCACACGCCCGUGUGGCAUCAACAGAACAGUCGAGCCUUUCGAAACCGCCAACACACUCGUUCACUCGCACAAAUUAGACUGUUGGAGUGGAACUACUGCUUCACCUUCGUCUCCUAAGCAACAAAUUUACAAAACUUCAACCUCAGAAAACAAAAGCUAAAUGAAUACAACCAACCCCACUUACCGGUUUCACGAAGACCAAAGAUUCAAAACGCCCAAGAGCAAGGUUUAAUGACAGAAUCAGAAGGCGGAGAAGGGGGAGUUUACUACUAUUUUGCCAGAAAGUAGAAGAAGAAAAGGAGAAGAAAAUCAAAGGGAAUUUCUAUUUGGGAAAAAAAAGGUUAGAAACAACGGAUUUUGAGAAAAGAAUAAAAAAUAAAAAUAAAAUAAUUUUAAUAUAAUUUGAAACCUCAAAUCCUACUAAAUUUCACCCACUAACCACAUACAACUACCUUGGAAUUUUGGCUCUACCGAAACUCUUCCAAACAACCGAGCAAAAAUUAACACCCUUGCUAAAGCAAGACCUCCAACACCCAAAUCCCUUACCACUCAAACCAGUAGGCUCAUUCCGAUAUAAAUUAACAAACAAUAUUAUAUAAACCACUUGGACCAAAAAUAACAAAAUUAUCAACAGUGAGACUUGAACCCAAGACGUCAUAUACACACACCUAAAAUACUUAACUACUGAAGCAAAUACACACUUAUAUUAGAUACUUACAGAAACAUAAAUAAAUUUAUCAUGGCGUUAGAAAACUCCCCAUUUGCAAUCGAAGUAACUAUAAGAUUCCCCUGAUUGUAUAACUUUUAUAAAAUAAAAACAUUUUAAACCUUGAUAAACAAGCUGAAAUAACAAAGCAGAAAAAGAACACCAAAAAUCUAAAUUAUAUCUAAAAAGAAAGUCAACUCAGUUUUUCAACUAACUUAAAAUUGAUAUUAAGGAAAGAGAGCAUCUGGUCAAAGGUAAACUGUAGAAGGAAAAGAGAUGUAAAUUGUUAUCUUGAUAGAAUAUAUAAACAUAUUAAAAUUUUGAUAACUAAAUGAAAAAUUUUGUGAAUAUUUGUUGAAUUUUUUAGAUUAAAGAUGAAAUUGAUAGGAUGUGUAAACAUUGAGAGGUUAAAAUAACAAAUUUUGAGAUAUAAAUUUAUUGAAUAUUUUUAGAUUUAAGAUUAAAUUGAUAGAAUGUAUAAAUGAUGAAAGGCUAAAUUUGUUACUAGGUGAAUAUAAAAAACAUUUGUUAAACUUCGGUUACUGAGUUAAAGUUGAGUUACGGUCAAAUAACUUGUGAGUGACUAAAAUGUUUAAUUUUUAAAAGUUGAGUGAUUGAAUUGAAAAAAAAUAAUAGUUGGGUGACCAAAAUAAAACUAAGUGUAUAGUUAGUUGACUAUUCUUAUAAUUUAACCACAUUUUUAAAAAAAAAAUUAGGGAAAAAUGUAUAAUAGUUUUAGAACUGGAUCCAUUCGUAGAGGUGCAAAACUAAAAUAAUUUUCAACCAUUGCAUAAUUUUUUAUAUAAUUAAUGUUUUAACAAUCCAACCAUUAUAUUUUAUUUUCCAUUUAUAUAGAUCAUACAUAUUAAAUUUUACAUAAAUUAGAAAUUUCAACCUAAUAUAUGUUAAUAUGAACAAUAUUUUACAAUGAGCUGUGAUAUGAUUGCUCACUUUAUCUCUCAACCAUGUAAUUGGGGGUUUGAUCCCCACUCAUUGGAAUUAAACAUAUUUUAUGGCUAACCAUUUAUUUUUUGGAAGAGCACUCAUGACAAGGAGAUUAAUUACUACUACUGGUAGAUAUUUUAUAUCGAUAUGAUAAAGAUAUCGAAUUGAUUCAAAAUUAUACACAAAUAUAAAUAUCUUGAUAAAUUCAAUUGUUGAAUUGUUAAAACAUUAAUCGUAUAAUAAAAUAUUAAUUGUGAAAGUAUUUAAAAAUACUGGUGUAAGUCCAACCCUUUCCUAUUUACAUAGAUUAUUACAUUAAAUUAAAUACUUACAUUUUAUUAUGAAAUAUUGUAAUAUUUUAGUUUCAAAUAAUUAUCGUGUAUGCUGGAAAAAAUUAGAACAGAAAAAAGGUGUAUAUAUUUAUCAACUAUUUGAUAUGCCAAUGCAUUCUUAAUAUCUGGACUUGAUGCAGGGACGUCAUGUUGGUGGUGAAGCCAGUAACGAGAUCAAUUUUAGCUAAAGUGGUUAAAGGCGCCAUUGUCAGACCACUUACCAGGACUCUGAAUUACCACAUAAAUUUCGAUAAAUAUGUGAAAGAAUUCGAAGACGCUGAACGUAUUUUGGUAGACCAACUGAAAGAUAUUGAAGCUCAAAAGCAAGAACAGCUUCGUUAUGUGGGAAGAAUGUUAGCGCCUGAAGUUGAAGUUUGGCUAAAACGUGCACGGAUGGUUCUUAAUGACGCCCAAUAUGUUACAGAUGAGAUCAGGAAAGGGAAAUAUAUGUUGCGUUCUAUUGUAGGGAAGCAUGUUGUAAGACUAACUCUGGAAAUGAAGGAUUUGUGUGAACAUGGUUCGUUUGAGAGGAUGUCGUCUUAUGCUGCUUCCUCUGCAAUGACUUCAUUGCCAACAACUGAUAUUGUAGGUAUUUCUCGUGAAGAGGAAAUUUGCAAUUAUUUGAUGAAGCAGGAAGUUAGAAUGCUUGGAGUGUGGGGGAUGCCUGGACUCGGGAAAACCACCAUAAUGAAGCAUAUUUACAAUAAAUUGAUGGAAGGCAAUAAAUUUAGUAAAAUGAUUUGGAUAACGGUAUCCGAAGGUGCUGAUAUCCGUAGGCUACAGAACGACAUUGCACGCAUAUUAAGUAUUGACUUGUCAGAUGAUGAGGAUACAAAUGUACGUGCAAAAAAGCUAUAUGAAGAGCUGAUGAAAACAGGGAGCUACCUAUUAAUACUUGAUGAUGUAUGCCAGAGGAUUUCUCUUGAGGAUGUUGGAAUCCCUAAGCCAUCUGCAGAUAAUGGACGCAAGAUAGUAGUGACAACGCGUGACAGAAAGGUUAUUCAAAAGAUGAGUUGUAAGGCAGUCGAAGUGCGGUUUCUUUCUGAUGAUGAGUCCUUCCAGUUACUCUUAAGCAAAGUUGGAGAAGAUGUGUUGGCUGAUCCAACCAUAAAACCAAUUAUGAAAGCUAUACUUAAGGAAUGCGGUGGUCUUCCGCUCAAAAUUGUCACAGUAGCUAGUUCAUUGAAAGGAGUACUUGAUCGUGAUCGUUGGGUGCAUGCAUUAGACCAGUUGAAAAGAAGCAGAGAUUUACUGAAAACCAGAUAUGAUGAUCUAGCAGGAACAGAUAAAGAUUGUUUCUUACACAGUGCACUAUAUCCUGCAGACUAUGCAAUCCCAAAAGAGGAUAUUAUUGAAUAUUGGAUAGAAGAAGGACUUGUAGAUGAAAUGGAGAGCAGAGAAGAAAGGAAGAGUAAGGGCCAUGCUUGUUUGCAAAGGAUUUUAGACAGUAGCUUGCUACUAGGGGCCGAUGGCAAGAACAUUGUAAUGACGAGUAAAGCCGGGAGAGAUAUGGCACUAUCUUUGAUAGCAAAAGAGUUUCCGUGUUUUGUGAAAGCUGGUAUGAAAUUGAAGGAGCUACCAAAUGAACUAGAAGAGGCUCUAGAUAUAAAGAAGGUUUCCUUGAUGGAGAAUUUCAUAUCUAAAAUACCUCCAGAAAUUUCUCCAAAGAGUAAAAAGCUCACGACCUUGUUAUUGUCAGGUAAUGCCUUGGAAGAAAUCCCUGAAUCUUUCUUCACCCAUAUGCAAGCACUCAAGUAUCUUGACCUUUCUAGAAAUCCAUUCAAAAUUUUGCCAAAUUCCAUCUCAAAUUUGGAGAAUCUGACUGCAUUACUUCUUUCGGAAUGCAAAAAUUUAGAGGAGGUUCCAUCUUUAUCAAAACUUCUAGCUUUAAAGAAGUUGAACCUUGAAAAAACAAGAAUCAAAGAGGUUCCUCAAGGUAUGGGAUUCUUGGUAGAUCUAAGGUAUCUCAAUCUUAGAUUCAUCUCGUGUUUAGAAGAGAUCCCGCAAGGUCUUUUGCCGAAACUCCAACGUCUUCAACACUUGGCAAUACAUCCAACACUGUCAAGAGCAAAGGAGAUAAUGGAAUUGAACAAGUUGGAAAAUUUUGAAGGUAGGUUUGCUGAUCUGCAAGACCUAAGCAAAUAUGUUGACUUUCUUCGGAAACAAAGUCAAAGGACCAUCAAGUACUUCAUUUUGGUGGGCAAGACUGUUGAGUAUAAGUUACGUUCUUGUACCAACUCUGUCAUAGUAAAAGAUUGUAACACCGAAGGCAGUCAUGUGCUUCCUUGGGAUGUCGAGGAAUUCGGAAUUGAGAAGUGCAAUAACUUGAGCAGCUUAAAUGGAGUUUCUGGACUGCAAGAGGCAACCCUUUUGAAAAAAUGCAGAAUUGAGGAAUGUGAAAGACUGGAGUCUGUUUUUUCCUCUAGCUGUCCACCACUUAAAAGCCUCGAGUCCCUAGUUCUUCGGCAUUUGAAGAAUCUGAAUGUCCUAGUUGCAUAUCCAGAACCAUUCCUCCAUGCCUUUUCCUCUCUUAAAGUACUUUUCUUAGUUAAAUGUCCGAAAAUAAAGAUUCUGUUCUCAACUAAGCUGCGGCUGCUACAACAUCUCAUCAACUUGGAACAAGUCAUUAUUUGGGGUUGUGAUCAAAUGGAGCAAAUAAUAGAAGAAGAAGAAGAAGAAGAAAUCCUUAGCGAUGCCACUGAAUUUACCUUUCCAAAAUUAAAGGAACUGGGAUUAUGGCAUCUACCAGAAUUGAAGAGCAUUUGCAGCACCAAAGGAGUAAUGCUUUGUAAAUCUCUCCAAAAGCUAGAGAUAUGGAAUUGUCCCAAGUUAAAGAGGAUUCCUCUGAAGCUGGAUAUUUCCUUUGAGAAUGGCAAAGUAUUUCACCAUCCUCCUCUAAAAGACAUCAAGAUGAAAUCAAAUGAAUGGAAAUCCAUCGAGUGGGACCAUCCCGAUGCUAAAAAAGCCCUUUUACCAUUAGUGAGGAUCAUGUAGCAGUAUCUUAUAGUGGAGUCAAUGAUCCAAGGCAAGCCCUGUCAUCUCCCUUACAAUUUAAAUGGUUCCAACUUAAUUUCUUCUAUUUAUACUUUAACAUUUAUGUUGUUUUCAGCUUUUCAUAACUCUCUACAUCACUGGCAUCAGAAGCAAACUCCAGGCCGAGUGGAGAAACAGAACUCUUGAACCAAAAAGAAAUAAAGUUGCAUGGCUUGAACCAUGACUAUGGAUUGCAUCGAUCAUCUUUCUGUAUUGUAAUUUAUUUUUAUCAUCCCGACUUUAGUCUUUAAUGCUAGUUUGUAUUUGUUUGGAACCUUUUUUUUCUUUUUCUUUUUUUUUUUGUGAAGCUCUAUUCGUUCCCUGGAAAAGGGUCUUUAUGUUGUAGCAUCUGAACAAGAAAUUAUGCUUCUGUUUGUACAAGUUCAGUUGAAGUUGGUACGGUAACUUUAUACCAGAACCAUUGUCUUCAAUUUUCGUAUACCAGUUGAUUUCCUUCGCAGAAAGUAAUAUGACUUUCUGAAUGUUCUUAUAUUUUUGUUAUUUGGUAUAAUGAUAUAUUUUACUCUUCAAUUUUAUAAAAAAUAUCAUUUUAGUUAUUAAUUUAAUUUUUCCUUUAUUUUAAUCUUUGAAUUUGUGUUUUUUUAAUCAAAUCACUCUAAAUUAGAUGAAAAAGUUAAAUUACCAUCCUUCAGUAUCCAUGAAAAUUACUGUCUUGUUGGGCCUCCUUCACCAGCGAAAAUCAUAAGAAUGGACCAAAAAUUACGGUUUAGAUAGCCAUGCACUAUGCAUUAUAAAUUGCUUUCUUCUUCUUCUUCUUCUACCAAAUGCUAUCAUGGCCUUAUAUGCAUGCUUGAUAUUUUGAGUAAACCAUGUAUACCUGCCUAACACUUUCUCACCUUGACAUUGACAUGCAUUAUCUUGCAUGCGUUUCAUGUGAUUACGUGUUCUUUUUAAUGCAAUUUUAAAUUUCUUGCAUUAUGAAAUUCAAAAUAUUUUCCACGUCUUUUAUUUAUCCAUGACUAAAGAUUAUAAGUUCUGAUCAUAUUUGUUAUUUUUAAGAUAAUGCCUAGAGCUAUCCAUAGUCUAUUCUCAACCCAUAAAUAGGAGGAUAAUACGCUUUAGUGCACUCAAACUCACGUUCUCCUGUAUUGACAACAAUGCUCAUGCCAAUCAAGUUAAGACUCAAUCAACUUCAAUAGGUGUCUUUUUUGAAUAAUCACAUUUCUUAAAUAAAUAUAGUUAUUCAAGAGAUACAACUAUUCAAGUAAUAUGUCAUAAAUAAAUAUAACUAUUCAAGUGAUAUUACUUGAAUAGUUAUAAUUCUUUGUUAAAAAAUCAAGUGAUAUAACUCUUCAUAUUUAACAAACAUAAUAACUAUUCAAGUGAUAUUGCUUGAAUAGUUAUAAUUCUUUGUUAAAAAAUCAAGUGAUAUAACUAUUCAUAUUUAACAAACAUAACUCAUUAUUAGAUCUGAUCAUGGGCCAAGCCAUCUACCCAUGCCCAAUAGCUCGCCUAAAAAGUGAGAGAGUUAAGGCAAAUAUAUAGGCUUAAAAAAUGGAUUUAAACAAAAAAAAGGCUUGUUUAGAAAAUAGGCAAGCCUUAGGCAAUAUUUUCUUUGCCCGAGCCUAGCCUGAAUUUGACAAAAAAUUUGUUGUUAUUUGCUUUUGUUUACUGUUGUUAUGUUGUUAUUUUGCUACCAUUCACUAUUAUAUUGCUACUAUUUUAUUGUUAUUGUUUGGAUAUUUUAUUACUCUUAUUUUAUUAUUAUUUUUGUUAUUAUUUUAGAGGUAUUUGUUUGUUAAGUUGCAGCCAUGUUAGUUUUAUUUUUUAUAUGUAUUUUCAAUUUGUUGAAAAACAUUUAUUUUAAUGUUUUUUACCUAUUUGAUGUAUUAUAUUUUUUAAACUUAUUUUUAUAUAAAAAAAAUAAUGCAAGCGGGUUGAGCUAGGCUUAGGUUUAGUAUUUUUAUCCAGAUUGGGCUUGAGCAAAAAUUUAAACUCAUUUUUUCGGGUCAGACCAAGCUCGGGUCUAAAAACUGGGCUUGCUUUUUUGUAUUGACCCGGUCUAGCCCAUGAUCAGCUUUACUCAUUAUUUAAGAAUAGUCAUAACUCUAUUAAGAACUAAAAAUUAUAACCUUCAAUUACAUACAAUUUUUCGUUUAUAGUUAUUGAAACAUCAUAAAUAUUUGGAAAUGUUCCAAUAAUAGGACAAAAGAUUCAUCCUAGAUGACAUGGUAUCAUGAUCCAGAGUAAAUUUACUUACUAACGCGAGAUGGAGGCUAACUUUCAAAACCUCAAAAGCUUAAGCUUUGUCUUAAGAGUUGACGUUACCGAAUUGGUUCUCCAAGGCAAAUUCUUUCAAACUCAAGGUGAUAAUCUAGGUUUGAGCAACUCAUGCGUUUUCAAGUUCAACUUCAACAAUCAAACUGAACCUGAUGACAGAUUUAAGCAACCUGCGUACCCUCAUUCUGUUCUAAAAGUAUCUAUUUGUUCAAAUCCAAUCUCAAUUUAACUCUUUACAACAGCUAUUUCCAGGCUAUAUUAAUGACAUAAUUCUCAGAGCGAUGGAAGUCAAAAUUCUAAAAAUACAAAGCAACCAACUAAAUUAGUAGAUUUGUUGAUGGUCAAACUAUCAAAUUAAAUCGAAUAUUUGUUCGAAAUAUGAUACCUGGAAUGUGGGCUUAGGGAAAAAACUCAAAAUCCUAUCAUAUAUCCAUUUCAGCCUUUGCCUUCAUUUCCACUUUCAAUCAUUUUCAUGUCCACCUUCAACCAUCAGCCAUCACUCACCAUUGCUUAAGCUAUUUUGCAGUUUAGACCAUAAAUUACUGAGUUGAAAACUGUAGUGUCGUUCUGCAGCCCUUUUUGUUUCAGGCUGAAAACUGUAGUGUCGUUCUGCAGCCUUUUUUGUUCCAGGCAGGGCAGGCUGGGCUCAAAAUUUGGGUCGACCUUAAAUAAAACAUUUAAACCCGUAUUUCAUAUUACGCAAGUGUUAAGUUUAGUUCCCAUGCAAAGGUGGCCAUGCACGACAUGCAAAGGUGGUCAUGCUUCUGGAAUCGCAGCAGGCAGUGGUGCCAUGGUGUGCAGCAAGCUGAAGCUAUCCAUUUAGUUUCCUUAAUUGAAUGUUUUGUAUUUAGUUAGGAUCAAACUUAGUUGGUAGCUGCAUUUUGAUGUAAUUAGGUGCUGAAUGACAAGUUUAGGUAGAAGCUUUUUGUUUUUCAAUCAAGUUUACCAAGUUACUAGGCAAUUUAGUGGUGUUAGGUAUGUUAUUAGGUGAUUACUUGUUUGUUUUACUUGUUGACUGAUAUAUGUAAUGGCUUAAUGCCUUGUUGGCUUGCUUAAUGAAAGAUAUCAGCUCAUUUUCAUUCAAUCUUUUUCUCUCUUUUUCUGUUUUUCACUUGCUAGCUUCAUCUUUCUGUUUUCUGCUUCUGAGUUUGCUUCUUCACCAAGCCUCGAGGCUUACUACUCAAGCAAGACUAGAAACAGCUUGCUGCUGCCUCUUGCACCAACAAUUGGUAUCGAGAGCUCUUGUCUUAGUGGACCUGUUGCUUCAAAACAAAGAACUUGAUGGCUUCUUCAGGAUUUUCACCAGCAGCCCCACCAGUCUUCAAUGGAGAAGGCUUUCACAUAUGGCUGGUCAAGAUGAAGACUUACCUACAGGCCUUCGAUCUGUGGGAAGUUGUCAACACAGAUACUGAGCCAGCACCACUGAGGGCUAAUCCCACAGUAGCUCAGAUUAGGCAACAUGCUGAUGAGAGGACCAAAAGGCACAAAGCCAUGUCCUGCAUCCAGAACUGUGUGUCAGAUGUCAUCUUCACCAGAAUUAUGGCCUGUGAGACUCCAAAACAGGCCUGGGAUAAGCUCAAAGAGGAGUUUCAAGGCACUGAGAGAACAAGGCAACAGCAGCUGUUAAACUUGAGAAGGGAUUUCGAGAAUUUGAAGAUGAAGGAAGAAGAAACAGUGAAGCAGUACUCAGAUAGAAUUAUGGCAGUGGUUAACAGCAUAAGGCUCCUAGGUGAGCACUUUGAUGAGGCAAGAAUUGUGGAGAAAGUCCUCUCCACUUUGCCUGAGAGAUAUGAGGCCAAGAUAUCCUCUCUAGAGGACUCAAGAGACCUUGCUAGCAUCUCUUUGACUGAGCUAAUCAACACCUUUUAUGCUCAGGAACAAAGAAGAGCUAGCAGAGCUGAAGAUCACCAAGAAGGUGCAUUUCAAGCCAAGGCCAGAGAAACCUCGAGCACUAAUGCUCAAAGAGGCAAAAGGCCUUGGAAAAACAGGCCUAAGCCUGAUGCUGCAAGGAGCAAUGACCAGCCCUGCAGAUAUUGCAAGAAGCCUGGCCAUCCAUAAGACAGAUGCUGGUUUAGGCCAGAUGCAGUAUGCCAACACUGCAAGAAGAAGGGCCAUGUUGAAAGGGUCUGCAAAAACAGAAGUAAGCCAAGGCAGAAUCAAUUUCAGCAGUCAAAGGUUGAAGCUCGAGUAGCUGAGGACAGUAGUGACCAAGAAGAACAGGUCUUUGCUGUUUCCUGUGUAGCUUCUGAGAAGAAAUGCUCUAAAGGCUGGUUGCUGGACAGUGGUUGCACUAACCACAUGUCACCAGAUGCCUCCUUGUUUAAAACCUUGGACAAAAGUUAUAAAACCAAGGUCAAGGUUGGAAAUGGUCAGUUUAUAAGGGCUGAAGGAAGAGGAGAAGUGCUGAUAUGUACUCCCACAGGCAACAAGAUCAUUCCAAAUGUGCUGUUGGUACCACAGAUUGACAGAAACCUUCUCAGCAUAGCUCAACUGCUCGAGAAAGGUUAUUCUGUUGUGUUCAAGGAUAAACAAUGCCAUAUUACUGAUCCAAGUGGAUCAAGCCUUAUGACAGUCACAAUGACUGAUAAAUGCUUUGAGGUUCACUGGGCAAAUGACUCAAACUCAGCAUACACAGCCUCUGUUGAAGACUCCAAGCUUUGGCAUCAAAGGCUUGGACAUGCCAACUUCAGAUCAAUGGCUCGAUUGGCCAAAGAGGGCUUGGCAGAGAACUUCAUCAGCUCAGUGGAGCAUGAUGAUGUGUGUGAAGUUUGCCAAAUGGGGAAACAGGCAAGACUGCCAUUUCCUACAAAUUCAGCUUGGAGAGCUACUGAAAGACUGCAGCUGGUGCACUCUGAUGUAUGUGGCCCGAUGAGGACUGAAUCACUCAGCAAAAAUAGGUAUUUCAUCCUCUUUAUUGAUGACCUUACAAGGUUUUGCUGGAUUUUCUUUUUAAAACACAAGUCUGAGGUAGCUCAAGUGUUUGUGAAGUUUAAAAAUGCUGUAGAAACAGAAACAGGUUGCAAGCUGAAAUCGAUAAGGACUGAUAAUGGCACUGAGUACACUUCAGCUCAGUUUCAAGCCAUUUGCAAUGAUGCUGGUAUCAAACAUCAGCUUACAAAUGUCUACACACCUCAGCAGAAUGGGGUAGCUGAAAGAAAGAAUAGAAGUCUGAUGGAUAUGGCCAGAUGUCUGCUGUUUGAGAAGAAACUGCCCAAGACCAUGUGGGCUGAGGCAGUAAACACUGCUGUUUACCUUCAGAACAGGCUUCCUACUAAAGCUCUUGCAUCCGAGACACCUUUCGAGGCUUGGUCUGGUUUCAAGCCUUCCUUAGCACAUCUGAAGGUGUUUGGUUGCCUGUGUUAUGCACAAAUACCAGCAGCAAAGAGAGACAAGCUCUCUAAAAGGGCUCAACCAGGUGUUCUAGUAGGCUACAGCUCAGUCAAGAAGGGCUACAGGGUUCUGGAUCCCUUGAUAAACAAAGUCCAGGUGAGUAGAGAUGUCAUCUUUGAUGAAAAAGCCUGCUGGAAUUGGGAGAAAAAUGAGCCAGAAGCAGUUUCAGAAGACCUAGUGCCUAACCAAGCUGAACUUGAGCAGCUAGGACCUGAAAUGGAUGUUGAUGAUGUGCCUGUGAGAGGCACAAGGCCCCUAGAUGAUAUUUAUGAAAGGGCACAGGUUGCAAUAGCAGAACCUAGCAGUUUUGAAGAGGCUGAGGCAGAUGAAGGCUGGAAACGAGCUAUGAUCAAUGAAAUCAACAUGAUUGAAAAGAACCAGACAUGGGAGCUUGUUGAUAAACCUGCUGGAAAGAAGACCAUUGGAGUAAAAUGGGUCUAUCGAGUAAAACAGAAUGCAGAUGGCAGUCUGAACAAGCUAAAAGCCAGGCUUGUUGUCAAAGGAUUUAGCCAAAGGUAUGGUCUGGACUACCUGGAGACAUUUGCACCAGUAGCCAGGCUUGACACAGUUAGAAUGAUAGUUGCCUUGGCUGCUCAACAUCAGUGGACCAUUCAUCAGCUUGAUGUUAAGUCUGCAUUUCUCAAUGGCUUCCUGGAAGAAGAGAUCUACAUCGAGCAGCCUCAAGGAUUUGUGAUCACUGGCAAAGAACACAUGGUGUACAGACUGAAAAAGGCUUUAUAUGGCCUGAAACAGGCUCCUCGAGCCUGGUAUGCUCGAAUUGACUCUUACUUGCUCAGUUUGGAAUUUGAAAGAAGUCCCAGUGAACCAACACUGUAUGUGAAGAAGAACCAAGCUCAAACUCAGCUUAUUCUGUCACUCUAUGUUGAUGAUCUAUUGAUAACUGGAGGAGAUGGAAGAAUGCUGGAAGAUUUCAAAAGAAAAAUGAUGGAAAUGUUUGAAAUGUCUGAUUUAGGCAGAAUGAACUACUUCCUUGGAAUGGAAGUGAACCAAACAGAAAAGGGAAUCUUUCUUUGUCAGAGUUCUUUUACUAUGAAGAUCCUGGACAAGUUCUCUAUGAAGAACUGCAAGCCAACAAGCACACCAAUGGCUGUUGGAGUGAAGCUUUCGAGGCAAGGGAGUGGUGAACCAAUUUGUGAGACCAUGUACAAGAGUCUCAUUGGUAGUCUGUUGUAUUUGACUGCCACAAGGCCCGAUAUCAUGUUUGCUGUUAGUGUGCUAUCAAGAUACAUGAAUUGCUGCAAUGAUCAGCACUUUCGAGCAGCUAAAAGAGUGCUGAGAUACAUCAAAGGCACCAUUGGUCAUGGUGUAUUGUUCAAAAGGGCCAAAAACAUGAAGUUAAUAGGCUAUGUUGAUAGUGACUGGGCUGGAUCAAGUGAUGACAUGAGAAGCACAUCCGGAUAUGCAUUCAGUCUUGGCUCAGGCAUGUUUUGCUGGAGUUCUAAGAAACAAAGUCUGGUGGCACAGUCAACAGCAGAAGCUGAAUAUGUUGCUGCUGCAUCUGCUGUGAACCAAGCCAUAUGGCUUAGAAAAAUCUUGACUGAUUUAAACCAAAACCAAAAGGAGGCAACAAAGAUUUAUUGUGACAACAAAUCUGCUGUUGCAAUUGCAAAAAAUCCCAUUUUUCAUGGCAGAACCAAGCACUUCAAUAUUAAGUUGCAUGUUAUAAGGGAGAUGGAACAAGCUCAUGAAAUCGAGCUGAUUCAUUGCAAUUCAGAAGUGCAAAUUGCUGAUAUCUUCACAAAGGCACUCAAUGUGUCUAAAUUUGUUAAAUUCAAAAGGGAAUUAGGUGUUACUAGCAUGGAAACUAAGGAGGAGUGUUAAGUUUAGUUCCCAUGCAAAGGUGGCCAUGCACGACAUGCAAAGGUGGUCAUGCUUCUGGAAUCGCAGCAGGCAGUGGUGCCAUGGUGUGCAGCAAGCUGAAGCUAUCCAUUUAGUUUCCUUAAUUGAAUGUUUUGUAUUUAGUUAGGAUCAAACUUAGUUGGUAGCUGCAUUUUGAUGUAAUUAGGUGCUGAAUGACAAGUUUAGGUAGAAGCUUUUUGUUUUUCAAUCAAGUUUACCAAGUUACUAGGCAAUUUAGUGGUGUUAGGUAUGUUAUUAGGUGAUUACUUGUUUGUUUUACUUGUUGACUGAUAUAUGUAAUGGCUUAAUGCCUUGUUGGCUUGCUUAAUGAAAUAUAUCAGCUCAUUUUCAUUCAAUCUUUUUCUCUCUUUUUCUGUUUUUCACUUGCUAGCUUCAUCUUUCUGUUUUCUGCUUCUGAGUUUGCUUCUUCACCAAGCCUCGAGGCUUACUACUCAAGCAAGACUAGAAACAGCUUGCUGCUGCCUCUUGCACCAACAGCAAGCUUGAGCAAAAAUAACAGUUAGCAAUACCUUGUCUAAGCCUGGGCCAAAUCCGGCCUAUCAGAUAAAGCAUUCAGAUUGAACUACCGGUAACAUUAUGAGUUUAUGGUCCAUCCUUCAUGGGGAUGCAAAGAACAAAAUUAGCUAACUUUUGCCACUAUAGAAUGUUUGUUCAACUAAAUAAAAUAAAGAUUGUCCUAUAAUUCUAGUUCCAUUCAAGUUAAAACUUCUUCAGGCAAGAUAAUAGUAACAUAAUGCUAAAAGAACCAGCACAACCACCACAGCAGGAGCCGCCCAUAUCCAAUAGUUCGUCGACUUCUUACGUUUUAGUAUGGCUUUUGGGAGGGACUCGGUUCUUUUGGUUUGAUUCCUGUACCUACUAGUAUUCUCCUUUGGUACUUUACCCUUCAUUGAAACGGUAGCAGGAACAGGUGCAUCAGCAUUAACAUCGACCUUCUCGGGUUCUGAAUCUUGUGCCACAGCUUCAAUCAGUUCCUCGGGAUUCACAGCAUUUGUCGAUCCUGCCACCUUCUUCUUAGCUCUCUUUUCACGCUCCCGAAAAAGAUCGAAAGAGUUUCAGUUUCAACCCACAAACUAAUGACCGACAAAGCGAAACCAGAUAAGGAAGCGAAUGAUUUCCUUGAGCUUCUUUUCAGCUUCCAUUUGGGCUCUUCUAGCUGCUUUGGCUGCUGCUUUUUCAGCCAACUUCUUUUUUUCUUUCCAUGGCUUGCUUUGCUUUCGCUAUUUCCUCUUCUCUCUUCAAUUCUUUUGGUUUUGCUGCAUCGACUUCCUUGUUCUUUUGCAAUUUUCCGGAUACCAAAAUUUCCUCUGCUACAACACUAAUAUCUGACAAAGGAUUUGACUCCAUUGCUAUAGUCUCGGCAUCUUUUGGGGCCUUUUUGGCUAGUUUAGUAUCUGGUUGGGGACCUGAUUUGGCCUCUUCCUUUGGUUGUCUUACACUAGGUCUCAGGAUUGUUUCGGUUUCAGAAUCCACUGGUCUCUCGGGUGCAACCAGUGGUUUCUCAUC